rnacentral:lncRNA from 1 species
GAACAGCGUGUCGUGCCGUGCGGAAUGCAGGGUCUGCAUUGGCUACUGCCAUACCGUUGCUCCAACGUCACAGCCGCCGCAUGUUGUGCUCCGGUACGGUACCUCCUGCCCCGCCUGUCAUUCCAUGCCGUCACGCCGUGGCCACGGCUUUCAACACAGCGCCCCAACCUCACGUGCAGCACGUCACCGGCAUUACCGCUCCUGCACGCACAACGCCGUCGCUGACGCCGGGGGCCUUGCCCCGUUCUUGGUGGCAGUGUGUGUGGUGGUGGUGAUGGUGAUGAGGGUGUGGCGCACCCUGCUACAGUUAAAUGCGCGUACCGUAGCUUGCGGCAGCAUCCAGCCGUCGCUGCCGCCAGGGGUCAUGCCACGUUGCGACGUUGUGGUCUGGUCUUGGUGGUGCUGGUGAUGGCAGUGAUGGCGUUAAUGAUGGGGUGUGUGGCGUGCCAAUGCGGCAAAGAAGCAGAAACGUGCGUGGGCUGCCGAUAGUGCCGAAUGCGCGGAGAUGGGCCACGGCCAGCGCCACUGGUGGGCAGCAAGUGCGGGCUUAGACGGAUGAAGGGGAAGACACGAGGGCGGGCAGGGGAAGCAAUGAUCGAUUGCCUUUGUCUUGCCUUUCAGUCUUAGCCACUUUGAACCUCGUUCUACAGCACUAUGUCGGCCUGUUGCCCAAUGCCUCACGCCCGCAUCCGAUGCUUUGGGCGCGCCAACAGGCACGGGUGAACCUGUCGGCGUGAACCUGUCGGCGUCUUGCACCCUCCGCACCUAGCCCUCUUCCGCCGCCCUAGAGCCGCAAUCCCAAGCGUCUCUCCCCGCCCGCUGCUGCGGUGCUGCGCAGCCCUUGGCGCGCCCUGGCCUGGCCCGCUGCCGUGGCGCCCUCCGCUGCCCCCGUGCCUUGGCACCCUCACCUGGUCCACAUCGCAACAGCCCCGGCUCCACGUGGACGAGCGGGGCCAGGACCGGACGAGCCGCCAAGCAGCAGUGCCAAUGUCACCGGGGCCUGUGUCCAUGCAGUCCCAGGUUGCAGCUGAUGUAGCUGCUGUCAGGCCUACUCGGGCAUGCGCCGCGCACGCACGGUCCUCACGGCGCGGAGAACACGGAGAACACGGCUGCACAGGAGAACCUACCAAGAGUUGCAGUCCUCAGGCAAUCCUCAGGUACCAAAACCAAGCCCGAACCUGCAAUCACUUGGGCCUGAUGCUCCCGGUUGCAGCUGAUCCAGCUGAGGCUUGCGGGGCGUGCACAACGCAUCGCCGCCAACCUGUGGUGGCAUACAGAGGCGGGAGGCCCUCAGACCCGACCAGGCUCUGCCGUGCUCUCUGGCUUAUGAGUGCUUGCAAUUUGUUCUUAGCGGGAAAGGGAUACGCGCUAGCUGCCUCCUCCAGGGUUUGCCAAAAGUUUGCGCGUGUGAAAAGCAAGACGCCUGUAACGCGUAAUCCUAUUCGUUGGAGCAAAUGGAUCUUAUACAUAAAGAAGUUGCAGGUGUGAAUCGCAGGCCGAGGGGCUUCAUACUAAUGCCGACCGGGGCCCCAUCAUGCAAGUUGUACACCUGGAUGCCCUUUUGCCCAGUCCCGCACAAUUCUAAGGUGUUUCUCGCUCUGAGCUUUUACCUUAGUACUUUAGGGGGGCCUUCCGACUUGGGCACGUGCUAACUAACAUAGGAGCAUCCCUUGACUUGUUGAUCAUUAUGGGAGGACCUGAUUUUGACGUAGUUCGUGUCACGCAGUGGCGGUGCUCCUGUCCGCGUGGCGUAAUGGCGUUGCGGGCUUGCGGAGUUGCGGGCUUGCGGCCGUGGCCGUGGUCCUGGCGUGGAUUCCACUGGAUUCCACUGGAUCGAGACCCGGUGCAAGGCGUGCAUUCUUUUCUAUUUUGAAUUAUCGCGUCGUGUGUGUAUGUGUGUGUCAGGGCAUGUGAACACACCCCGACUGUGAACACACAAGCAGCUAGCUGUUCACGCGGUCGAGAUGCCUCCAGGCGCCGUGUCAAUUGCUGGCGCUACAUGCAAGUGCUGUUUACUUAGGACAUGUUUAUUCCCAGCAACCCAACACAGGGCAUGCCCCGCCAAUUUAUUAGCGUACGACGGGGGAUGAGCCCCGCGUCUCAAAAUUGUAAAGCCAACUUGGCUCAGACUGCUUAUAGCAUACUUUUAUCCGCGUUAGCUGCCUUCGCGCCCACGCCGAGUACAGUCCCGCAGCGAGAGAUGUGCCUGCAGCCUUAUUUGCAACAUAUUGCCCCGCAAACUGUCUACAGUACUCGCUCGCUACGUUCAAUACCGCGUAGGCCAUAAUAGCGCCAAAGCGAGCCUGCGGGCCGCAAACUCUGAGCCGACUCUGCGCCGAUUCUACCGAACCAGCUGAGCUGAGCCUCGGAUAGCCUGAUGGGUGACCUGGACCGCAACUACCGCUAUAGUUAUGAUGAAACCGAUGUCAGCAUGUUGGGGGAGGAGGGCAACGCGAGCGAUGCGAUGAGCUGGGAUGGGCCCGAUGGCGCUGCGGGAGCUGGCCACGGUGAUGCCGACAGCGUCGUGCUUAGGGGUGACGCCGAAGCAGAUGUUACGGAUGGCUACGCCGAUCUGCGCGUGGAUUCCUGCCACGAGGAGGCAGCGGACCCAGACUCGUCCGCUGUGCUUGCGGUGCGCAAUUCAAAACGUGACCUGCGUGUGCAGCAAGCAAUUGUGUACUGUAAAUUUAGCGAGGUGGCUGGGUGCGGGCACGACGGGCGUUGGGGUAAACAACUUGCCGCUGCAUAUGUGGUGCUUGUGCCUGGGAGUCGUACAUCAAUAUGCCCACACUGCAAACCGCCGUGCCGACGCAGGAAGUCCCGAAAGUUGACUGCCAGUGCACAAUUUUGACAGCAGCAGCGCCAGGCACCCGCGUCACCCGUGCUGAGGUGGGUACGCUUCGAGGUAGACAGGAUGCCGUUGAUUUGCAGCCUCCCGUGUAGGAACCUUGUCGUGCGAGGAAUGCUGGAGGGGGGUCAUAUCUGGCAUUUGCCGCGUCGUGCGUGAUUAAGACUUGGCCAUACGCGUGCCAUACGUGAUGCAGGAUGUGCUCACCGGGUACUUGUCCAAGUGCGGCGCCACAGCUCAAGGUGGUGAGCGUGCGCAAUCAAUAGCUGUUCGCAACGUCUUGAGCCUCGGGCACCACUUCAAAUGAGCAGGGGCAAGGGCUACAGUGCAGCGCGCGUAGGCGUGCAUCACCAGCUAGCGUGAUCCUCUGUUGCUCUUUUAGAGACUGCGAUUUGGGUUUCCACCUGAGGUCCUGACGCUACCCGCUUUCCUGUUGUCGUCCUGUUCCUACCUGCAGGCGAAGGCAACGGCGCCACAGGCCGUGAUGUGUUCCCUGGGCCGCACCCUGGCAGGACCGCCACACAGCCACCGCCUGCUGCAGCUGGUGGCACGGUGAGCUGCGUAAUGCUGUUGCGGGGGCUUGCUCCAUCCAUUGAAUGUACGGGCCGUGCAGGGCAAACGCCCAAGAGGUGGGCAGGGCCGGCGGCAGGGACGUACCGUGUUGCUUGAAUGCUGGCAGCUGAUGGCAUGACUAAGGUUGGGGGUACUGCGCACAACCGCAACCGUACCACACACUGCUGCGAUGCCGUUUGAUAAGUGUGUAACUCCCGCCACCCCUCGUCCCUUCACUGCUUCCGCAGGACGCCACGGAUGCAGGGAGCUCGGGCGGCCCGUCUGCCGCUGCGUCAUGGGAGCGGCUGGGGGCCCGGCGGAGCGCGCUGGCAGCCGCGGAGCACAGCGAGGCGGGCAUCGCGGCAGUGGCACCCGCGACCGCCGACAUGCUGGAUACGGAGGAGGGCGCGCAGGUCCAGCGCGGCGCGGCAACGCCGGCCAGUGGCGCAGUGAGUUCUGCAGGCGUGCAGGGUUGGGGAGCAGGCUGUGUGGCUGUAUCCUGCGAGUCUGCCUGCACAUGUGAAGGCGAGGCCGACUUGAGCGGGGCUGGUAAAGGCCAUAACGGGCAGGAGCAUCAGCGAGGGUGGGGAGGUAGCGGUGUCGGCGGCAUCCUGCAUGGGGUCAGCUGAUGACCCAGUUUCAUACUGCAUGCCGGCGCGGCAUCCUGAUCGCAUUGUCCGGCUUGGCGCUACAGGAAUUGCCGCGGCAGGAGGGCGGCGAGGACGGCGUGGCCGCUGAGGAGGGGCUGUGGCCCACCACGGCGUAUGAGGAGUGGUUGCGCGCCCGGCUGCGUUAUGCGCUGUGGCGCAGCCAUGUGGCAUGCUGCUCUAUGCUGCACGGCAUGCCGGGGGGCCCGGCAGCGGAGGAAGGGGAGGCGGCGAAGGCGGCGGAGGCACCCGCCGCCGCCGCCAUGCUGCUGGACGCAGAGGAGGGCGAGGAGGGGCGGCAAGCCAUGGCACCGCCGGCCAGUGGCGCAGUGAGUACCGCGAGCAAGGGUUGGGCAGAGGGCUGCAUGGCUGUGUCCUGAGAGUCUGCCGCGAGGCCCCUGAAGGACAAGGGGCGGACGGCUUGGCUGCGUGUGGAAAAGCAUGUUCGGUUUGGCUGGCGCGAGCAUGAAGAUACCAUGUGCAUGGGCCCAAACUUUCUUGCUUCCUUAUGCGCCGGAUCGGCGCUACACGCCCGCACCGAUGUCAGCUGGCGCAUGCCGCUGGGCUUUUUCAUCUAUGCCACUCGUCGCCAAUUCAUAGCGGCCCCAGCAGUCGGUAACUAUCCGCCCUUGACGAUGCCCUUGCACCCUCUCCCGCCCUCUUUAUGUUCUUCGUGUCACGACCAGGCGGCAAGCGGUGGCGGCGGCGGAGAGCUCCUCUUUGAUGACCUGCGGGCGGCGCUUGCAUCGGUGUCGUCCUCCUUGGGGCGGGGCUCGGCGCCAUUCGCGGCGUGCGCCUGUGACCCCGGCCAGCAUGGCGAGGCCCGGCCGUCAUCAGACCCUGUGCGCACGCCGCAGCCGCCACAGCCUGCAGCCGCGCUGGAACUGCUGUCCCCGGUCACCUGCUGCAGCGGCUCAUCCGCAGAUCUUGCAGCGGUGCAGCGGCAAGGUGCGGCGUGUGCUGCGGCUGCUUCGGCAGCAGCGCCAAGCCCACGCCCACUGCCGUCAGUGGCGGCGGAGGUCCAGACGCAGCAUCCGGCGGCAGCAGCAGACAACGAGCCGGCUGACGGCACCACGCCGCAGCGCUCGGCUAAAGAGGUGACGCCCCAGCAGCCGAACGCGCAGCAGAGAGGAGUCGCGCCGGUGCGGCUGCUGCCUCGGGUGGACCGGCUGCCCCGUAUCGCCAUGACGCCGGUAGGCGCGCGCAUGCAUGGGCGGGAUGGACAGCGGGCCGAUGACACGCAUGCAUGGGCACGCCGCCUAUGCUAUCUUUGGGCUUGCGUGAAGCAUGGGGCGCAUGGGGGUGCUGCUGUUGUUGCUGCAUCGUCCUUCGCACUCCCUAUGGCAAAUCGAACCUGUCCUUAUCUAUGGCGUUCUCUUACGCAUGUUAUAGAAUGCAAAGCUGUGGCAGCACAACGCGCGGUAUAACACAGCCGCCAAGGCUGUGGUGGACAUCGUGCUGGGCGUGGUGGCGACAGCAGAGGAGCAGCAGGGCUCGGACCUGGGCCCUUGCUUCUACCUGACGGCCACCGCCGUCCUGCUGCUGAGCCUGGUGCUAUUGCACGGCCUCGAAGAUCCAUCCACGCAGCCCUGGCUUAAACGGGGCACCCAGAAUAUGGAGGAACUGGUGGCGCAGCUGGAGAGGUGGGCGUCCUUCAAGGACCUCAACCUCGACACGUGCAUCCGGUACCUGUGGGCAGGCGCGCCAGACUGGCCCAAGGUGGCGCAGACCCUGGCCGCGGUCAGGGAAGGCCUCACCCUCAACCACAUUUGUAAGGUGUGUUCGGCCAUCGGAAUGACGUGGCGCGCGCUCGUGUCGUGGAAGCAAUUGCCGGCCCGCAUUCUGACCCGCUAAACGUGCCCUGUCCUGUGUGUGCAUUUACACAGGGCAGCUACAACGCAGUUUUUUGGGUGGUGGGCAGGGGUGACUUGCUCACGAGACAGCCGCUGCAUAAUAUCGAUUCGGACCUGCUGGCGGCCGUCUACAACCAAGGGCCAGCGCUGCUCCGCCACCUGCGUGCGGCCUGCGCGAUUCACCGCGACAGUAAGCAGCCCAUCGGUGUGCGCGUCAUGGGCCUGCUGCCGGUGGUCAACAGGCGCGUCCCGGACCUCACCACCGGCGAGGCGCUGCGGAGCCUGUGCGCAGCGAAGGGUAAAGUGGCGAUUGCCAUGGUGUUGGAGCGACUGACGACCGUGGAGGAGGUCGCGAAGGCGCUGGCAGCGUACACCGUGGCCCGUGGCCCGUGGCAGGUGAUUGGGCGGGUUGCACGCGCUUCAUUCAUGCCCGGUGCCAGCAAGCGUUUAGCCCGCAGCUUGCGCACAGGGCAGCUUGUGCAGCGUCUUCGUUCCAUUGCCAUACAUCGAUGGCAAACCGUAUGAUCCCUCGUGCACCGCGUGCAGGAGGGUGUGUGGCCGCUGGGCUUGGGGCUGGCGCUGACGAGAGGCGUGCUGAGCGCGACGGGUCAUUUGAUCAAGCUGGGGCUGCACCACGGCGAUAUCAAGGUUAACAACGUGGGGUUCACCGACCUCAAGCAGCAGCCGUUCCGCGACGCGACGUUUCUAGACAACGACGACCUGAGCCAGGACCCAAAUGGGCGUGUGCACAGGUACCACACCUCUCGGUUCACGGCCCUGGGGGCGCAGCAGUGUAUAAACAGCGGCAACAUGUGGUGCCGCCCGAGCUUGCGGCUACAGGGCAUGGACCUGCACCAGGUAGAUGUGUCUGUUGUGUCGGUCCGACGCACGCAUGGACACUAAGCACUGCUUGCUUGGCCGUAAGUGCUUGCAAGCUGGCGCAUUCGCCUGGCUUGGCUGACUAGCUAUGGCCCCGGCUCUCUCCUGCGCAGGUGCAAGGCUUUCAGGCCACGCUGAUAGUGCUGCUGCUGCCGGAGGCGGUGCUUUACCAUGCCAACGACGGCUGCGUCAAUUUCUUUAGUUUUGUCCCGGCGCUGUGGAACACCGGCCACGGCGGCCUAGGCGUGCUGUAUCCCAGCCAGCUGAUGUCCGCCGUGCUGGCGGGUGUGCUGGGGACUCUAAUGCACCCGCUUGCCGACAAGCGCAAGGGCCUGCCGGAGCUCAUGCCGCGCGUCCACAGCCUGUGCAGCGCCAUGGACGAGUGCGAUUUCUGCCUUCGCGGGCUCACUGACGCCGGCGGGUGCCUGCGCGUGCCGGUGCGUGGUGCCCAACCGAUGUGUUAGUUAAGGUUGGAUUCGCAUGCCGUGAUCCUGCCGCUCGGGCAUGGGUGAAACCCUACGUGGUUGUGCUGCUGCUGUCUUUCAUUGUGGCCACACAUGCACAUCGGUGGCCCCUGGUUGCAGAUCGGCGCCGGGCCGCUGGCCCACCUGUGCAGCCCGCCACAGACCGACGUGCUGCUGCGCCAGCUGCUCUCGGCGCUGGAGGAGUGGCGCGAGGACCCGUUCAUGGCGGCCAACCUGUUCCAGGUGAUUACGCUGCUGCACAAGGCGGCCCACUGCACCUGGCCCGCCGGCCCCGUCAACGACUUCAUGCAGCGGGUGCUGCUGCUGGCGGUGCUGUGCGACAUUGUGCGCGUGGAACGCCAGGCGGAGGCUGGGCUAGAGCGACCGGAGCUGCUGCUGCUGUACAAGGUGCGCGCUGCUGUACAUAUUGGGCCCCUUACAUGUCAUGACACCCUUGGUAGAUUGUCUGGAUGGGUUGCGAAUUGAGUGCGUGCGUGCGUGCUUGGCCUGCUGUUUGUGCUGCAGGGCAAGCAAGGCGACCGCGAGCGCACGCUACUGCACCUGCUGGGCGCCACCGGAAGCACGCAGGGCUACCUCACCAUUCUGCGGGCUCUGGCCAUGGCUGGCCUUUGCUUUGACCGCUAUAAACGUGUCAUGAACGCGGUCGACCAGGUGAGUGUCCGAGACACCGGGGCGGGGUGCUGGCUUGAUUGCUCGUCACCUAUGCCUGAUGACCCAAGCUGGUGUGCUGGAUCCCGUCACCCACUGCAGAACGGAUACUCGCCGCUCAUGCUGGCGGCCGUGCAUGGGCAGCACGCGCUCGUCAUGGCGCACAUCAGCUUUGCAAAGGAGCAGCUGGACGAGGAGGCGCAGCAGCUGCUGAACGAGGCCCUGUCACCCGACCUACGUAAGGUCAGCGAGCGUGCGGUGUUACAGCUGCUGGACGGGCUGGUCCCGCAGCCGGCCGCCCUGGGAGGCCUGCUCACCAUCCUGUGCUCUCAGUUCAACGGACACAACGACCAGCUUCAGAAGCUCCUGGCGUACGUGCCGCCGGUACUGCGGCUGCCAGAGGUGACCGGCGGGCAGGGCGGCGGGGCAAGCAGCAGCGGGGCGGGCGGCGAGGUGGCUGCGGGCGGGCUGCUGGCAGCCGCACAUGCGCACCUGGGCGCGUCCCAGGAGAAGCUGGAGCAGGCGCUCGAGGACUCCCGCCUGCAGCCGCUGCUGCGCUGCCUGCGUGGGCCGGUUCAGCCGGCGGCAGGCCAGGAGGCGGGACCCCACAUUGUGGAGCAGGUGGCGCGCGGCGCGCUCAAGCUGUUUGCGACGGCCGCAGAGCUGCCGCUGACAGACGCGGUCGUGAAUAUUGGAGUCUAUGUACUGCCGGCUCGGUUACUCACGGCAAAGGUGACUGGCGCCCGUAUGGAUUUAGACAGGUCGCGCCCUGAUGCAACUAGCUAUACAGAUGCCGCAACGGUCUGGGAAACGUCGGGCGUUGCGCGGAUGCAUCCAUACCCAUUCGCACGUGUGCGUCUUGCUCUGCAGACCGCUCGGGAGCUGGGCGCGGACACCCCCUUCCAUGCAGCGGCUGCGAUGGCUGGUCCCCUGCCCGGGCUCUAUGCUGCGGUCGAGGAGACGUUUGGAUGCAAGCUUGCCGACAAAUGCCUGGCGGAGUUGAACGCGGUAGGUGCGAGGAGCAUAGUGCCACAGCAGUGGAUGACGGCGUGUGGUUGAGGCUAUCCAAUUCAGUGCAUACCAUACCGUCACAGUGGCAGAACGCUCCCACUCCUCCCACUACUUUCCCCGCCCGACCAAGUCCUCCGACCCUCCAUACCGUUACCGAUUUCCCCUGUUUCGCCUAUCCCUCCCCUCUUCAGUCGCGCGAACAGCAAGUCCAAUCGCUCCCUCCUCCGGUCCGCACUGGCUCAUCUGUCUUUUCAGGCACCCCCAUCAAUUACCGUGCCUGCCGCACAGAUCCCGCACGAACUGUCCUCUCCCACCCAUCCGCAAGGACUGUCCCGAACGUCCACCGUGUACCCCUGAACGCGCACAACCCCCCCCCCAUUGACGUUCAGUGAUGGCGUGUGCGCAGAGGAGACAAUUAGCGGAACUCACAGCCGCGACACGGGUAUACAAUUGUACAUUCUAUGGCGCUCAUUGGGCACAGCUAACUGUGUACUUCUUUGCAUUUGUGUCCACGCAGGACGGCCGCACGCCGCUGCAGGUGCUGCUGCAGUGCCACCCAGUGCUGAUGUCCGCACCCAGCAGGGCGUUUGGAAAGGUGGACGACCACCGCACGGAAGAGGGACGCGCCAAGCUCGCCGCGAUCGCCGUCGGUCUGCGCGACUUCAUGGCGGAACGGGUCAAGGACUCCGCCACUCAAUCGCUGCAAGCGGAGCUGGGCAUGGCGGUUCCCAACCUGCUGCCAGGAUGCUGGUCGUGAGCGCCGCCAUUCGGUAGGUCGGGCUUCGUGACGGUCAGGUGGUAGCUUUGCCCCGCUUCUGGUGUGCCUAGCGGCGGUGUUGCGUCAAGAGGGGGUAUCCGAUGGUCUCUCAUGGCCUGGGAGGAAGGUGUGGAUGGCGUAUGUAUGCCCUGUGUUCCUCUUUCCGAAGGAUAUGCAUGUGUUUCCCGCGGAUGCACCGAGCGCUAUGCACAAUGCCCGGCGUGAUCCAGGCCCAUCCCAUUUACAGGGGCGGGUGGCGGCUGGCGCUGCGGCGAGUGAAGGCGCGGCGGGUGGUGGCGGUGGUGGUGGCUGUAUUAGUCGCUGUACCCGCCCGUGUACGGCACUGUCGAUCUUGAGCUGCUGCGCCUGGGCAACUGUGGCGGCCGCGCGUGCUUGGGCGUCGUGCGUGACAUUGGAUGGGUGCGGGCGGCGGCACCUCCUGUCUUUCCGCAAGACUGCAGUGCUUAAGCGGGAGCCCUGACGUGACUUAAAUACUUGUCUGCUAUGGCUUCGGAUCAUGUGCCUGAUACGCGGAUGCCGACACAAAAGGUGAAAGCUCUGGCCGGUACUCUUGCCCCACUGUCACCAGUGGAGUAAAGCUGUAACAACGGAGGCGUUAUGGAUUGUUGCUGCUGCCCACGCAUGCUGGGGCUCCCCGGUGCGUGCGUGUGACAAGUAGACAUGCAGGGCAGGGGGGCACGGACCGUUGCUUUAAGUGCGCCAUCAGGCACGGGUGAAAACCAAAGAACGACGUGUUGCAGGGUCUGCAUUCCCACAUGCGCUUGCACUUGCUCUUCGGGCCACGUGCCCCAGAUUGCCGCCUGACCUACCGGGCGUGCACAACCUGACCUGGCAGUGGGAACUUAGGUCUACAUUAGAGGCGUUGCACGUAUUAUCAAUGAAACUAUGAAAGCCCCUCAGUAGUGCCCAGCGGUGCCGCGGUGGUCGCGAACAGGGCCAUGGCUAAAAGCAGAAACGUGCGUGGGCUGCCGAUAGUGCCGAAUAUGCGGAGAUGGGCCGCGGCCAGCGCCACUGGUGGGCAGCAAGUGCGGGUUUAGACGGAUGAAGGGGAAGAAUCACCACAAGGGCGGGCAGGGGAAGCAAUGAUGGAUUGCGUCUUGCCUUUCAGCCUGAGCAACUCUGAACUUCAUCUUACAGCACCAUAUCGGCCGGUUGCCCAAUACCUCACGCCCGCAUCCGAUGCUUUAAGCGCGCCAACAGGCACGGGUGAAACCAAGGACAUGUGGGAGCUGCUGCUGCCAUGCCUGAUUCGACGUGGGCGGCCGCGUCCCGUUGUCCGGGCCAGCCAACCCUCAUUCAUACCUGCUUUUUACAAUGCGACCCAGCCUGUACAUACGUACGGGACGGUAGGGGGCUCCUGCAAAGAGUUCGUGUGAUUGGGGCGCCGGCCGGACCAGGCCGGAGGCCCUCACGGGUCCCCUCUCGCCCACUUCAGCUGUGCGGAUGACCCGACCGUGCAAACCCAGCUAACCGGGUUCCGGAGCAAUCAGCUACCGGGGGCACCGGUGACUCAGUCGGCGGGGCAGACAGGCCAGCGCAUCUGCACCACAGGAAGCCGCCUGCCGGCAUCUUCUCGGUUGUCGCACCCUCCUCACCUAGCCCUCUUCCCCGGCCCAAGAACCUCGCCUGGCCCACAUCGCAACAGCCCCCGCUCCACGUGGACGUAGGUGGAUGAGCGGGACCGAGCCGCCAAGCAGCAGUGCCAAUGCCACCGGGGCCUGUGUCCAUGCAGUCCCAGGUUGCAGCCGAUGUAGCUGCUGUCAGGCCUACUCGGGCAUGCGCCGCGCACGCACGGUUCGUGUGGCGCAGAGAACACGGAGAACAAGGCUGCACAGGAGAACCUACAAAGAGUUGCAGUCCUCAGGCAAUCCUAAGGUGCCAAAACCCAGCCCUAACCUGCAAUCGCUUGGGCCUCAUGCUCCCGGUUGCAGCUGAUCCAGCUGAGGCUUGCGGGGCGUGCAUCGCCGCCAACCUCAACGCGGGUGGCACGGAGGCCCCAAGCCCCGACCAGGCUCCGCCGUGCUCUCUGGCUCAUGAGUGCUUGCAAUUUGUCCUUUACGGGAAAGGGAUACGCGCUACAGUAGUUGCCUCCUUCAGGUUUGCCAUAAGUUUGCGCGUGUGAAAUCAAGACGCCUGUAACGCGUAAUCAUAUUCGUUUUUGGAGCAAAUGGAUCUUAUACAUAAGAAUGUGCAGGUGUAAAUCGCAGACCCAGGGACCGCUUUGACUAAAUGCCGACCGGGCCCCCAUCAUGCAAGUUGUGCACCUGGAUGCCCUUUUGCCCAGUCCCGCUAAAUUCUAAGUUGUUUCUCGCUCUGAGCUUUUACCUUAGUACUCUAGGGGCGCCUGCCGACUUGGGCACGUGCUGAGAAAGAUGCAGGCUUCUUUGCGCGCGCGGGCUAGGCCCUUUACCUCGGGUAUGUGACUCUAGAGCUGGACGUAGAUCUAGGAUUGAUGCGACUAAAAUUGUGGGCUUGCUCUGCAGGCGCCCAGCCAUCGCUGCGGCGAGCGCCCGCUCGCGUCUGCCGCCCCGUGGCGUCAGCAGCGGCUGCUAAAGGACCCGUUGUUGUUGUGGACAACUACGAUAGCUUCACAUACAACUUGUGUCAGGUGGGGCGGUCGCUGCAUGUUUGCCGCGAGGCAUCGGCACGUCUCAGCGCCUCACCGCUGCCCUCUCUGACGCCAAUUGCAGUAUCUGGGUGACUUUGGGGUUGACUAUGUGGUGUACAAAAACGACGAGAAAACCGUGGAUGAGAUCAGGGCCAUGAACCCUCGCGGUAUCCUCGUGUCGCCCGGCCCCGGUGAGUGCUCGCCUCGCAGCCCCAGCGCCACGUUCUUGGCUUGGCGCGUCCCGCCUUUGAUACGCCCAAACAGGGCUAACUUGUGUCAGCUAGCCCUUUCCGCAUCUUGUGCAUGGAAUGCUGGGCUGUGCAACUGACGGUGAUGCGGUUUCCUGUCAUGUGCGCGCAGGCCGGCCCAUCGACUCGGGCAUCUCCCUACAAACAGUGCGGGAGCUGGGUCCCGACUUCCCACUAUUUGGUGUGUGCAUGGGGCAUCAAUGCAUUGGCGAGGCAUUCGGAGGUGCGUCGUGCUGGGGCUGCUGCGAUGAUGGUGGAGGGAUGAUGGAGGGUAGCAUGGGUCAGGAACGGGGAGGAGGCCAGGGGCGGAACACGCCGCACACGCCGCACCAGUGAGGGCCGCGCACGCCAAACCUGGCUGAGGGCAGGCACCAGGCAGCAUAUGUACGUGAGGAUGAGCAUCAACCCGUUCAGGCGCCUGAAGCAUUGCCGUGCGUCGUGUGAGGGUCGUGGUGGGGCAGCCGCAGCCACAUACCGCUACCUGCAGCGGGCGGCAACAGCGGGCGGCCACUGCGGGCGUGGCGACAGUGGCAGCGGGGCGCCGGCGCCGCCCGCACCCAGGCCGCAGAAGUUGCAAUUGAGGGAAUCCAGUGACCUCAUACAGCGGCCUGGCGCAGCCCUCAGGCCGCCGCGCCAGGACCUGCAACAUUCCCCCUGGGGCGGCAGGCGACUGCAGAGCCGGUCGUCCGCGCAUGGGCGGUAGCUGCUGCCGUGGCUGCCACCCGUCAGACUGCCGCCCCGUCAGACUGGCUCCCUGGUGUGCUGCGCUGCAGGUGACGUGGUGCGCGCGCCGUGCGGGGUGAUGCACGGCAAGACGUCGCCGGUGUUCCACACCAACGUGGGGCUCCUGGAGGGCCUGCCCAAGUAGGUGUGGCGUGCCGCGUGACGUGUCGCGAGCGGCGUGGGAUGGGGAGGGGAGGGGAGGGCGAGGGGAGAAGCGAGGGGUAGGAGGACAGGGGAGGGGGGGGGAAAGGGGGGGAGCAUUGGACCCGAUACAGAGGGUAGCCUGCAGCUUCGGCGUGGUGGCAGGGCAAUACGGUAGAGUAGAGAGGAGGGGAUCGUGCGCGAUGGUCUUGCGGGUUGGAAGUGAGGGCUACUGGAUCGGGGCUGGAAAGCAGCUUCAGGGGUGCAUGCGGGAGAGGGUGAAACAUGGCAAUGAGAUGGCGCGGCAUCCGACCGAGCAGCUCGGGCGGCGUGGCAGCAACAGGAUGGCUUUGGGGGCGCAGCUGGAGCGCGGGCCUGCAGCGGAGGCCGUCAGCUGGAGGGCAGGCAGCGGGUGGCAGAGCAGAUCUGGUGGUCCAGAUGGAGAUGCACGCGGGGAUGGGCAGGGGCGUUGAAGGGCGGGCGGCACGGGGUGGGCGGAGCGCAGCGGGAAAGGGGGACUGCUCGUGGCAUGACGUGACAUGGCUCGUGGGGUGGGUGGUGGGGCUGGGGCGGGUGUCGACAGUGUUGUGCUCGCUGCCUUCCCGCCCCGGCUCCUGCGUCCUGCUUACGCACGCGUCACAGCACACCCACAACUGCGUUCUCCAACACCUCCACCUGCAACGCGACUCGCUAACCACCCCCACCCCCGUGGCCCGAAUUCCUCUUGACCCUGCGCGCCAUCCCAACCGGGGCACAUGUUCUCCGCUCUGGCACGUACACCCCGCUUUCACCAGAAUCGCACGCCUAAACCGUGUCAUCAAUCCCCCCCAUCGCCCUUCACCCGCGGCCCACGCCCCACUCCCGCAGCCCCUUCGAGGCGUGCCGCUACCACAGCCUGGUCAUCAAGCGCGACACCAUCCCGGAGGACCUGGAGGUCACGGCCUGGACGGAGGACGGCACCAUCAUGGGCGUGCGCCACAAGAAGUACCCGCACAUCCAGGGGGUGCAGUUCCACCCCGAGUCCAUCAUCACGCAGGUGCGCGGCAGGGGUGUGUGGGAAGGAAGGGGGUUGUAAGUGCCAGCCUGAACUAAACCAAACCACGCCAAACUAGCGGAGCACAGGCAGAGGCGCGGGCACUAGGGGGCGCUAGGGCAACUGUCAAGGACUUGCACCCGGCGCCGUGGAUAUGAACAUAGUCCUGUCACCAACAUUGCUGUACCCUCGCCACUGCAGAGUGGCAAGAAGAUUGUGGAGAACUUCGUGAAGACUCUGUAACGCCCUGUUGUGACGGUGAAGGUGGCGAGGAGUUUGGCGAGCAGCGUUUAGCGGCGAGGAGCUGCGUGGAGCUAUUGCCAUGAGCGACUUGCGUGGAGGCACUGCCUUCUCUGAAACUGUGAAAGUCAUGUUGCGGCGGUGCCUGGCCAAGUGGUGGCGCAGGGCGUGGCCCCAGCUGUUGCCAGUGAGGGCGGUGUGCUGCAGCUGAGGUGAACACGUGGUGCAUGCGCCUCGGGAACCUCCGGUGGAAAUGAAGUGAAGUGAAGGAGCGUGCUGGAGGCGUGGCAGUGUGAGGACAGGGCAGCUGAGACGUGAGGGUUGUGGAGUGGAGCAUGUGACUGGGUAGCAAGGUGUGAUUGGGGCGCGUAGCUAGGGGUGCGUGAGAGCGUGGGUUGCAUGGUCUGCAUCUUGACGCGGGUUGGGCACAAUUGCAGAGAGUGUGAAAGGAGGGCAUGCGUGCAGGCUGUGCAGGCCCCACGCCUCUGAACAACUGGGCAAAGCCGGGGAGGUGGCUUCGGGUUUGGUGUGGGGUUAAGUCGUGGCUGCCCAUGGAGCGGCGGGUGUGAUUGCAAAGUGGGCCACGGAAGUAGCUAUGAGACACCGUGUGUUAUGCUGCUACUGCGUGCAAGGGGUUUAUAGACACGGGUUAUUGAGGUUAGGGUUGUUGGUGGACGGCGCUUAAUAGUCGGGCAGUCGGACAAGAACCCUGGUUUGGGCCCUGCAUGAAAGGUGAGCGCCGAACAAAGCAUGCAAGCGAGCCAUGUCUUACGACAUCAACGCUACCGCUUUUAAACGUGUAUCUUGGAAUCCACAGCGGUGUCCUAACUGCAGUCCUGGGUCGCCUCGCCUGGAGAAAUCGGCUUUGCCAGAACUGUCAUCCCGCUUACCCAAGCUUCCCGCACAUGCUUUUUGUACAAUUCGGCUUGCCCAAGCUUUCUUUAGGCCAUAUUGAAUUUACUUCCAUCCGCUGCGCGCGAUAAGAAGGCUCCUGGCCGCCGACUCAUAGUUUACCUCGCUUUUCGUUUGCUUGUUUAGUCGGUCGCUCGCCACGAUGCUGGCUAAGUUUGCCUCUGGGCAAUUACUGGGGGCAACGGCGGGCUGCUCUACGCGGCAGGCGGCAAUGCCCGCACGUUGCCUCAGCGGUGUCUCCUCGCGCGCCCAACAGCCUCUGUUAUCCUCGGGCCAGACUAGCGCCCAAUUGCCUAUUCAAAGUCAUCGCUGCGCUGUAAUUACGCAAGGCCAGGCAAACAGCUCGCUGCGCCUGCCGAUUGAGUUGGACCUUGAGACGCCGUUGCCCGGCUUUGAUAGCAUUUCGUCGGCGCUGGCGGACCUUGCAGCUGGAAAGGUUGUGGUGGUAAUUGACGACGAGGAUCGGGAGAAUGAGGGCGAUCUCAUCAUGAACGCGGACAAGGUCACCACGGAGACCAUGGCAUUCUUCGUCGAGUACACCAGCGGUGUGGUGUGCAUUUCCAUGGAAGGCCAGGACCUGGACCGCCUCAAGCUGCCGCUGAUGAUUAACAGCGCGGAGAACGAGGAGGCCAUGUACACCGCCUUCACGGUGACCGUGGACCUGCGCGACGACAUCACCACCGGCAUCUCCGCCUCCGACCGCGCCAAGACCAUCCGCCGCCUGGCUGACCCCUCCGCCACCUGGACUGACUUCCGCCGCCCCGGCCACAUCUUCCCGCUGCGCUACCGCCCCGGCGGCGUCAUCGUGCGGCCCGGCCACACGGAGGCCGCCGUGGACCUAGCGCGCCUGUCCGGCUCCUUCCCCGCCGGCGUGCUCUGCGAAAUCGUCAACAAGGAGGACGGCAGCAUGUCGCGCACGCCGCAGCUGCUGGAGUUCGCCAAGCGCCACGGCCUCAAGUGCAUCACCAUCGCCGACCUCAUCCGCUACCGCCUCCGCAACGAGGCGAUCGUGACGCCCGCCGGCGAGCCCACGCCGCUCACCGCUGCCUCCGGCGCGCGCCUCACCGCGCAGGCCUUCCGCAACGCCGUGGACGGCACCGAGCACGUGGCCUUCGUGCACGGCGCUGUGGCCGACUCGGCCUCGGACGUGCUGCUGCACGUGCACCACGAGCGCACCGUGGCGGACCUGCUGGACUGCGCCGCGCCCGGCACCAGCGCCGGCGGCGCUGCCGACUGCAGCCUGCCCGCAGCCAACGCGAGCUCGCUGGACGGCGCGCUGCGGUCCGUGGCGGCGGCGGGCGCGGGCGUGGUGGUGUACCUGCGCGGGCAGAGCGCGCGCGGGCUGCCGCCGUCGGCGGAGCUCGCGGCGCUUGGCAGCGGCGGCGCGGGCGCGGGCGCGCUGUACUCGUGCGACCUGAAGGACGCGGCGGUGGUGGCGCAGAUGCUGCGGCAGCUGGGCGUGCGCUCCGUGUCGCUGGCGGGUGGCGAGGGCGCGAUGGCGACGGCGCUGCGCAGCUGCGGCCUGGCGGUGCGGCCCGCGGCGGCGGCGGCGGGAGGCGCGGGCGCGGCGACGCAGCACGUGAACGGCAACGGUGCCAGCAGCAACGGGCACGUGCACAGCUCGCCGCUGCAGACCGCGGGCAUGCGGUGAGCGGCGGCUGUGCGCCGGAACGCAGGGCCGGGGGGCGGGGGGCGGGGGUCGGGAGCGGGAACGAGAGCGUUUAGGGUGGCGCCGUGAGGCACCGUGUUAGGAGCGCGGCAACUUGGUCACGACUGACUGACGUGUGCGGUUGACAUGACGGCGUGGUAGUGCGCAGAUCCCACGGGCAGCGGGCAUGCGGGUUCGGGACAUGGGCGGUGUGCACGGCAGCGCGGGUCUGCAACGCGGGUCUGUACGCAGGUUCACAUGUGUCGGCAUGGGCAUGGGCAUUGUAUUUGCCAGUAGCAACCGGGUGUGACGGGAACAGGUCGCAUAGCGAGGAGGCAGGACGGCCCCCGCGGGCACGGAAAUACUCUACCUGAAGGUGCGGAAUCGAAGGCGCGGCUCGGGCCUGUGCCCAGCCAGCCAGCGGGCACGGCUGUGAGCGUGUGAGGUUGCCGUGAUGGAAUGUUCUGCUUGGGGGCUAUGCGAUUCGGGUUGGCCCGCGCCCAACGAGAGACUAGGCUGAGUAAUUGAGAGGACAAGCAACGUGAGGGUGCGUGGAUGCGACCGACUCUGCUGCGCAUGCGGGUCCUGCGGAAGGUGUUGACUGUUACAUGGCAUGUCUGAGUUGUAGCUAGGAUAAUGACUGCUUGGUGAGUGAGCGCGUAGGUUGACGUGUUACGUGUGCAUGCCUACAUACAAUUGACCGCUGACAGAACUGUCGUGUUUUGGUUUGACUACGGUAGUGUUAGUGUACAUGAUGUCGCUACGGUAACACCUACGUUACAGGCGUGUCGCGGACUGUGUGUGGAGGGGGGCGGUGUGUGACCGCAGUGCCCGGGCCAUGGGCAAGUGCAAUAGCAAGGGGGCGGACAUUCGGACGCACGUGUGCAAGAUGGCCCAAGCCUAAUGAGAGACGGGUGAGAGUGUGAGAAGCAAGGAUUGUGCGUGCAGUGAGUAUGAGUCCAGCAGGUGGACAGGAACAGGCGGGUGCUUACGGCGCGGCGUGUGGUCCGAUGGCCCACGGCCAGUCGCAAGAGGUGUUAGCGGCACGAUCGCAUCUACAGCAGCAACGGCCAGGAGAUUGCGGCGGGCACAUACGGUACGCGCGGAGGCAUGACGCGUCAAGCUGGUGCGUGCGGUCCUUGUGAUAGACUGCAUUGGCAUGUGCUGUAAUGUGGAAAGUACCGUACCCAAAUAGCGGACCUCCUGGAUUAUGAGUCAGAACGGCUGCAGGUGCGAGCAACGCGGACGCAUGCUGGAUACAGUCACGCGAUUGCAAGUGCUGCCAGCGGCAUCAAAGAGUGUAGUGCAGCGGGAGCCCAGUGUCACGCGAUUGCAAGUAGGGACCAGUGUCGGGGCACGCGAGCACGGCAUCAGCACACGGUAUCGCGUGACACCAGGGACGCAGCGCAAAACAUAAUUACAAGACCUUUCAGGAGGCCGCGGUCGAGCGACAGCAUUCCACACCGCAUACGACCUCCAGCUUGUGGCUCCUCAUGCCGCUCCAGCGCGCGUAUCACGUACUCGCCCGCGGUCAUUGCACCACCGCCUCACCAUCCGGCACACAAGAUUCCCCCUGUCGCGCAACCAUGCUCUCCGUAGGCCCGUUCACACAGCCCGUCCAAACAAGCCACCUACGUGGCCCAUCACAGCGCCACACCUUGUCGCAUGCAGGUAUACCAGCCCGCAGUCCUGACACACAACGGGUUUGCGCGCAGGGGCCUUCCGGCACCGGCCAAGCCGCCCAGCGCUGUCUUGCCCACGCAAGGACUCAUCCUACUAGGCAGCACCCAGCGCCGCUCGCCUCUCCACCUCCGCAGCCGGCCGAAGCGCCCCGUCUCCCAGGCUCUUCCUUCAUGCAGCAUCUCCCGCCCUGCGCUCCAGUCAGCCGCUAUGGCCAGGUUGUCCAGCCGCUUCGCGCUGCGGGUGCGCCUUCUUCCGCAGUCCGCUUAGAUGUAUGUCGCUGCGAGGGGCAACACACAAGGACCGAGGCGAAAAUGUCGUAAACCGACGGACCCGCCGGUGUAGCACCGGUGUGAGACCAACCAGAGCCAGCGCCCGGCGCACAUCGCACGCUCCAUUCCUCCGCCCCGUCAACUGUACUGCUGGUUGAUAGGUGUUGCUUGGCAGGAACGCCGUGCCAAGCCAGCUGCUGUCCAAGCUGGAUCCAACAGGACGGCCUCCCCUUCCCUCCCACACACACGCCCCUCUUGUCCCGCCUCAUCGCCCCUUCUUAAGGCUGAAUACGUGUUCCCUGCGCUUCCCACCCUUUUCCUUCCCUUCCUUGCUUUUCCUAUCCCACCCUUUCCCGCUCUCACCAGGCAUCUUGCCGACGGACACCGUGUGCCGCUCCGUGUACAUGCGGCCUGCAGGCGCAGCAGCAGGAGCCGCAGCAGGAGGCAGGGGCGGGGCAGAGCAGCUGAGGCAGCGCAGCAGACAGUGCAACUGGGGCCGACGCAACGCACGCAGGGCGCCUGGGCCCGGCCGGUCAUGUCCUGCAGCGCCUCUCCCUACGCCGCUCAGGCAGCGUGCAGGCGGCGUGCGUUUGCACGCCCCAGCAGCAUGCCCCAGUGGUCUGCCACGUGCCAACUACUGUGAGGCCCCCUUCGUUCCCGGCGCAGCCCGCCAAAUCCGGAUCCAGAAGGACUCACCCACUCGAGGCAUGACGCACCACACCAGCGUCAGGUUCACGUCCCGCCCGCGCAGGUUGUGCCCGGGGUCGAUGAACGCGUACUUUGUUUUAUGGUUGGACAGCUUGAAUACCGCCUUGUCCUAUGGAAUUUGGUUGUGAUGUUGGGGCCAAAGAAGGGGUUGGGUUGGUUGGGAUUGGCUUCACCUGGAAGCUUAGCUUGUUCGUGUUCAGGCAGCAGCGCUGACGGUUCAGUCUCAGACCCUAAGCAAGGCCCCAGCGCUCCCUCAAGCCUCGUCACUGUGUAAGGUAGGGGCCUUUCGUGCGCCUGCAGCGAGAGCCCGGCGGCCAACAACGGCUGCCGCACCAGCUACAGCACGGCACGCAGGUGCCCCUCUUCCCCGCGUCCUCUCCCCUACGCGCCCGCCGCUUGCCUUCUGCUGCACAAUGGAGUCCCACAGCACCACCUCGUUGAUGCGGUUCUCCUGCGUCUCAUACUCCGCCUGAACGUAGACGAACAGCUGCUUCGUGUUCCAUGUGAACACGCUGCGAAGAUCGGCGUUGACGUCAAACGUCACGACCGCCUGCGAAGACACACGUGAGAUUCAGUGUGGCGAACCGCACUGGCAGUAUGCCAAUAAUCGGGUGCGGCGAGCUCAGCAUGGUCGGCCAAGCCCUUACUUGGUCUUUUCCGCCGUGGUGCUGCACAAGGCGCCGAACUUCCCGCAGUCCUAGCUUAAUGUUUGGAUUGGACUUAUGGAGUAGAUCUGCGCAGACGCUGCAUGUUAUCGCCUGUCCCAAGAAAAUGCCCUGCCCGAUCACUCGUGUAUUCGCGUCUUGCCUGUUGAUGACGUAAGGAUGCAUAGCACAGCUGCUACCGUUCCAAAGAACGUUACAGCCGUAUUCAGGCGGUGGUAUAUCGAGUGCAUUUCUCUUGCGACCUAGCCUACUGACUGAGAGACACCUGAGUCUCAAGGGCAGUAUAUUUAUUUGCCAACACUUGUACACUGUCCUGCUUUCUGGUGUCGAGCGGAUGAGUGUGCCAAAUUGGGGCUUACAUUCCGCCUGCGUGUCCCGCCUGCUUAGCCCCCCUCCGCGGCUUCGCCCACGAGGUCUGUCUCGCCUAGUCGCCUUCCUCUGCACCUCCGCCACUCCCGCCCAGCAUCAAAACAACUGCAUCUUGGUCACCGCUCCAUCGCAGAACCGAAUGACCUUGACGUCACGCUCCACCGGCAGCCACCACACCGACGACAAGUACGACGACACGCCAACCGCCUCCGCCUCUUUCGCACCCCCGCUUCCCCCCGCCCUUGCCCUUGCCACAUCGGCCGGCGCCGGCCCGCCCAGCAGGCACCGCACACUGUCUGCCCGGCACCGAGCCAGCAUAACGUACGAUAGCGCGCCAUAUGGCGACGGCUGCGCCUCGAAGCCGCAGGCGGGCAGGUCGCACUCGUCCAACAUCAGCUGCUCCAGGCGGGGGCAGGCGGCCGCCAGGCGGGACACCACGUCGGGCGACAGCUGCGUAAGGAAGGGGCAGGUUGGCGCGUGGGGACGGAGCAAGCAAGGGCACGGGGCGGCGCGUGCUUGGUGCAGUGUCCGCUUGGAGUGGUAUGGGCAUGGUCAGAUCUGGCCCACGUGACCCCUUUCCGUGCCCACCCUACCCACAAACUAUUCCGAACCCAUCCUACCCACCCCAUCCAGUGCUCACCUGGCAGCAGUGCCGCAGCCGCAGGUUGCUCAGCGCCCCACAGGUCGUAAGCCAUCCCAGCAGCGCCUCGCAGCUAAACGGCCGCCGCCCCGCGUCCCCCACCUCCCCUUCUCUCUGUCCUUGCUGUGUUCCCCCCUCCUCCGCCUCCGCCACCUGUGAUGCCGCAGCGGCGGCCGCACCACCCCUGCCACUGCCCUCCUCCACCGCCACCACACCAGCGGCGCGGCCACGCCCCGCCUGGGCCUGAACACGACCCACACGCGGUCGCUGGUAGCCGGUCUGCUCCAGCCGCAGCUGACUCAGUGCAGGCGUGCCGCGGCGGCGCAGCUCCCCUAGCAGCCCCACCGACAGCCCCGCCACGCCCACCAGCGCCAGCGUGCGCAGCCGGCGCAGGGGAGGCAGCGAAGGCGGCAGCGGCAGCGGCAGCGGCAGCGGCAGCGGUAUCCGCGCCGCGUGCUCAGCACCAGCAGCACCAUCGGUGCGCGCGCUGCCGCCGCCGCCGCCUGUUCCAACCUCGCUGCCUCCUGCUGCCAGCUGCCCGACCGGCCUGCCGUACAGGAGUGAGAGCAGGUCGUCGUCGUACAGCUCCGUGGCACUGCCGCCCACCAGCUGCAGGUCAGACAUGGCCCACCGCCGUACACAGCGCCGCCGUACGCACUGCCGUACACACCGCCGCCGCUGCUGUGGCGGUGCUUCUUCUUCUUCUUCUGCCUCCGCGGCCGCGGCAGCUUCCAACCCCUCCCUCUGCCCCUCCUGCCCCUCGUGCCCCUCCGCCUCAUGCCCCUGCAUCGCCAGUCCUUGCUGCCCCCCCACCGCCGCCUUCUGCUCCGCCAGCCAGCCCAGCGGCCGCAGCAGGUCCUCCCGCCGGAAGGGGCCCAGGCAGUGGAUGAGGUGCAGCUCGUGCAGCUGGACCAGGUGGGGAGAAGCGGGGUGGGAGAGGGGUCGGGCUACUCCAAUCCCAACCAACGGGGGUUGUAAUCGAAUUAUCGAAACCAUACCCAAUAAGAGGAGCUGCAGGGAUAAGUAGACGCAGAAGACACACCACGCAGGAAGGCAAGUCGACACAGGAAGGCCAGACACACGCCGCACGCCCCUAGCAAGCCCGAUUGCGUUGUGGCCCGGACACACAGGCGACGUGUCCGCCGCAAGUACUGCAGCCUUUCCGCCGUUGCCCGAAUGCACCGUUUGCGCCCUUCCUCCCUUCCUCCCUUCCUCCCCAUCCCCAUCCCCUCAUCUCUUCCAACCUUCCACCCUUCCUCCCUUCCAUCCCCUGCCCGCCCACCUUGCAGCACGCCGCCAGCAGCUCCCCCAGCCCGGCGCCCGACACGCCCGCCAUCUCCAGCCGCAGCGCCUGCAGGUGCGGGCAGGCGGCGGCCAGCGCCCGCAGCCCCACGUCGUCCACGGCCGCCCCCACCCCCAGCUCCAGGCGCGAGAGCACCAGAGAGCGGUGCGGCGGAGGGGGCGGGCACGGGGCGGGCGCAGGAGGCGAGGCGGCGGCGGUGGUGGAGGUGGUGGAGGGAGUGGCGGUGGAUGAUGGCAGGGAAGAGGAGGCAGAGAAGGCGGAGGAGGAGGGGUGCGUGGAGGCGGGGACCGCUGGUCUGCCGCAGCCGCACAGGCGCAGCACGGCGGCGGUGUUGAAGCCCCACCCCACGGCCAGGCUUCUCAGGCCGUGCAAGCCUGCAAGCUGCUGCCCCUGAGCCACCUCCGCCGCCACCUCAGCCCUCUCCGCCACCGCCGCCUCAACCUCCACUUCCGCUUCCUCCUUUGCAUCUCCCUCCUCUCCAGACGAGUCGCUCGCCGAAGGGGUUUGCGCUGCAACCGGUGCCGCCUCUGCCUGAGGCAGGCGCGCGCCGCACCCAGGAGGCACCCGGUGUGGCACACACUCCGUCGGAAGUGGCGCCAGUGGCGGCGCCGCCGCCGCCGCCCGAGGUAUCGGCGGCGCCGCCGUCCGCAGCAUCGGCGGCGGCAGUGCCGCGGGCGCCAGGUCGCGACAGCGGCUGAGCCCCAGGUGCUGCAGCCGCAGCCGGCAGCCACAGGGAUCCCUGGCCUCACCGCUGCCAGCCCCCACUGCCACUGCCACUCCCGCCGCCGUAAAAUCCCCGCCAGCCGCGGCCCCGGCUACAGCCUCCGGCACCGCAGUAAGCUGUAGCAGCGCCAUCAGCUGCUCUGGCCCAACGCCCGAAGAGCCGUUCAGCUCCAGGCGCUGGAGGCGGCGCAGCGCCGGCUGUAGCACCGUCAGCCAGUCGUCGGCAGCUGUAGCAGCCGCCGUGGUGGCCGCAGCAGCCCUGGAAGAUGAGAUGGCUGUAGCAGAUGGCCGGCUCGCUGUGGCGCUUGCGGCCUUGGCACUAGCGGUUCCAUUGGGGGGCAAGCCCUUGGCAGUAGCCGCACCCUUGGUGGCAGCAGCAGCGCUCUUGGCAGAAGCAGCAGCGCCACCACGAGCAACGCUGCUACUGCUGCUGCGGCUGUUGCUACUGCCGCUUCGGUUGCCGUUGUCGAAGAAGCCGCCCAGCUCGAGGUCACACAGGCGCAGGUCUGCAUACGGUAACGGGCAGUUGGUGUUGCUUCCAGCGCUCUGCUCAAACCCACGCCGCUCCGACAUGGAAAUGAAAAUUUAUUCGGCCCUUUGAUGCUUGUUCCUAACCCCGCUCUUCCGUUCUGGGCUUUGGGGAGUUUGGGAUGAGGGCUCUGUCCCCGUCAACCGCCCACCUUGCAAGCACUCCAGUCGCGCCACCGCCUGUCGCAGCUCGCCGCCCCAGGCCCGUGCCACCACCGCUGCCGCCGCCAGCGCCUCCGCCCCCGCCGGCUGCCCAGCCGCUGCCGCUGUAGCUGCUGCCGCCGCCGCCGCCGCCACGCCGCCUGCCCACCUGUUCACAGGUGGCAUGGCAGCCCCCAGCGCACCCGCCGGGUCUCUGCCACCCCCGCCGUUAGCUCGCCUGGAGGAUGACCCGUUGCGGCUGCCCGCAGCAGCCCUUGCUGCUACAGCCGCGGAUGCGGCUGCUGAGUGCGCGGCUACUGCCGCCGCAGCUAAAAUGCCUGGCGGCGCGAGCGGGCAGCCGGACAGGUCGAGGGCGGUGAGGUUGCGGCAACAGCCCUGUGUGGCAUAAGGACAGGAUCAUGACCAUUGUCCCGACGGAAAUCCAUACAGUUAGAAUGACAGGCUGAACACAACCGCUGGCAUAAUGCCAAGCUGCACCUAGGCCCCCAAUCAGCUGGAAUUGGAUGACACAACACCGCACACGCACACACUUCGCACGGACACGCAUGCUCUGUUGUUCUCUUGCCCUGUCUCUCCCGAACACGAACACCACCAAUCGGAUCCCCCACGCACCGCUCUCCCCAGCAGCCGCAGCUCUUGCAGACCCGCAGCCGCCGAGUGUGUGGCCACCAGAGUGUGCAGGUGCGGCAGCAGUACACUGCCGCCACCCUCGGGGGGCAUCUCCGCCGCCGCCAGGAGCGCCAAAGCAAGCGGCGAGCCUUCAUGGCUCCGAUGUGCAACCUGUACAGAGGGGCACGGGCCAAAGCCUCUUCAAGCCCUCCACCUGUACUGUACAAUUCCAUUGCCAGGUUUCAUCCUGGAAAGGCUUCAAUCUAGACCCUCCCAAAGACGGUGAUUCAAUGCUUUUUGACGCCGUGGAGCUGGUCAAGCGCAGCGGGCAAAGCUGAAACCGUAACCAAACCCAAUGCUGCGAGCGCGGCCGUGACCGCUCUAAUCACCUGCAGGAGGGCCGCUAGUGCCGCGCUGUCGCCGUCGGGCUCAGCGACGCCGUCACCAUGGUCACUGCCCCCCUCCCCCUCAAAGGCCGACGGCCACUGGUUCCCAACCGCCAACGCAGCUGUGGUCAGGGCUACACCCGUCGCCCUGCCGUACAGCCCAUGGUACGACAGAUCCACGUAGGUCGGCGCCACCGGCUCCAACUGACCCUGCUGCCGCUGGCGCCGCUGCGGGACCGCGGCCGCGCCGCGCGCGUGCUGCGCGAGGCGCGUGACGAAGGAAGCGAACAGCUGCACCGCCUGCCAUUGCGGAUGCGGAGAUGAGCGAGAGCCCGAUUUGAAGAGGAUUACCGCAGGGGCCGCAGAGGCAGCACAAAGUGUCUGUGGAUGGUCUGGGCCCUGGUCUGGGCCCAAAAGGAUCUGCCGUCUAGAGCUCCCGCACCAGACCCGAGUUCCAACUGCUGCUGGCGGCGCCUGCACGCUACGCUCAGUGCCCCUCCACCUGCGCCUGCACACCCACGCGCUCCCUGACACCAAACACCGACGCGCUCGCGCUCGGCCCGCCACACCCUCCAUACUAACCUCCCUCUGAUGCUCCUCCCGCCCGCCCCCCUUCGGCACGCCCUCACCUCUGCGCUGCAGGCUGGGCUGGUCGGGUGCGCCGGCAGGCACGCCGCCCCCGACCCCAACACCAGGCCACCACCUCCAUCCGCACCCGCACCAUCGCCAGCCACACCGUCACCUGGACAGCCGCCUCUCGCCUCCAACCCCACCCGGGCCCCGGCCCCCGGCCCCGCCCCCGCGCCCGCCUCCGCUCCUGACCCCGCAGCCCUGGUUCCAAGGGGCCGCAUGGGCCCCGACUGGCUCGCCGCCCCCGCGUCCGUGACCACGGAUUCUCCGAGCAGCGGGGGCACCAGCGGCGGCUGCAGCGCGGGCCGGUAGGUGGACGGCUGGGGCCAUGCGGCGGGGGCCAGAUGCGCGGCCGCGGGCAGCUCGGGUGCCAGCCACAGCGUGUGGGCGGCCGGCAGGUGCGUCACGUGCGUCACCGGCAGCCCCGGAACCUGCAGCGUGGCGUGGCGAGCGUGUGGGUGUCGGUGGUAGGCAGUUGCAGCGGUCGUCAUGCCAACCAGGGAUGGGGUGGGGCAGCGACCGUGCAGGUAGCGUGGCGGCGUGUAAACUGGGAUUGAUAUACCGUACGGGUUGUGACGACAGGGCUGCGGGCUGCUCGUACAGUCAGGAAGUACUCACCGGCCAAGUGCCGGGGUCGCCAUGCCUGCCCUUCCCACCGACGGAGGCCGGCGCUGCAGGGGCGGGAAGCGCAUGGUCGCGAUCGCCUGCGGCGGCGACCGCCACCGCCGUCGCCGCCGCCUCGCCGUCGCGCGGCGGAUGGUGGGCGGCCAGCACGGCAGCAUGGCUGUCAGCGAGCAUCGCCACCCGCCCAUCACUCAACAGCACCGCCGCUGCCGCCGCGGCUUCGGCAGGGGGCUGAAACAUGUGUCCGCGCUCGAGCCUGAGCCGCGCUGCGCCAGCACCGCAGCGUGCUGGCGAGGUCGGCUUGUGGCGGCUUGCGGCGGCGGCGGCGCCGCCAGCUGCGCUGGGCAAGGCGCUGGGCUGAGUGAAGGGCGUGUCAGGCCGAAGGCUGUGCGCCGGAUGAGGAUGGCAGGCCAGGGCCUGCGACGUGGGGUUUUGGGUCGGCUGUGGGGCGGUUGCGUGGAGCAAGGCACGCCAGUCGCCAUCGAUGACGGCUCGGUGGCGCUCCGCCCUCUGCCGCCAGGCCUCCAGCCCACCAAGCCCGGCGCCGGCGCCACCUGUGCAGCCAGAGUUCAGCGAGCGUUGUGUGUUUAUGCAGGCCAGGCGUCACAGUUGGAUUUAUGAGCAACGCGCAUGUGGGUCGGGUGCAGGAAGCCACGGCGCCGCCCAGCCCGCCCUAAGAGGCGGCCGCGUACCUUGACACGACAGGCGGCCGUGUGUUUAGGGAGAGCCCGGGUCACAGCAACGACUGAGCCGGCCGCGAAGCGGGACUUGCCUGUUGUAUCCGUUACCAGAAAUAGUAGCGUGUGGCAUGUGGCUGCCACCGCGGCCUUAUCCAAGGGCCGCAGGCGGCGCAGCACAUCGGCGAGUAUGGCUGUAGGGAGGUCGCAAAAGGACCGCGCCAGCACGCCAGCAGCCUCCGGCACGCACUUACCAUCUUCAGGCAGCAUGGCUGUUAAAGCUGUUGCUAUAGCAUAAUUAUAUCCGCAUCAUCGUUCGGCAACCGGGAGUGCCCCUUCACGCCUAAGACGCGCAAACUCGAAACCUCGCCAACUGCGCCCGCGAGGUGGACGUGAGCUACGCAUGUGAAGUUGAUGAAAUUAAAUGAUCUACGAGUGCAGCUGGCGCUGGAAGGGUCGGUAGGAAUGCUUGAUGGGGCUGGCGCGGGUUCUCAUCCAUCGCGGUUCUCCUUCUAUUAAUCGAGUCCGCCCGGCUCCCAAAGCAUUUGCUUUCGACACACCAACACCACAACUGUCACGACCAAACUACGUACUACCUCAAUUACAUAUCAAACCCCGCGGCGUGCUACCUCCUUGCAUUCGCCUCUCAGAGUUUCCCUGCUCCCGCCAGCGCUACCAGGCCUGGAUUUUGAUCCUUUGGAAGGAUGGAGACGCUGUGGCCGGCUCCAUACGCCCUACCGUAAGUAGGAACGCAGAAGAAGCCGAGGAGACACGCAGUUGGGCCGCGCGAAAGUCGGUUGAAACGCAGCUCAAGCUGCAUUGAUAGAAAGUAAUUUGUGCUGCAAACUGCGUUCGGAUUUGGUGGGAAGGCAGUCGGGCGUUGUCGGGGAGAACGCGGCAAAACUCUGCAGACGCGGCCAAGCCUUUGCGUGCUGCGCCCUAGUCCAGGUUCCUGUCUGAUAUCACGGCGUAUUGAUUGGGCCGGUCAGAUAGACAUAAUUGCGCCUGGCGUGCGCCGAGCGGGCAGUUGACGCGCGACUGCUUUUAUGCGCAGGCUCCAGUCUGCGGCGAUGGCGCUGUCCGAACAGCAGCUUGGCCAACACAUUGAUUCUGGCAGCGAGGAGGACCACAUCGCGGUCGUGGCGCAGGUCCAGACUGGCAAGAAGCGACGCAGUGUGAGCGCGGAAGAGGACCCAGACUAUGAGGACGCCGCGCAAGGCGCGCAAGGCAUAACGCAUGAUGGUAAGCAAUUCGGGGAGGGCCUGGACAGAUUCUUGGUGCUGGACCCUGCUCGCCAUUCAAAUGCUCGAGGGCAGCUCGAGUUUCCUUCCAGCUCUGACUCCCAAGGCGAUGCUUAGAAGCGGUUCAAAUCCUCUUUUUCUAUCUAAGGAAAUCGCGUUGGGAUCGUUUUAGGUCCUGUCAGGCGCAGCCCUGUCAGCUCCGACUGGGCACGCCACCGCCACCUGGCACGAACCACCCGGUUUCAUUUUACCCCCGCCCCACUCUGGCUGUCCGCUUGCCAACGCAUUCAGCCAUAUGCCAGUUUUGACCACUAACACGAUGCUCUCUUCUCUUUCUUUUGCAUUGUGGUGGCUACUCGUCUGUAGGUACAUCAAACAAGGCCGGCUACCGAGGCGUACGGCGCCGGCCAUGGGGCUCCUACGCCGCCGAGAUUCGGGACGCAGGCUGCGGCAAGCGCCGGUGAGCAUUUGCUCCUUGACAUGUAUGGAACAUGUCCUACUCGUUUCGCCAUGCGGUAUGCUUGUACGGGGAUUGUCCUGGCCUGUCUGGCCCUAAGCCACCUGCCUCCUGAGCCAGCGGCCUCGAAGCCUGUCGAGGAAUCUUGUGGGAACUUUGGCUACAGGUGGAUUGGCACGUUCAAGACUGCUGAGGAGGCUGCACGGGCGUACGAUGAGGCCGCCAUUGCGCUGCAUGGGCCUCGCGCCAAGGUGAGACGCGCUCGAAUGCACAGUUUCGCUUGUCUUGAUCUGGGUCGGAUGACUUGCACGUCGCCCUGAUAUUGCUUGCACCCACCGUAACUGUGCGAUUCAAGCCAAGUCCGCGCGUCAGUUAUGCCAGCUAUCCGAUCACAGCGUGCCCGCCUGCGAGCCCCCGCGUCAACCUUCAGGCCGCUGACGCAACCCCGCUGCGCCCCCUUUGCAGACCAACUUCACCUACCCCUGCCAGCAGCAGAGCGCCGCCGCCGCGCCAGCCGCCGCACACAAGGCCCACAAGCCGCACGCCGCCGCCGCGCCGCAGCACCACAAGCCGGCGCACCACAGCCAGCAACCUGCUCAGCCGCGCAAGCAGCCGCUGCACCCCCGGCAGCCGUACCAGCAGCACCAGCCCCCCCAGCUGCCGACGCAUCAGGAGGAGGAGCAGUACCGGCGCAAGUCGGACGACUCAGACACCUCUAUGACCGCUGCGCUGCCGCUGCCGCUGUCGCUGACGGGGCAGCUGGGCCUGCCGCCGCUGACGCUGCCGGGGCUUGAGGGUCUGGACCUGAUGGCGCUGCAGUCCAACCCCGCGCUGCUAGCCGCGCUGCUCGCCGCCACGCGGCAGCACCUCCCGGGGUUGGCCGGGCCGGAUGCGCAGCCCGCCUGCCUGCCGGAGCAGCAGCUGUCGGAGCGGGUCUGGGUCCAGGAGCAGCCGGUGCAGGGGUGCGAGGAGGAGGAGGACGGGUUGGAGGAGCCGGAGCCGCCGCAGGUGCUGCGGCCGGAGCAGCUUCGGUCGCUGCAGGUGCUGGCGGAGGUGGCGCACCUGUUCGGGCGCCGCGACUUCUGCAUGUCGUGACCUUCGCCGGCGUGCCAGGUUCGGCAGGGCGUUAGGUAGGCAGCCGUGCAGGCUCAGCCGGGGUGACGUGGGCGAAGAAGAUGGCAAAGUGAUCUGGGUCUAUGUGGUGGGGGCUUGGGCAGUCAUUCGCAGGCCCCCAAAUAGGUUGGGAAUGGGUUGCCAAGGUACUUUUCCCGUGGGGCAGCAGCUUGGUAGGCAGACCGCGGGUGGGUGCAGGCGGCGCGGCUCUGCAGUGCUGUGCCGGGCUCCCGGAGCACGCUCCAUUCUGCGCCAUGUGAGUCAUGUGCGUGGGACGCCAGCGUAGCAGUCUUACGGUGCGCCUCAGCUGUUUCCUGUGUUUGUCGACAGCCUGGCGUCGAUUGUACUUUUCGGCUGUGCCACGGCGAGGCGGUGACUGCGCACAGACGAAGAACAAGGGGCGAGGGAUGAGACGACGACAGGACUGAGUGUGUUGGGCAUGGACUUCGUGCGGGAUGAACUUAUCAGGGGCAGUAGCCCAUGUUGGUGGGCACAUGUUUGGUGCGGUACCAAUCAUGCAUAGAUGCAUAACAUGAGGCUACCACAGACACGACCGCAGGUGGACGGCUGCAUGUCCGAUUAUUUUGGUUUCGAAGCCGAAGCUGUGUGUGGUGCGUUUUGAGUGGAUGACAACGCACGCGAUAGCGUGCCGGUGAUUCUUGCCGCUACAUGGCGCAGGCGCUGUGCAAUCGGUACAUGGUGAGGCACGCUCCCGACUCAUGGGAGCUGAGAUGGGGACUGAUGGUGUUAAGGCCUUUAUACAUAUUCUACGGCAGCACAACGUCAUCAGGAUUAAGGCGAAUCCAAUGUGUGGCUGCAAGCGGCUCUUGACCACGCAAGCCACAGCCAACGAUUGACGCUUCAUAAGGAGUGUGUAUGGGUACCGCAUGUGGAUGAUAAUCCUACCGAGAGGGACUGUGGUGGUGUCUGACACCUUCGCAAGACGGGCGUAUGCGUGAGAAAGUGAGGGUGCAAUUAGUGAUGCCAGUGAGGUUACAGGUGGCACGCGCCAUAUUCGUUUCCGCCAACUUGAAAGACGUUGGGAGGCGAGGAGAGACAGGACAAAGCUUAGGCGACUAGAUAUACUGCCAACGGCAUUGCAUGGUCGGGCUCAAUUUCCCCUGCCACAAUAAUUCGUGUAUCUAGCACGCACGUGAGCAUGGCAUCGUCAAUGCAAUGUGCGGCUGAGGUUGCCUGCAGGCGGGUGAAUGGGCUGUGAUUACUUUUGUUUGGACUCCCCUGUACGCCCGCCGAGCUCAGGCCUAGCUCUUUCAUUUUUCUUUCUUUGGGGGUCCAUGCGUUGCUUGGGGCCUGAACGGUAUGGGCCCCGAAGUGGGCGUAGAGCCACUGGGGCGGGUAAAAGACCCCCGACAGCAACACGGUACAAUUCAUCCCUGUGCAAGGGGCAACACGGUGUAACACAGCUGCCCACCUCGACUGCUCUCAUGAACCCGACCCCCUGACCCCAACCACAGCACAGCUGCUCCCUGGUUCGAAUACAUGUCUGCGGCCAUUUCAUCUUCUCCUACUCUCCUAGUCUCGGGGUUAACCAAUGGCCUCGCCCCCCCCCCUCCCGGGCGCCGCGACCCACCGUCCAGUGACUUACGGUUAGACGCUUUAUGUCGGUGGCAGGUGUAUGGGUGCUUCGGGGCAAUCAGCCGAUGAAGCAGCCUCCCCUCGGUUGCGGACUUGAAAUCCGGACGGCGUGUGCCAUAUGCACCGCCGCCCUGCUGCAGAGUGGCUGCGCCGGGCGCCCGCCUGCGUCCUCCUCCUUCACCUCCCCCGCCGCGCACAGCAGCUGCAGUCCGAUUGCGCGGCUUGCAUCAUUGCAUGUUUGCUGAGGGUACCUGUAUGCGGCAUGCAGCAUGCCUGACUGGGCGCUCUAUGCAUGCGACAUUACAAGAAAGGACAGUCCGACCAAGCAUGGGUGCCCAGCACCCAGGUCAGGAGGGAACCAUCUCCGGCCCGAAGGGAAACCGCCCUCCCCCCAGCUGGCUGCCGACCUUCACCAAACCGUGCAUUGUUUCUGCGCAAAAAGCGUGUCUCAGCUGCUACACCGGCAUACGGUAAGUCGAAGUCGCCCUAUGCUGUCAAGGGACAAGAAAAGGUGGCUCUCCCUCGCAAGGGAAAAGUGGGCUGCGCCAAAGGGGGAAUGGUAGAAGCUCAGGAUCUUGCCCCAUGCAUUAGAUAAGAGAGCGUUAGGGGAGCAUCACGCACGUACUUAUGGUUCUUCGGGGGUGGUCUGGUGAGCAAGUUCUGGGCCGUCAAAGUUGGGAGGUCAGUCGUGAUCGGGUUUCAGGAGCCCAUCCUGGCGGAUUUUGAGAAGCGCCCCACAACCAGGGGAUCUAGGCAUUUCAAUAACCAGAGCUAGGGGCCGAUCGCAGCACCGUGUGGCUCAAUUAUGCAUGUUACGAUGUGCACAAACAAAGCGUGGGAGGUCCAUUUGCGCGUCCUGGCGUGGACAAGUCGGGACAUGUCCGCACAUGCGACGCCUGCACGCUGACAUGGCUGGGCUCUCAAGCUCCAGUGCACAUGAAUUUAUUUCAGCUGCCGGCGCACGCUAUCGAUACGUCACAUGACAAAGCGUGGAGCGGGGUGGGUCGUAGGGAUUUCCAUGAAUGCAUCUUCGAAUGCAGAGCAGGACUCGUCAAGGAAAGUCGAUUGGGACCACUUUGGAUGGGUUGAAGGGUUUAAGGGUUUAACCCCUACACGAUAAGUCUGUGUCCGUGAGCAUGAGCAUUUACAUGGCGUCGAAGUCCAUGUGGCCCCACUAACUCUUCUGAGUCCGGAGGCGCUUGAUAGCAAAAAGCAAAGUGUCUUCUAAAGCGUCUAUACGCUGUUUACGCGCCUGAGCACGUAAUGCCCGCUCCACCUUUCCAUCGGGGUCGGAGCCCCUUCUCACGAAGAUCCUCAAAAGCCUUCAGUUGCUCCUUGCGCAUCUCACACCCUACCCGGGUCAGAUACGGUGCGACAACGGCACCAGCCGCACGGACCUGCUGCGCCACCCGAAUGAGCGCGCUCCGCUCCUGCUGUGUCACCUCCACCACGACAUGCCACACCUCCCUACCCUUUGACCGCCACGCGCGCACGUAUCGUCCGGAGACGUUUGCGCCACUCGCACUGGCCACCGCCUCCAGAUUUCCAGCCGCCUUGAGUUUCUCGAGCAGCUCACGGCUAACCGACUUCAGCAGGACUUUACCCUCGUCGACCCCCCCGGAGCACCCUGCUCGGGCCAGGGCGCGCUGAGUGUCCUCUAGCGCGCAACGUUGCUCCUCCAUCUGGACUUGCAGCGCUGCGACCGUGCCUUGCAGCUCCUUCUGCCGCCGUUCAGCUGCAAGCGCAGCGCCCUGGGCCUCUGAGACAGAGGCGUGGAGCGCCAGCGCUUGUAGCUGCAGCUGCUGUAUGCUGUCGCCGUGCUGCGUGGCUGCUGAUGUUUGCUGCUCUAGCUGCCCAAGUGCCUCCUCCAAGGCCGCUAGGUACUCCUGGAUGGUCGCGAGCGCUGGUGUUGUGGCGAGAUCGAACAGGCGGGUCGUGUAAGACAGGCGCGUGAGACGCUGCAGCAGUUUCGUAGCGCGCUGAAAUGGGAAGGCCGCGCCAGAGUCCGGAGUGCCGAUGCUCAUCGCACUAGUGCUGGCAACCGGGCAGGAGUCCUGCUGGUCGCUGACACUACUGAAGCUCCCAAAGCUUUCCAAACGGCACCCAGGCCCACUGCUCGCCGUGCUCGGCGGCAGCUCGGGCUGGGGCGACGAUCGGGCUGAGGUUCCUGCGAAAGCGGCGGCCACCGCCCUGUCGGUAGCUUCACGCAUUUUUGCCUGAAAUGUUUCGUAGAAAUUGUGCUCGGCCAUGUUUUGUUAUCUCGUGUCGUGUUUGGUCAGGUGGCCACUUUGAGUCGUUGUGUUGUGUUGUGUUGUGUUGUGUUGUGUUGUGUUGUGUCCUGGGGGUGGUCCAGAUUGGUCGUACCCGAAUUCGGGUCUGGCACUAUCUUUCUUCAAUCCCCCCCCUGGCGCCCAAGCCAUGUUGGUGCAUGCCUCUUCAUCUCUUUCACAAGCAUAUAGUGACAUCUGCUUCCAUGCCGUGACAAUCUGGUCCGCUUCAGUCGAUGCACCCCGUCAGCGUCACCGCGGUCACUCCGGUACGCCAACACGUAGAAAUUCUGCCGCAGGUGUCGUGCAACACAGAAGCUGUCUGCACUACUGGGAUUCUGGGCGCGGUGGCAACUGCUGUGUUUCCCAGGGCUUUUUUGCUUCUUGGCCGCUGGCCCCUUCCCCAACGCAACUUAGCUGUGCACAGUACAAAAGCCGCCCACCCCCUGAUACGGAGCGACACGUGCCUCCCGAAACGCCAGUUACAGGGAAUGUUCCCGUAACGUAUAAUCCACUCGGUCCGCUUUUUCAGGCACGCAAGGAGUCGACACGCGGCUGUGCAGCCCGAAACAGCGCUUUUUGCACUCUUGCAAGCUCACAUGCGCCAUCUGCCUGUGCAUCGUUCAUUCUUUCUACAUCAUCUUCCGAAUCUGCUCUCCUGCAUGUCUCGUCUAUGACCUAACAGGCAUCCCGCGAGUCUCUGCAUUGGCGGCUACCACACGACAUACCCGCAUCAACACAACCAUCAACGGUUUGCAAGUAUUGCAACGUUUUAAAGCAAACAAUCAAGUCAUAGACGUCAAGAAGGUGUGCAUUCCAUCUGAAUGCAACACCUAGAAGUUCCAAGAGAGAGGGACGGGCAGUGACGCCCAUCGUAUUGUAUGUCCGCCCGCUCCUAGCCCGCUAACAAUGUACAUGGGAUCAUCUUGUAAUGAUCGACGGUCAAGCUGCUGCUUGUCCUGCCGCUUACGGCUGGGCAGCGGCGAACAGAGGGCAGCUGCAAAGCAGAAUGAAAAAUGGAGGGACAAGAUCAGAACCACAACCGAAGGCGUGUCGAGGGGGGGCACGGCGCAACCCAUAGCUAGCCAUUUCUACAUGCCAUGCCAACCCCAUAGCAGCACACAGUACUGCUUUUUAGACAUUAGGACAAGCAAACCUCAAGCAGUCACAUCCCAACUCACCAGUUCUUCGUGUCGUCAAACACGUUGCCCCAGCACACGCCAUCGUUGGCAGGCAGGCAGAAGUCCGACAGGGGGGUGUCGUUCUUCAGCUCCAGGCAGAUCUUGCCGCCAUUCGCCUGGUCCUUGCUCCAGUUCAGGGGGGUAGCCUUAACGGUCUGCUCGUCCACAGCGCCCCAGGUGGCGGACAGCCACUUGCCGGUGCCGGUCUUGGGCUGCACGUACACGCCGGUGAUGGCGCGGCGCUUCUUGUCGUCGGCGUAGAACUCGGCCUUGAGCAGGCUGGUGCUCCGGCCGCAGGGGCUGGUGGCGCUGUUGGGGGUCACCAGGGUGAUGCUGAAGCAGUAAGCAGUGGUGUCCUUGGUGCGGCCGGCCAUGCUCGACAUCGCGGGCGCAAUGGCGAAGGGGGUGGCGCCGGGAGUGGUGACGCACUGGCACUUGGGGAAGUCGGGGGUCUGCAGGGCGCAGGCGGCCGAGGCCUGGGCGUUGAUGCACGACUGGGGCAGGCCGGCGACGGCGUCGCCCAUGCCGCCAACAGAGACGACCACGGUGUAUCCGGCCAGGGCGGGGCGGCAGCCCUGAGUCACCAUGUCCAGCCAGAAGUUGAUCUGGGUGUCAACGAAGCUCUGCAGCUUGGCGCCCUCCUCGUUGGAGAAGAAGGUGGCGCACACCAUCACCAGGUUGCCGGCGCAGCUGGUGGACCCAGGGGUCACGGUCACGCCGAGGUCGGAGGCCUGGGUGGCCACGUCGUCCUGAAUGGUGGCGAUGUAGCCCUGGCACUCGUCGUUGCUGAUGGAGUAGGGGAACAGAACGCGGCUGGCGUCGCUAACGGUCAGCGAGAUGUAGACGCAAACCUGGCAAGGAGGAGGGGGGCUGGGGGGAGGAGGGCUCGGGAUGCCGGGCGUGGAGAUAGGGCAGCAGUCGUUCUGGCUGUCGAACAGCGCAGCCGAGCACACACCCUUGGGCAGGCCAGGGGGAGGAAUGCACAGCUCCUCAAGGGUGGUGCAGCCCUUGCCGUUCUUGUUCAUCGACAGGGUGAUGCAAAUCUCAGCACCGUCGCUGGCCAGGCCCAGGCCCAGCUGGGUCAGGACCAGGGUGGUCGAGCCAACGGGGCCAUCGGUGGGCUCGUGGAACGAGACACCGACCUUGGUGGGCACGCCGUUGAUGGUGGCCUUCACCACCUCGCCGAAGACGUCGCACGCCUCGUAGACGUUGAACUGUGUACAUCAAAAUGAGGAACAAACUCAGAGAACUUCUUGAAAAAAGAACUCACACUGUGGGUUGCUGGCUGCUGCGACUUUGAAACCGCGACCCGAUGCGCCGACAACCCACCUCGAUCUUCUUGAGGUCUGCCUUGGAGCAGCAGUAAUCGGUGCAGCCAGCCGGCACCUUGGCGCUCAGCUUGAAGCAGUACUGGUUGUUGCCCUUGGCAACGACAACAUCACCCAGCUUGUAGGCCGAGGGAGACUUCUUGCACUGGCAGUAAGGGAACGAGGUGUACAAGCCCGACUGAGCACCCUGGGCGGCCCUGCAGAUUCAGAACGAAGGGCACACGCGGCACGGAGUUACUGCCAGCGGAGCAAGCGGAGUCUCGGCGACGGGAUAGCCUGCUUGCAACUUGCUGUCAAAUCCGGUGGUGGCGCUACGAUCACUGUUACGCUAUGCUGAAAUCAUGAAAAUAGCCCGAGCAUGCUGUAAGAGCGCCGGUUGCAAGAAGGCCGACCGCAUUCAAGCUGCGCAGCGGACCCACACGACCACUAUUUACGCCGUGAGCGUAAAUGAUUAUCUUUGACUAGAGUCAGCGAUGCUCGUCUAUUCUACAACUCAGGAGCUUCCCGAAGCGACAAAUCUGUGAAACGCGCGGUCUUGCUACUCACGCAAUUGCGGCCGCGAAAAGAACGGAGACUAGAAUGCUGCACCUCAUUGUCACAGAGGUGGUUCAGCUAUAAAGAAAUUGUGAGGCACGCGGGCUUAUCAUGGGGGGCCCGGCUGGUCGAACGAGUCGUACGCCCGCCAUUAACCGCGGGCGCGUUAGUUUGGCGUGCGAUGCAAUCAUUCAUGCAACCGCGCCACUUCGACAGUGCCGGAAACAACUUUUAUUUUUGUGGGUAUGCAUCCGGCUAUUCGGUAGGACAGCAGCUGCGUUACGCUCAAACUCGGGCAAACAAUUGGGCUAGCGGCGUGAGCUUGCACCUCACAACUAUCAUCACACAAGUUAUUUAGAUACUGGCCUACCUUGGGCCAUCUCCAAAACUGCCUGUCCAGCCCGGGAGCGGCGGAGCUGUUUCGCCCGCGGUUUGGAGUGGCUUUACUCGUGCCGACGCAAGUCCUUGAUUUUUGCAUUAUAAAAAAAUUAUAGAGUACAGCUAUAGCAACCAACUUGGCAAUGGAGCUGCUGGCAUGGUCCAAACGCGGGAAGCUGGCGCCUUCUAGGCUCUUUGGAGCCCUGUCGGCUUCACAAGUGGCUGAUGCUCAAGUUGUGCAUCGCUUUGGCCGGACAAAUGUCUCCUAGUAACCCGGUUCACAAGCGAAGCGUGAAACGAAAGCAAAGGAUGCUGCGCGCCGGAAGCGAAACGUUCGAUGCACCUAAUUGGGCGCCAAGCGCGGAACCUUGCAGUCUCAGAUGCGUGUGUGCAUGGAAGGAGAAGGCUGGCGGAGGCGAGAGGAGCGGGGGCAGGGAUUGGCUUUCGUGGGGGGGGCGGGGCAAGUGGCGCGGGCGGGGCUGGGGGGGCGAAGAACGGUGAAGACCGGUGCGAUGGCACAGGGUAAGGGGCAGGUUGGCGUAGUCCCGAGUCCCGAGAAACAACUUACGCCCAACCCAGGCGCCAAUGAAACAGGUGAAGAGCUUGAGGACCCCCCUCCCGCUGUCCGGGCCUUACACACAAGCAGGCCAAGUGCGGGGGGAGCCGUAGCGCACACCAUAUACCGUACUGUCACUGUGCUCGAUUUCGUCGCUAGUGACGCCCCUGCUGGCUAGGGUAGCAAGGGUAAUGGGGGUGAACGAGCCGGUUGCUUAGGCUGUGCCAGCUUUCCCCGGGUUUCAUUGGGGUCACACACUUCACUGAUGCACAACUUUCAGAGCCAGGGGGCUGCAUCCUCCGGCAAGCAGACGCCAGGAGGGUGUCCCUGGCCGCAUGCGCUGGGUCCUGGAGUCUACGGUACGCGUUGCCGCACGCGUCGGUUGGCCAUCCAUUCCCCAUCCUUAGACACAAUGACUGUGUCAUGUGUGCACGUUGCGCUUUAGGCUCGGCCAGCGGCACCCUGGGUUGGGUGUGUGAUGGGUUGGGUCUCGGUUUGAGAGGUGUGACCCUUGCAGAAAGCAGGACUCUCCACACUCCCCUCCCGUGCUGUGCAUGUAUGUUCCUGCAUGCACGUGUGUGUAUGAAGUGAAUGGCUCAGCCAACGGCUGUGUGUGCAUGUGGCCCGCGUAAAAUGCAAUUUACCAGUGAUGGGCACUUCUAUCAGGGAGGGGUAGGAAACAAAGUGCCAGACCCCAUGCCCCGAAAUCCCCCGGGACCCCCCUUGAGGGGACGACCGACCCCCCGACGGACAAAACCUUGUUGUUCAGCGGUUAAAACCCCUCCAUUUAAUACCAAAGUAGUGUCAAUCGACUCCUCUUGACGAGCACUAUCACUCCGUGCCAUCAGCGGUCCUGUUCUGAGACUUCGGUCACGGGCGGGAUCCUAUCCAUGGAAAUCCCCUCGACCCAGACCACCCCGCGCUCAACUCUUUGCCGCGUGACGAAUGGACAAUGUGCAUCGGCAGCCUUGUUAGACGUGAACUCAUGCGCAUCAGCGCUUCAGAGCCCAGCUGUGUCAGUGCGCAUAUGUUGAAUGUGGAGACAUGUCCCGACAUGUCCACGUCCGGACGCGCAACUUAGCCCUCCCACGCUUUGUUUGUGCUUAUUACGUCAUAACGUACACAUAUGAGCCUCGCACUGCUGCGUUUGGCCCCUAGUUCUGCUUGUGGGGCGCUUCCCGAAAUCCGCCAGGAUGGGCUCCCGAAACCCGACGGACCCCCAGGGACGAGGACCGACCCCCAACUUUGGCGGCCCAGAACUUCCUCACCAGACCCCCCUUUAAAAAACUAAAAGUACGUGCAUAAUGCUCUCCUGAAGCUCUCUAAUAUUGAGCAUGGGGUAAGAACCUGAGCUUUCUAACCCCCCCCUGCCAUGGCGGCCACAAUGCCAAGAUGCUACCUGGCGGCGCCACGCACAGCAGAGCCCUGUGCUCCGCAAGGAUGCACACGUGCACACACGCACACACAUGUGCGAACACACGUGCACCUGCCCUCCAUGCCACUCGCCCCGCCCCUUCCCCCUUCCCUCACCUCAGUUAUGGCUGACUGGAUGCGGUUGAUCUCAAACAGCCGGCUGCGCCCCUCCUGGGAGCCGCCGCCGCCGCCGCCAGACAGGAGGUCUGGAGUGCGUGUGAGGAAGGGGAGGGGGGGGAUGUGCCCGAGCCCGAGGUCUCAAGCGUCAAGGAAUUGUUUCCAAACCAGGGGGAGGAAGCGGUAGGGGGGCGCGAAGUGUGAUGUUUGUCGGGGUAAGGUGUGAGGCAUUGGGCAUGGAGCGUAAGGCGGGCAUCAAGGCGGGUAGGGUGUCGGCCUGUGCGCUGUCACCCAAGCCACGGGCGCACCGUUAGCACGCACGCACGCGCACACGCUCACACUACGCACCUGCGGCCGCCUCCUGCCCCUUGCUGGUGGCGCCGCUCCCGCCGCCGCCCCCACCUGCACCCCCAGCAGCCGCCCCGCCCGGCACCGGAGCGCUCACCACCACCUGCGCCUCCGCCGCACCCUCCACCGCUGACUCUGCUCCUGCUCCCCCUCCUGCUGCGGAUGCUUCCGCUGGUAGCUGCACCACUGGCGUGUGCCGUGGAUGCGGUGGGUGCGGCGCCGCCAAGCCAGUCACCGCCGCCACCACCGGCGCCAGCGCCGCCGCCACGGCAGCCGCCGGCUCCCCUCCCGAAAUCCGCCAGACACCCCCUUAAAAAGUUAAAAGUACGUGCAUAAUGCUCUCCUAAAGCUCUGUAAUUUUGAGCAUGGGGUAAGAAACUGAGCUUUCUACCCCCCCCCUGCUUCUAUCAACCGGUUGUGCUUUCGGGGUUACAUGGAAGAGAUUAGGCUGGUGGGGCACAGUGGUGCACGGUGACAGAGACAGCCUUUCUUCCCUGUCUGGGUCAGGGGACAGGUUGUGCCGCCCUCGAGUCCGAAUCAAAUCGUUCUUUGCAGCAUCCCUCUUCAGGAUGCUGAGUGGAGUUGGUGUCGGUAGUAAAGGCCAAGCCCAACGCCCAUUGCGGCAGGGCCCAGGUGUGGGCGGAACGCCCGCCAAGAUGAGACACGAUGAGAGGCACGGCCGAUCGCGCCGAGUUAAGCCAUCACCACGCCCAGUGUUCCGGCCGGUUGUAACAGAUCAACUGUUACGAUCCCUGUUCGAGACAGGGCUGGGCCCUAACUUAUGCCUCUUACGAGUCUUCUAGUGAAUACGCGGUCACCCAAGUCUCAUCCGUUGGACAUCUCCAACCCCUUGCCAGGCUCUACAGUGAGUUAUGUCCGGGGUGGGCUAGGUACUGCUACCCCAGGGGAGAGCCUUCCCUGGCAGAGCCCAGGCCCUGCCGUAUUCCUUACCGGGUCGCACACCCACCGAAGUACCGAACCACGCGUCACGGUCUGGGAAUCAGCUGCACCCUACGGGACUUCACCAACCUGCCUUAACACUGUCCCAUACCACGCGUUACGUUUCUCCACGAUCCGCGGAACGGCGGAAACACGUAUUGACAUGUGUACACCCGCAAGGAGACCGCGGGUGGGUGAGAAUACUGCGCCUGCGCCUGAGAGCCCCGGGGCAAGCUGUCUCAUCCCCGAACGUAGAACUCAUAGAGUGCAGUCUGUGCAAAAGGGAAAGCGAGAUGCAAAGGACGAAGCAGGAGUCGUGUGACGCGUUAGCGUGGAUAAACGCCUGGCGGAUGAGAUCGGACAUGGCAACUUGGAAAUGGGCAGGUUGGUGUUAGUCCUGUGGACCUGAUAUACCCGAGCCGGUUGAGGGCCUCAUGUGCAAAACCGCCAGCGCCGGUCUGCUGGCCUUAUCUGGGUACACGCAGUACCGGUGCGGUAGCUGACGAUGCCAGCGUUAUUGACGAGUGUUGCGGAACUAAUGCGUACGUAGACCAGAGCGGAAGGCGGAGUGGGCUUGCAGGCGGCACGAGAGUAGGCAGUCAGUAGCGCAAGUUGCGAAUUCACAUGUUACCUCGUAACCGACGGUAAACGCUGCGGACGGUCGCGCCCAUGGCUGGCUGACGGAAGGUGGCUGCUGUAUUGGGAUGGCUGGGCUGGACGACGCCGGCCGGGCUGGCGUGCACGAUGUGCACAAACCGUUCCGCCUGCAGAUUGCAGAAAGCCCUGACGCCAGCUGCGCAUCCUGACGGAUGACACGUUGGGGGCUGUCACUCAGCUGCUGACUCGGGACCACCGUGCUGUCCCCUGCCGCAGUUACCGCCGCAGCCUGGCUGGCAUUCAACUUAUGUUGAAAAUUAUAUCAAUAUGACGCGUUCGUACUGUGCCCCCAAACCGGUUUACAGGGGCAACAGGCAAUAGCCCUGCGCACAAACUCCUGCUUCUCACCAGAGCUUUCGCCGUUAUGCACGGCCACGGGAACAAUGGUCCCGGCCAACCACAUCUAUGAACCGUGUCCGUUAGCCUCUCCUGAGGCUUGUAACCGGAACGCGGCUCCGCUGAUUGCAGUCCCAGGAUGACGCUAACCUAAGCAAACAGUCAAUGCGCAUGAUCAUUUACACACACGAGUGCUCUUAUGUACUGCCCAUAUUAAACACAGUCGAGUUGUGGAUCAGUUGCACGAUUCACCGCGCCAGCCCUCGCGGCGGUGCUUCACGCAAUCCGCAUUCAGCUGGUGGCGAGUCGCCAAGCCGCCCCCAACAAAACCCGCACCGCACCAAGUGCCAUGCCGUUUAGACACACGCGCACAACACUAAUCCUGCGAGGCAGUGAUCUCAUCUGUCACUUUGUCAACUACCCAAUCAAGCCAUUUUUCCGAACCCAAUUCAAAACACGCGCCCACGGGCGAAGCUGUGCGCCGUGGCUGUAGCGGCUGCUGCCUCUGCUGCCAACGCCUCACAAAAUCCACCCGUGGCCGUCUGCCACAUAAGCUCCAGCGGUCACCAGCUAUGCUCCGUGCCAGCUCGCGAUAUUGCCAGGCCGUGUGGCCGCAGCAGCUGUUUGCACAGCUGCCGCGAAGCAAGUCCGCUGCCACAAGAACUCAAACAGGGUGGGUCAGCCGCGCGGCUUCCAAGCGGCUUCCACCUUGUGUGUAUGGACACGCGACGCCUCGGCUGCUGCGGGCUGUGCCAUUUACGGCAGGCUCGCCUGGUACAGCGGGCAGCUGCGGGCAAGACACGGGAGGGGUGAGGAAUGGCGGUCAGAUACGUGACAACGUCGAGGCAGAUGUCCGCGGGGAAGUCCGUGGGCGAAGCCUAUUGAUUUAGAUCCCGCAAGACAACCCACAUUGGCAAGUACGUUGUUGCGAGCGUGUCAAUGCAAACCCAACUCACCAGUUCUUGCUGUCGUCGAACAAGUUGCCGUAGCACGAGCCGCCGGGCGCGGGCAGGCAGAAGUCCGACAGGGGGGUGUCGUUCUUCAGCUCCAGGCAGAUAGUACCGCCAUUCGCCUGGUCCUUGCUCCAGUUCAGGGGGGUAGCCUUGACGGUCUGCUCGUCCACAGCGCCCCAGGUGGCGGACAGCCACUUGCCGGUGCCGGUCUUGGGCUGCACGUACACGCCGGUGAUGGCGCGGCGCUUCUUGUCGUCGGCGUAGAACUCGGCCUUGAGCAGGCUGGUGCUCCGGCCGCAGGGGCUGGUGGCGCUGUUGGGGGUCACAAGGGUGAUGCUGAAGCAGUAAGAGGUGGUGUCCUUGGUGCGGCCGGCCAUAGUGGAAAUGACGGGCGUGAAGGCGAAGGGGGUGGCGCCGGGCGUGGUGACGCAAGCGCACUUGGGGAAGUCCACAGGCUCGGGGGCGCAGGCCUGGGACUGGAAGCCGCUCAGGCAAGACGCAUCCGGGGCCUGUGCGGAGCCGCCGAUGCCGCCGACGGCGGCGUAAGCGCUGUAGCCAGUCAGGAAGGCGGGGCAGCCCUGGACGCCGGUGAUCAGCUGCAGCCAGAAGGGCAGGCGCUCAUCGAUGAAGGGCUGCAGCUCGGCGCCCUGCUCCGAUGAGAAGAAGGUGGCGCACAGCUUGAUCACGUCGCCAGAGCAAACAGCCGGGGCGAAGUUGAUCGCGACGCCCAGGUUCUCGGCCUCGGUCUGGAGCUCGUCGCCGAUCAUAGCAGCGUAGUCGUCGCAGUCCUGCUGGGAGAACUCGUAAGGGAAGACAACGUUGCCGGUCUCAAGGAUGGAGAGGUACACGCAAGCCGUGCAGGGAGGAGGAGGAGACGGAGGAGGCGGGCUGGGGGGAGGAGGGCUCGGGAUGCCGGGCGUGGAGAUAGGGCAGCAGUCGUUCUGGCUGUCGAACAGCGCAGCCGAGCACACACCCUUGGGCAGGCCAGGGGGAGGAAUGCACAGCUCCUCAAGGGAGGUGCAGCCCUUGCCGUUCUUGUUCAGCGACAGGGUGAUGCAAAUCUCAGCACCGUCGCUGGCCAGGCCCAGGCCCAGCUGGGUCAGCACCAGAGUGGUGGAGCCGACGGGGCCAUCGAUGGGCUCGUGGAACGAGACACCAACCUUGGUGGGCACGCCGUUGAUGGUGGCCUUCACCACCUCGCCGAAGACGUCGCACGCCUCGUAGACGUUGAACUGUGGAGAAAGAAAACCAGAAGGGUGAGAAUGGUUUGGACAAGCACGCUAGCAGACGCCAGCAACUCUGCUAGCGACAAGCCGCGAGCGUCGGUUACUGUGAUGCUCUUCGACAUUCCCGCUCGACUUUCUGGCAUAGUCGCAACCACGUGCUUACCUCGAUCUUCUUCAGGUCCGCCUUGGUGCAGCAGUAGUCAGUGCAGCCAGCCGGCACCUUGGCGCUCAGCUUGAAGCAGUACUGGUUGUUGCCCUUGGCAACGACGACAUCACCCAGCUUGUAGGCCGAGGGAGACUUCUUGCACUGGCAGUAGGGGAACGAGGUGUACAAGCCCGACUGAGCACCCUGGGCGGCCCUGCAUUCCGAAGGCACAAGGGCAAAAGAUGUGUUGGUUCGCAUGUGUGCAUCGGCGUGCAGUCUUGAACCCAUGUGUGCAUGACGUCCUAGAGAAGAUGACACUGCCAUGUACUGAUCGAUUGCGCUCCAGGCUCCAUCAAAGGCCCGCCGGCCUAAGCUGGGGAAUGCUGGCGUGCUCCAGUGGCUGUCGAGCGUCCAGGAAAGGCUGAGCUGCCACCGUGAGCUGGGGAUGCUUUCACGUUAUGACCAACACAUCUGUCUGUGACAUACAUCAAGCUAGGGGCUGGAUCGCCUACGCCGCGACAAAAAUGGCGCGACUCCGAGAGAGCCAUCACAGACACUACUCACGCGAAUGCGGCAGCCACGAGAACGGCAACCAGCGAAUAGCUGGACCUCAUUGUUACAGAGGUCGUUCAGCUAAUUAUGGUGACCAUUUGCGCGCCGAGGGCUAUAAAUUCUGCUGGCCGAUUCCGUACGACGGCCCGCCCGCCGUCUGCCUCGACUUCGACUCGCCUCCUGGCACGCUCGACUGGCUUGCUGGCAUUGGUAACAGCCGAAUGCCGAUGCGAUUUAAUCACCAAGCCAAAAUCCACACGCAAUGUCAGCGGGCGGCGAGCGCCCACCAGGUUUUCGCGAUGAACAUGUUUUCGCGAGGCCAGUUUUACUAUAAUAUAAAACAAACUACAAGGUGUGAGCCAUCAAUAGCUUGAUCAAGGAAACACAGGAGUUGGUCGGCCGGAUUGCGGCCUGCCAUAAAUGGAAGGCAAUUUUAGGGUUGAGCCUUGUAACAAAACUGUUAGCAACAAACAGUUUCUACGCAUCUUAAGGGCCCUCUACAGGGCCCUUAAGAAUCGCGACAGCUUAUUCCUCUCAACGGUCGCUCGCUGCCUCUAGGGAUUCUGAGCCGGUCUCCUUUCUUAAAAGCAUUUGUAUCUAUACUGACUGUGGGUCUUCUAUAGACGACGGCCUGCUGUCCUGUACGCCAUUCAUAUGUUCUGGGUCUCUGCGGCCGGGAAGGGCCCGGGCAUACUCUCCUUAAUGGUCAAAGAUAAUGGGUAGACAACCGUCACCGUAAAACUCCAGCUUCGGGGCUGACUUCCGGCAAGGUAGUUAUUGGCGCGUCGAACAUCGUGCGGUCGACCUGACCGCGCUCGCUCGCCAGCCUGAAAAAGGACUACGUUUGUGGUGCUUAAUACAGCUUUCAUACGACAUGCUGUGCUGCCUCCAUCGCGUACUGCCAGCUGACAGUCUGAAGGGCAAACGACCAUGUUGUGGUUUUGGUGGCCGCGUGGCGCCCGUUCGCCUGCGCGCCCGCCCACCGCGCCCCCGGCCAAGCUUGAGUUUCUGUGGCAUCCUUGAACUGCAUGCCCCAACAGCUCACCUAAGUAGCUUCGGUUAGUCUGCAGGUGCCAAGACGCCUUCGCGGCACUUGGCGCAGCCGGGGCUGGCCGUGCCGUUGAACACCAGGGCCAGGGCUCCCCCUCCAGCUUCCCUGCGCCAGGGCUUUGGGGGCGCAUUUAAGUGGGCGGGUCCGCAAGUGGGUGGGUCUGCUGUGAAGCCCUUCAUGGGCUGAGUCCGCUUGUUGCCUUGCUCAACAAGGGCUGCCAGGUUUGGAGUGGCCGAGGGUAUGGGCCUUUGCAUGUAGUGUCACAAGGGUGUGACUACAGCACCCGAUGUGAAGAGUCUGACGCGGGAUUGGCCCGUCAGGCACGCCACGCACCGGCAGGCACGUGCGGGAGCUGGAGCUUCACAUGUUCAUUGUGGCAAUAUGCAGCUAGUUAUUUACAUAUUCUGCAAGGGGCACGUUCCGACUCCCAUGCUCCCAUAUGCAGUUGAGAAAUGCGUCUAACCUGACAGGCUCAGGUCUCAGCAUGACUGCGCGCAUGCUUUUACUGAAGUCCAAGCCACUGCUCCACACCACACGCAACGCCUCACGUUGAUGCCCUGUGCCGCGACAAAACUGAAGAGCUGCGCGCGCCAUCUAUCUCCCGCCGGGUUCACCCAUGCCAUCGGUGAGUGAUUAUCGCACUGCAGUGUAACAAGCGAUCCGCCAAAACCCCACUCCAUGAGUCAAGUUGGGCCCUGAUAGCAUGUGAUGGCUCGGCGUCUUCGGGUGCUGGGACUGUCCCCUCUGUAACAUCCGCAUUCAUGAGUCUGAUUCCGCUCAUUCAAUGCGAAUCUGACACAGUCCACACGCCAACAAAACCUUCUUCAUCAGAACUGCCCCCUAAAGCCUCAUGGUGCAAGAUGUGUGGUCCCCCCCGCAUGGGAAAAGUGGGCUGAGCCCACGCGACGUCUCUAGUCUGAGGCCGCAAGCGUCUACCUCACCUCCCUGACAUAGCCGGGGUCGGUUCGUACAGGCACGGCCCGCCAUGUGUCCAGCCACGUCCCGCUGCCAAGCAACAGCACAGCCAGCAAUCAACCAAACAGCAGGAAACCCUCUAACAUUCCUCACUGCCCCGGCCUACCACAUACUGCCCAGCCAUCCCAAUACAGCCGCCACCUUCUGUCAGCCAGCCAUGGGCGCGACCGUCCACAGCGUUUACCGUCGGUUACGAGGUAACAUGUGAAUUCGCAACUUGCGCUACUGACUGCCUACUCUCGUGCCGCCUGCAAGCCCACUCCGCCUUCCGCUCUGGUCCACGUACGCAUUAGUUCCGCAACACACGUCAAAUACUGUGCGGUGCUAUGCUCGCCAGCAAAGACCCUAACCAGACACCGGCCGACCUCAACCUGCGCGCCGGCGCCGGUGCCGCUUGUUGGGCGCCUCAAGGUGAAAACAACAACCCAAAGCGCAACUUACCGCGUAUACGCAUAGGAUGAAUAAGACCCGUAAGUUCAGAUCUCCACCUCAAACCUCACCAGCCCAGAGUUUGCUUGGCAUGCAUGAAGCAUUUCGACGCCCUUCCGACCGCUCCAGUACCCACAAAUCAAGUUGAAUGGGGUUUCUCCAGAGCAGCUGAGGCUGGCUAUGGGCAUGGGUUGACCAGCAGCCAGGUACAGAUAGAGAUCUUUUGCCUCAGCAGUUUGUACGACCAGACUGCAUGACGCCUGAUGACAAAGUCGUAUGCACGAAACCAAACUAACUGCGAACUGCGAUCCAAGUUGUAGGUAUCCGGAGUACCGUACCUGACCCGGAUACCACACUGUUCAUAUCGCGCAGGGGCCGAAGGGGUUGCGGAGCCAACCGCCACCGGUGCCAUGUGUGAUCCAGUCAUAACGCAUUUUAGUAGACUUGAAUAAAGCUUGUUGGCCUGUUUACCAUUAAUAUGGCAUGGUUCGGCCUUACGGAAAAUGCACAGCAAUGCUGAACACGCUGGGGUGGCAACCGUGGCGCAUGUACUGCGCAACAGCCCUAGCCUGCCCCCAGUAGCACUCGCAUGCCUGCGCCCGAACUCUUGCAUCGCACACCACACUCAACCGUGUAUUGUUGCAGCAACUCAAGUCCUCGUCACGCCCCACUUGGCCCUCAUUCGGGUCAGCAGUGAUGCAUACAAGUACAUGGUAGCGCUGUCGCUGCAACCUCCAGCGCUCGCAGCUUCCGGCGGCGGCACACGCUCCCGGCGGCGGUGGGAGUACGAAGGAGGGCACGGGCCCACGCCAGCCUUGCCGCCGGCAUGACUGGCCACUCCGCCAUGUCUGUCUGCGGCGCUACCCGCAGCUGCCCCUCAACCCUUACACAGGCGCCGUCGCUGCCACCGGCUCCGCAGCAAUAGCUCAAGGGGCAGACGCCGCUGCCGCCGCUGCCGCCGUGUCACCAGCCUCAGCGCCGCUGGCGGCGGCAGCCGCCCUCCCUGCCGGCGAUGCAUCUGUAGCACCCGCGCCACCGCCGCCGUAGCUACCGCCCGUGGCGGCGGCGGAGCCGGCAGAAGCGGUUGACGCCGGAUACAGCAACGGCAGCGUCACGCUCUCCGACGGUGCCAACACGGGCAGGACGCCGCCACCGCCGCCGCCGCCGCCGCCGGUGCCCACGAGCGAGAGGUGUGACGACGAUGCAAUCCCCAGACCCAGUGACGGCAUGAGGCCGGCGAAGCUGGGGGCCUGCGAUGAGAAGGACAGCAGCCCACCCACGCCCAGGCCCGUGCCGGCGCCGCUGACCUCGCCGCCCGCCGCCGCGGCGGCAGCGGCGGCGGCCGCAACCGCGGUGGCGGCGGCCGCCGAGACGCUGGUCGCCGUCGCUGCAACCGACACGCCCAUGGCCUCAGCUGCGCUGGCGAACGCUGGCAGGGCCCGCGGCCUUGCUGCGAAGGCGGAGGUGCUGCCGACGCCUGCGGCGCCUGUAGCGCCGGUAGCUGCUGCGGCUGCAUCGCCACCGUUGCCUCCGGUGCUGGCGUCAGAGGCAGGCGGCGCAGCCGGCGGCGGCGCGUGUGACGGGGCUGCAGGCGUUGGCGAAGCGGGAGCACCAGAAGGCGCGGCGGCCGCGGCGCGGCCGAGGGCGCGCAAAGGCGUUGGUGUGCCGCCGCCGAUGGCAGCGUACGGCAGUUGGUUGCUGCCUGUGCGGAUGGGCGGUGCUGGCGGCGACGGCGGAGCUCCCAUUGCCGCCGCGAGUCCUAGGUCCGGUGCGCUGUUGAGCGCCGCCGCCGCCGCCGGCGGCAGCAGCCCGUUAUGUGUGACCCCUGCCGCUGCCCCCGCUACCGCCGCCGAGCCCGCUUCCGACACCGUGUUCAGUCCUGCAGCCGCCGCCGCCGCCACCGCCUCUGCCGCCGCCUCUGCUGCCGCCCCCAUCUGUCUGAGCGCGCGGGGUGAUAGCGGUGAGCCCAGCAAUGACGGCGCUGGCGCCGCCGCUGCCGCUACCGUCGAUGCCUCAGCAGAUGCCAGCAUCACGCGCGAGCUGCUACUGCUUCCAGCACCGCCGCCGCCGUCGCCACCAACACUGCUGGCUGCUGCAACGUUCCUGCUACUGCCACUGCCCCCCGGAAACAAGCCGUGCGGCAGCGUCCCCGGCGGCACGGGGCUUCCCGGCGGCCCCGAGCCCGAGGCGACUGCCGCCGCGCCCUUGGCACUGCUGGCGCCGCUGCCGCCGCCGCCAGGGCUGACGCCGCCGCCGCCGCCGCCGCGCGGGCGGCUGGUAAUUCGUUUCAGCACUGGACCGCCGCCGCCAAGCAGCCCGCCCAACGCCCCCCCCAGUAGUACUGGCGGCGCCAUGCCAUCCUCAUCAUCCGAAUCGUCCAGGACCACAGCCGCCGGCGGCACCGCCAGUGACAGCGGCGGCGGCGGCUCCGCGCCGCCGCCACUGACCGCUCGCGCCAUGGCUAGACGCGACGCGCUGCUGCUGCCGCCUGGCUCGUGAACUGCGUCAGCAGGUCCCUCUUGUAACCAAUGCAAUCUGCCGCCGCCGCCGGCGCUCGUGCCAAUGCCGCCGGAACGCGCGGCGGCGGCGGUACUACGGCCGCUGCCGCUGCCGACGCUGCCUCGCGCGACGCGAACCGCUGCGUCCGUUGCCGCGCCUGCCUCCGCCGACUGCGCCACCCCCGCGGCGGCCGCCAGGCCGCCGCCGCCGCCGCCGCCCUCCGGCUGCGCCGGCGCAGCCGCCGGCUGCCGCGCCGCGGCGGCGGCGGCCUGCGCCAGCAGCGCCUGCUGCUGCUGCUGCUGCUGCUGCUUCCGGGCCUUCUUUGCCGCCAACAGGUCAUUCAGCAGCCGCGUCAGCACGUCCAGAGCGUCCAGGAAGCGCGGCCGGGCAGCGGGUGAGGCGGACAGGCAGGCGGUGGCGAGGUCGCGGUAGGCGGGCGGGCAGGCGGAGGGCUCGGCGGGCCAGGUGUAGAACUCGGCGGGCAGGUUGGGGAUGCGGCGGCGCAGCGGCAGGCGGCGGGCCACUGUGGAGCCGUGGAGCAGCUCCCACAGGAUCACGCCGAAAGAGUAGCUGCCGGGGGGAAAGGGGGGAGGAGCGGGAGGGAGGCUGGGGUUAGCCAUUCAUCCAAUCCCAACGGGGCACCAGUCCAAUGAAUCGCAGCCCGCUGUCGGCUUGGGCGUACAGCGUGUACUCCGCCCCUUCCCCCUGCCCCUUCCCCUGGCCGCUCUGUGCCCCAUCCCGUCCCCCUGCCGCUCCCUGCCCCCUGCCCCUUCCCCCUGCCCCUCCCCCUGCCGCUCCCUGCCUCCCGAGCACGCCCCCCUCCCCCUCCAGCCCCACCCACAGGUCUGAGGCGGUGGUGGCUCGGCCGUCCUCCACCAGCUCCGCGGCGAUGUAGAAGGGCGUGCCGCGGCUGCGGGGUGAGGCAGCGGUGCGGGGGGAGGGGGCUACAUUCAUGACUAAUUCAACAUGACAAGGGGUGUAAUUGGGUGUGCGGGUGAAGGCCGGAGUCCCCAACUGACACGUGUGAAGUAUGGGGGGGCGGGGUUGGGUGUGCGGGCGGCAUGUGGGGCCGGGCUCACGGGCUGGUGUGAGUGGCGUGUUGCAGGACUGGCGCGAGCGGCGGGAUCAGCAGCAGCAAAGGCAGGAAGGCGGACACGUCACACGCGCGCGCUGACCUCACUCGGGCCCCCAUGACCUCCGCCCCGCAACACCGCAAUCACUCCGUCUCGCAUGUUCGGCUACCCUUCCUCCGGCUGCCUCCUCCGUCUUGCGUGCACGGCUACCCCCGCCCACACCCCGCCCCCCACUCUCACCAACCUGUUCCUACUGCCCCAACCUCGCAGCCCCCCUCCCAUCACCCCCAUGGCCCCCGCCCCCCCCCCCAUCUCACCACUCCGGUCUCCACAUGAACGUCCCCCCUACUUGGUAACGACUUCGUCUGCAGCCUUCCGUGCCGCUCCUGUACCGCUUCUCCAAACAUCCUUGCAAUCCCCCCCCCGCCCUCACCGGAUGUUGCUGAUGUGGCUCUCUCCCGCCUUGAGUUUCAGCGCCAGUCCAAAGUCCGCAAUCUUGGCUGUGAAGCCGUACCCACUGGCGGCGUUGGAGCGAAGCAGGAUGUUGGCGGGCUUCUACGGAGGGCGGGAGGGGGCGGCGGAGGGGAGCUGUUGAUGUAAGGAACGUGAUGAUAAGAUAAUUAAUAGGUCACAAGUCAUGGUCACAAGUUUCAAAGUGCCCACGUCUAGUGGGAACAGGGGAUGGGGGAGCCGUUCAUGUGAAGGACGGAGUGGUUAGGUCACAAGUGUGAAGUGCCGACGUCCAGAGGGAACAAGGGGGGAAGGGAGGGAGGGUUGGAUGAUGGGAGUUGGUGGGAUGCUGUGGAGGGUGGGGUGAAAGCGAAGCAGGAGGAGGCAGCAGGGGUAGUGGGCGGAGCGGGACGCAGCUGCGUGGCGCGGUACGGAGCGGGAAUGGCACGGGCUGGGGGACAGAGAGGGAAGGAGGCGGAGGCGGGGGCGCGGAAGGGCGGGUUCCCAAGGGGCUGGCUGGGUGUUGGUUUCGUUUGGGGUUUACCUCAUCACACACACACAUGCACUCGCGCGCGCUCCGCACCAGGUCUCCGUGUAUGAUGCUGCGGGCGUGUAUGUAGCUCAUGCCGCUGGCCACCUCGAUGCCGAUGCGCAGCGCCGUCUCCAGGUCCGCCAGCCCGCUACUGCCGCCGCCGCCGCCGCCGCCGUCAGUGUGGGUCGCUGCGAAGCGGCCGCCGUCCAGCGCGUCCUUAAGCGUGCCGCCGUCGCAGUACUCCUGAGGGCGGGCGGAGGGGAGCGGACCGGUGGGUUACAUUCAUAAUUAGGUAAGGAAAUGGUAUAAGNNNNNNNNNNNNNNNNNNNNNNNNNNNNNNNNNNNNNNNNNNNNNNNNNNNNNNNNNNNNNNNNNNNNNNNNNNNNNNNNNNNNNNNNNNNNNNNNNNNNUGGAAAGUACAACACCCCUCCCCCCCUUACAACAUUUCUCCCCCCCUACAACACCCCUCCCCCCUUACAACACCCCUCCCCCCCGCACCUGCUCCUUGAAAGAGUUGCCUCCGCCUCCGCCGCCACCUCCGCCCCUCUCGCCUCCCUCGCCUCCCUCCCCGGCGCCGCCGCCGCCGCUGCCGCCCACAAAGGCCUGGAACAGCAGCGUCUUCACCGCCACCUCCAGCCCGCGCCACUCGCCUGCGAGACACACACACGCAUGCACACAUGGACAUGGUCACGUUCGUGCACAGUGCCAACCCUUCCCAACACACUCAGUCACAACACACGCCACGCAGGAGCCCAAGCCGCUUUGGAAGCAGCCCUCUACCCCCGCAACAGGUUGCUGUCUGUCCCUGCCCCCCUUGCUGCCCCCACCCCCCCAUCGGCCCUCGGCCCGGACGUCAGCCCUGCAAACCAUCACAUCCCAUCCUUCAGCCCCCCCUCCCUCCUUUCCCUACCCAUCCAUCCCCAUCGCUUCCUCUCCCCUGGCUGGUAUCUCGUCCUCGCUCCUUUGCAUUGCGUUCGGUUCAGUUUGAGCUGGUAUCUACAACCCCCCCUCUCCAGCCCCUCUCCAGCCCCCCACCCACCCUUGUAGACCACCCCGUGCGCGCCCGCUCCCAGCUGGCACGUGAUGCUGAUCUGCUGCUGCUGCGCCCCCAGCUCCGACUGAAACGCCGCAAGCGCCGCAUACAGCUCCGUGCGUGGAUUGCUGCUCGCAGCCGCAUCGCUGCCGCCGCCGCCGCCGCCGCCGCCAGUGCCGCCGGUGCCGCCAGUGCCAGUGCCCGCGCUGCGGCCGCUCAGGCUGCUGCCGGCGACGCUGCCGGGCUUUCCGGCGCCGCCGCUGCCGCCGCUGGCAACGCUGGUUCCAGAGACGCGCGGCUUGCGGCCAGUGGCGGCGGCGCCGCCGCCGCCACCGCCCUGUGGCGGGCGCUGCGCGCCGCCCGGUCCGGCGCCGCCGCUGAUGCCGCCGCUGCCACUGGCACUACCGGGUCCAGGCGAGCUCGCAGUGAGCGGAUUGCUGCCAGAGGCUACAGAGCCCGCGCCCACCUCGCUCCCCGGGGUCCGCCGCGUCCCCGCCGCCGCCGCCGCCGCCGCCGUCACGUCGCCAGCAGCGCCCGGCGGCGAUUGCAGCGCGCGCCGCCCCGACCGGGAUCUCUGCCGUUCACGUGACGUCGCCACCGCCGCCGCCGCCGCUAGCGUGACGCCCACGCCCGCCGCCACCGCGCCGGCGCCAUUGCCACUGCCGCCGUCGCCGCCGCCGCCACUCUCCAAGUCGAGGUGCGGCUCUAUUUCCGGGAAGGCACGUGACGCCGCGCUAGAUGGCAGGCCGCUGCCGCCGCCGGCGGGGCUGGCGGCGCCGCCGGUACGGUGGUUGUACGGCCCGUGCUCGGAUCCAACCACCGACCGUGGCGGUGACGUGGCUCCGGAUCCAGGUGUGGCGGCGCCGCCGGCUGACGCAGCCGCCGCUGCGGCGGCGGCGCGUUCCCGGUGCGAGCGCAGCAGUGGCGUUGGCGUCUGCGGGGGAGCGCCGGACGAUUGCGUUGUGUCAACAGGCAUCACCAUACCCGCCCUGCAUGCUGAACACACACACACACACACACACACACACACACACACGCGCACACACACACACCUAUACACACACACACACACACACACACACACACACACAUCAAAACACACGCAUACCCACGUGCUCGCCGCUGGUGCCGCCGCCGCACCUCCCGCGGCUGCUGCGCCCGCUGCCGCCGCCGCUGCGCCGCCCAGUGCCGCCCUUGUCACUGCCCACAAAGCUCCCGCCACCGCCGCCGCCGCCGCCCGCCGCCCGCUCCUGCGCCCGCCGCCGGGCGCGGCGGCGGUGCAGGAACACUAUGCCCGCCGCCACCGCCGCCGCCAGGGCAAUGAGGCCGGCGGCGGCGCCUACGGCGGGGCCAAUCACCGCCCCGAUGUCGGUUGAGGCGGGUGCCGCCGGCACAACCACCACAACCGCCGCGGGCUGGGCGGGCGGCGGCGGCGGCGCUGCGCCGCCGGCGAGGCCGCCGGCUCCUGCUGCGGUACGGCGAUGGUACGGUGGGUACGGUUAGACGAUUGGUACCGCAGGAGAUGUACCGUAACCUAGAGGCAUGUGUCCAGGAACUGAACACUGCCUGACGGUGUUGCACGGCCUUCGUACAGCUUCGUGAGGUCGAAUGCCGAACGGCCGACUGCACCACCGUACAACGACUCUGCAGCGUGUCCGCAGUUGGCUACUCAGGCACCCCACCAGUCGACCCAGGCACCCACCCGGUGGCGGGACAGCUUGUCCGAAGAUGGCUACCCAGGCAUCCCCCCCCUCGCUCAGUAGCCCCUCGCUCAAUAGCCCCUCGCUCAAUAGCCCCUCGCUCAAUAGCCCCUCGCUCAGUAGCCCCUCGCUCAGUAGCCCCUCGCUCUAUUGCAUUGGGUUCGGUUUAGUUUGGGCUGGUAUCUACACACACAUACACACACACACACGCACACACACACACACACACCAGCCGACCCAGGUACCCACCCGGCGGUGGCACAGCGGCCGUGGGUCCCCCUCCGCCACCGCCGCCGCCGCCUGGCCCCCCGGGCAGCGGCAGCAGCGGCGCGUUGGAGCCGGGCACGGAGGCGGCGGCGGGCGGCAGCGGGCUGGCACGUGGCGGGUCGGGCGGCGGCGGCGGCGGCGGAGGCCGCGGCGGCGGGGGCGGUUCUGUGGUGGACGGGUGGUGGGAGUGGGAGUGUGGAUGCAGGGGGCCCAAGGGGGACAGCUCGGCAGCGCGUGGGCACAUCCCACACACCGGAAUGCCUGAANNNNNNNNNNNNNNNNNNNNNNNNNNNNNNNNNNNNNNNNNNNNNNNNNNNNNNNNNNNNNNNNNNNNNNNNNNNNNNNNNNNNNNNNNNNNNNNNNNNNNNNNNNNNNNNNNNNNNNNNNNNNNNNNNNNNNNNNNNNNNNNNNNNNNNNNNNNNNNNNNNNNNNNNNNNNNNNNNNNNNNNNNNNNNNNNNNNNNNNNNNNNNNNNNNNNNNNNNNNNNNNNNNNNNNNNNNNNNNNNNNNNNNNNNNNNNNNNNNNNNNNNNNNNNNNNNNNNNNNNNNNNNNNNNNNNNNNNNNNNNNNNNNNNNNNNNNNNNNNNNNNNNNNNNNNNNNNNNNNNNNNNNNNNNNNNNNNNNNNNNNNNNNNNNNNNNNNNNNNNNNNNNNNNNNNNNNNNNNNNNNNNNNNNNNNNNNNNNNNNNNNNNNNNNNNNNNNNNNNNNNNNNNNNNNNNNNNNNNNNNNNNNNNNNNNNNNNNNNNNNNNNNNNNNNNNNNNNNNNNNNNNNNNNNNNNNNNNNNNNNNNNNNNNNNNNNNNNNNNNNNNNNNNNNNNNNNNNNNNNNNNNNNNNNNNNNNNNNNNNNNNNNNNNNNNNNNNNNNNNNNNNNNNNNNNNNNNNNNNNNNNNNNNNNNNNNNNNNNNNNNNNNNNNNNNNNNNNNNNNNNNNNNNNNNNNNNNNNNNNNNNNNNNNNNNNNNNNNNNNNNNNNNNNNNNNNNNNNNNNNNNNNNNNNNNNNNNNNNNNNNNNNNNNNNNNNNNNNNNNNNNNNNNNNNNNNNNNNNNNNNNNNNNNNNNNNNNNNNNNNNNNNNNNNNNNNNNNNNNNNNCACCCGCACACGCCGCCCACCUGCAGCGCCGCCGGCUGCGCGCCCGGCCGGCCUAGCCCCAGGUUCAUGAGUGACAGGAAGCGCAGCCGCAACACCGAGUAGGGCGGCACAGCCACCGCGCCUGUGUGUGAUUUAAAGAGCACAAAGAAAACAUUACGCGUAGGACUGUGUGUGCGUGUUGGGAGGGGGAUUCCAGGCACGAUUAGUCAGGAGAAGACGGCAAAGAAGGGUUAAAUGCAGGCGCCAGCACACAUAGGUUGGAUGAGGACAAACCGCAUGGAGGGGGAGUAGCCGUUCAUGGGGAACAGAGUGAUUGAACCAGUCAGCCCCCCAUCCCCGUGCCUGGUUAUCCCCAAUUUUGGGUUGGCAACGACUCCUUGGUUAUUGGGACCUAAUCCGUUGGGCUCGGGCACAUCAUUCCCCCCUUUUCUGCAUUGAGUUCGGUUUAGUUUGGGCUGAUAUCUACAAACGCCCCUGCCUGCCUGCCUGCUCACCGCUGAUGGCCUGCAGGCUGAGCGCCCGCACGGCUGUGGUCUGGCCGUCGCCCCAGAUGGUCAGGUUGGAACUGAGGGCCAGGCCGGCGGAGGGGGCGUACAGCUGGGCCUGAGGGGCAGAGGGGGGGAUUUCAAGGUUACAACAUUAGGGGGGCUACAUUCAUGAUUAGUUAAGGAAGUGGUAGACGGUAGAGCAUCUUGGGGAACAUCAAGGGGGGCCGGGGGUUCCAUGCAUGUCAAGUCAAGACGAGAUGAUGUUGGCAGGUUGUUUCAGAGGUGGGCGGGCGGGUUGGCGAUGCGCCGUUGGGGUGAAUCGGAGGUUGAAUCGGGAAGGUUGGGUUGGGAACGUCGAGCAGACCACCUCCGCCACACGCCCACGCCCACGCCCACAUGCCCCAUUCACACAUGCCGCCCGCCUCCUCAACCCCCCUGCCUGCCUGUGCUCCGCUCGUUCUCGUUGGUUUUGGGUUAGUUUGGGCUGGUAUUUACAACCCCCCCUUAAUUAAUCAUGAAUGUAACCCCCCCCCCCCCCACACACACACACACACACACACCUCCCUCCCCUCUGGCGCUGGACCUGUGGACGCAGUCGGUCAUCGGUACGCGCACCCCUGCGCCCGCUGUCUACUCCGCUACAUUUGCCUGUACCAAUCUUUACAAUCCCCACCCCCCAACCCCUUGACAGUCCCCACUCCUCACCCACACCCCCACCUGCAGUGUGUUGUCCCCCCGCAGCACCACCACGGAGGCGGCGGUGAAGGCGGUGGGGUCGAGCAGCAGGCUGGAGGCGCGGACCGAGGACAGCGGCACAGGGCCCACCUGCGGGGGGAGGAGAGAAAAGGGGAAGGAGGCGGGCGUGGAGGGCUACCGUGAUCCAAAACCCAACCCCGAUCCCCGGUGCCCCCACGCACCUCCCCAAUACCCUCCUCCCCAGCACCUGUCCCCCCCCCCAGCUCCUCCCCAAUACCCUCCUCCCCAGUAUCCUCCUCCCCAUUACCCUCCUCCCCCCCGCCCCCACCCCCGCCCCCACCCCCAAUCUCACCCCCAAUCCCACCCCCACCGCACCGUGCCGUACGGCGCCAGUGUGUCGAGCAGGUCCUGGCGAGAGGCGGCGGCGGUCAGGGGGGCCAGCGCCGCCAGCGGCGUGGCGGUUAUGCGGCAGUUGGUCCACGUCAUGCUGCCGUACAUCCACUCCCAGUACGGCACCUGCAGCGGCGGGCGGCGGCGGCGGCGGCGCAUGCGAAAAAAACAGUUGGGCGUUCAUGCCUGACUGCGCCUUCCCCUCCUGCACCCGGCACAGCGGACACGACAUCCUCCAACCCUCAAAACACACAGGCACAUACACACACACGCACACGCGUCUCCCCCACCUGGAUGCUGCCGUCCCCCGCCAGCGCCAGCCCAGGGCUGUACGACCGGAUGAGGCUGUCGACGCCCUCCAUACCGCCCGCCAGCGCGGCGCCAACCGCCGCCCGCCACCAGGCCAGCUCGCUAACCGACACAACAAACGUCACGUCGGUUGCCGUCAUGCGCAGCGGAGACUCCAGAGAUGCCAGCGGUUGCCUGGUUGGGACGAUAACGGUACGUUUGCGGGUGAGCGCACGCCGAAAACGCAAACGCUUACCACUCAAGUCCACUCCACCCACCCCACCCCGUCCACCUCCUACAAAGCCCACAAUCCAAACCCUGCAAACCCCUCCCCCUCAUUCCAUACUACGGUACCUCCGUUUAUCCACUCCUCCUUGGCUGCCCACCCCCACAGCCACCCCACCCCAUCCCCGCAACCCCACCCCUACCCACCCCACCCGCACACACAACCCCACCCCACCCCACCCCACCCCACCCCACCCGCACACACAACCCCAACCCACCCCACCCCGCACCCCCACCCCACCCCACCCCGCACCCCGACCCCAUCCCCGCACCCCCACCCCACCCCGCAUCCCGCACGCCCAGCCCACCUCUUGAAGUCCAGCAGCCACAGUGCCGCCGUCACCAGCGCCGCCGGGUACUGCGCCGCCGGCCCCAGCGCCAGGCCCGCCACCGUCAGCCGCCGCAGCUCCAGUCGGUUGGCGUCGCCGUCGCCCGCCACCUGAUGGCCGGGAGGGGAGAGGGAGGGGGGAGGGGGAUGUCCGGAAGGGGAGAGGGAAGGGGUGACACUCAUGCUUGUUUAUGAAGUGACGGCGUAGCCAGGGGGGAGGGGGGAUGUUCGGAAGUCUCGGGGGGAGAGGGAGGGGAGGCAUCCCAAACCCAACCAACCCAAGGGGGGUUCCAGUCACACCAGUCCGAAGGGCCGACGGGGCCGGGGUUACGGCGAUCAGGGGAGCCGCAGGAGUGGUGGCACGGUACGACAGUACAGCACGGCACGGUGUGUUUGGACGCGGUGCGGUAGGGUUCGAUGAUGUUCAGCAAUGUAGUGCACAAAGCAGGCAUCCCGUACACACACACACACACACACACACACACGCGCGCGCGCGCCGUACACAGAUACACACACGCGCGCGCUCCCCUCUCUCACCACCAUGAUUCCCGCCAGCUGCCGCAGGUCCACCUGCACCGCCGCGUCGGGCGGGCCUGCGCGGGGGGGGGUACAUUCAUGAUUAGUAUAGGAAGUGAAGUCGUAGGCAGGUGCAGUCGCAUAGUAGACGGGCGGGGGGAAGAGGAGGGACAGGCGGGACAGGCGGGGCAACCGGACCGGACAGGCGGUCAGGGUGAAGUGCGGAGGAGCUUGAAACAACACCGAUACCGUCUGUGACACACCCGUGCAGUCGGGCACGGACGUAUGAUGGCACAAACCCAGCAGUUCCGCCUGUGUGGCGCCGCGCGUUCCCCCCUCCUCCCCCUCCUCCUCCCCCUCCUCCUCCCCCUCCUCCUCCCCCUCCUCCUCCCCCUCCUCCCCCUCCACCCUCCUCCUCCACCCCUCCCCCUCGCCCCCCUCCUUCCCCCACUCCUCCAACCCCCUCACCCGCUAUGACGGUGCGGUUCACGGCCGACAACGUGCCGGCUCGCAUAUAGCUGGUGUCGGCACUGAUGUUGGCGCCCACCAUCGCAUACAGCGACCCAAGGGACAGCAGCGGGUUGAUGCGCGCCAGGGAGCGGGCCAGCUGCUCGCCGCUGCCCACGUAGGAGGCCACGCAGGGCAGGUACAUGGGCUGCAGGGCGGCUGCGGGCGGGGAGGGGAAGGGGAGGGGAGGGGGGGAGGAGGGGGAGGGGGGAAUGGGAGGGGGAAGGCAGGGGGGUUUAGGGAAGGGGGGCAGAACGCCAGGCGGAGGGGAGAGGGGGCGGAAAGACGGCGGGCCUGCACGGUGGGCACGGCAGGGUGAAGGCACCAGAGGUGGGGGUUCUGCAAGAACGACUCCCAAACCCCAACCUCCAACCCCUCACCUGCGUUCGACAGUGGGUCCGUGGCCGCGGUGAAGAUGGCGGGGGCGGUGCUGUUGGUAGCCUCAGGGCCGCAGCGUAGUGACACGUUGUAAACCGACAGCGACACGCCCCCACCGCCUCCCCCCGCUACCCCCGCCGCCGCCGGCACAACCAGCCGCCGCACGCGCACGCUCCACGUGAACACCUGUUGUGUUGCGCCGUGCAGGGGGUGUAGAGUGGCGUCGGAGUCAGGCCAGGUUGGGGCCUUCUAGUGAGGGACGGAUAGUCGCGGUUGCCUUGAUUGUAUUCCAUGAAUUCACAGUGUUAGCAGCAGAUGCAAGCGGUGCCUGGUAUGCGCCGUGUGCGGUGUGAUGCGUGGGUGCCAAACCCUGUCUCGGAGUCAGCGUGCUUCACCCCACCCCAUCCCACCCCAGCCCCGGCCUUUCCCGGCCUCCGCGUCCUUUCCCGGCCCUCUCCUCCCGCCAGCAGCUUGCCUCGUAGCUGAAGUCUGGCAUUUGGUCGCACACGUAGUCGCGCAGUGCGCUGACAACGCUGCAGUUCACGUUGAUGGCGAUGUUCCGCAGCACCAUCUGGGAGGGCGGGGCGACGUCGAACAUGGGCAGCUGCAGGAACGACGCCGGGUUGGAAAGGUCCAACGAUGUGUCGUUCGCCAGCACCAGUCCCAUGUUUGCGAGCUCGAGCAAUGUACCUGACGGCAAAGUGCCACAGCAACAAUUCAGAAACCAUCGUUAUACGGUCGCCUUUGCGAGCCGAUGACCCCUCGUGUGCAAUUUCGCGAUAUCGCUGCACGAAGUUCAUACUGUAGCUGUUUAACCGUGUCGAAAGCAAAAUGCGACGGAACAAAGUCAACUUGCUUGCAACGAGCAACUCACCGUUCUGCAAGCGAAUCGUGCCGUUUAUCGACGGGAGUGACAACCAAACGCCACGGCUGCCGUUGAUUGUCAACGUGCGACCAUCGACGAUGACGGGCGUGGUGUCCACCGCCAAGCUGCGAUUCAGCGACACCACGCCCUGCACCUCCGAUGAUAGCAAAGACUCAAACGACUGAGUCUGGCUGCUCGCAAGCUGCAAUACGAGCACAAGGGCAAGCAGCGCCCAAACAAAAGCCGCUCCCCUGCUGCACCGUGGCUUCAUAUCCACCUGCUCAGCUACACUACGUCACUAUGCCAAAGCCUAACAUAGUCAUAGUCGCCAACCCCAUGGUGGGAUGGGCGCACGCGUCUGGAAAGUUACAAUAGCUUUGCUGGCGGUGUGUUGAAGUUUGUAUAAUUAUAGGCGAUACCGUGUAUCAAGAGCUGGCUGGGGAUGCUUCGACCACCCCGCCGGAUGUGUGACCUGGUCAUUGCAGGAUAGGGUUGCAGGGUCCCCCGCCCUUGCAGUCUGCCUGCCCGCGUGUCAAGUGUGGCGCUGACGCCGCUUGACGCACCCAGUAUCCCACACACACUCAAUGCGUCGCAAUGUCGAGCUACUACCGCGCACCACGCGCGCGCGGGUGGGCGUGGCUUAACUGUGCGGGCGCGCACAAGCGUCGAGGGAGCCUCAGCAGCUGAGGGCAAGGCCGGGGACGCCGCGUGCCCGAAGGCCCUGGUCACAAAUGCGCAGGUUCGCUGUUACAGGAUCACAGUCGGUCAGUCGCAACAUGCCGUGUUGCCAAUUUGGCAUUGAUUGCAACGUGGCGCUAUGGCGUCAGCUGGCAUGCUUGUGAUGACACCGACACGAGGCCAAGCAGCCCACAUCUUAGCUGGAGCUUAGCUAUUGCAACGCAUGUCAUCAGCCUGUGACACUCACGCAGUCAGGGUGUCCUGCUCACAGUGACGCAAUUGCAUGGCCAACAUUACCACUCAGAUUACCACUGCCUCCUUAUCUCCUCACGCAUGUGUACACAUUUACGUGCGCCCACACGCCCACACUGGUUACCCUGCGUCCCUGUCCAAGACCGGCCGGAUGGCCUACGAUGAACGUACAAUUUCCAGCAACUGACAGUACAGCCCAGCGCGCUUCGCUUGGACUCUGGGUCUGGUUCUGGUAGCCCCCACCGUUGCAGCCAAGUGCGUGGAAGGUGCAUGCUACUGCGCACGGCACCGCCACACGAUCCCCCAUUCCUCCCCGCCCCUGCCUACUGCCAGCGCUGUCUGCUCAUCUCUACGCUCACCAAGGGUAGAUCACUGUCGGACCCGUGGGGAGCGCUUGCCCGCCGGCGCUGCCAACUUGCGCUGAGCCGCUAUGCCGCGCAUCCUCCCCGCCGCUGCUAUCACUGCCAAUUCCACUGCCGCCGCCGCUAAAGCGCCAUGAGUCAUCCAGAGACAUGCGGCGUGCAAGCCGCCGCGGACCUCGACGCGUCGCGGCGGCGUCGCCCGCCCCGCCCCGGUACCCCUGCUCAUGCUCUUGCGCCGAGCCGCUGUGCCUCUCGCUGCUGCCCUCGCUACUGCUCUUGCUGCCGCUGCAGCCGCAGCUGUCGUCACUGGCACUGUCCGCCAUGUUUGCUGCCUCUGCCGCACCUCUCCGGCGGCCCGCCUGCCCCGUUAAGCAUCCAUGGCUAUCGCCACCGCCGGUGCUACUGCCACGUGCGUCAGUGGCUCUCGACCGCCCAUCAGCGCCGCCGCCGCCACCGCCGCUGCCGAAGACACCAGGUGCGCUGCUGGCGGCUGCGCUAGAAGGAGCCCCGAUGCCGUCACGAAGGCCCAACGUCGCAUGCGCGUCCACCGUCGCCGCUGCAGCCGGCGCCAUCACCUUGACUGCGAGCUGAGAGCGGCCCUCGUCUUUGUCCGCGUCUCCACCGCAGCGUUCGCUGCUGCUGGCGCCGCCGGCACCCAGACCACGACCCCGCUUCCAGCCGCACGGCCCCCCUGCCCCUCCGCCUCCGCCUCCGCCUUCCCACUCUGCUCCUGCAGCGCCCGCUGCUGAUGAUGCUACUGCUGCCAGUGAUGUUGCUGCUGCAGCCAGCAUUGGAGGUGCGAGUAAAGAGCCGCCGCAGCUGGCGCCCCACACGCCUGAGCCGCUGUGACGCCGCGGGCGCCACGCAGGUGCCGCCGCCGUCGACGUUGCAGCAGAGGCGGCGGCAGUCUGCACCUCCGCCGCCUCCUCCGCAUCUUCCUCGUCUUCUGAGGAUGGCUCGCUGCACGCCCAAGAGCCCCCGCCAUCGCUGUCGAAUGCUGGGGCAGCAGCCACGCCCGCGGCCGCGGCUGCUUCAUCCGGGGAAGCGAGGCGCGCGGCAAACGCGGAGCCGUGGGCCCAAGAAGCACGGCUGGCCGGGGCAGUGGCUGGCGCGUGCGCUGGCUCCUUGUAAGAUUGCAGCGACCUGCGAGUUUUGGGGUGAAUUACUAGAUUAGAGGUGGCAGCAAGUGCGGUUGGAGUUCAAACGAGCGGGCACGGUCAACCACAGGUGCCAACUGCAGGCGCCAACUGACGUGCACGCAACACCUGCAAACCCCUGCAUACUCGGCUUGGUGAGGAGUUGUCACGCCCGCGAUAGAUCACAGUAGCACACAGCAGCCCAAUGCGACGCGACGCCGCGACCCACAUGGCUUCCCGCGUCCAGGCGGCCACCUCCUCCGGGUGCUCACUUCGCACGCCGUAGCCCGCAGUGAGCAUGCCGCCCACGCGCUCCACCGCGUCGGCGUCGCCUUGCAGCGCUGCCUACAAACCCGCAAUAUGCAAAGUUUCAGAAUUCGUCCUGGCAAGUUUGCGUGCUGGAAAGGAGCGCCCACCUUCAAGUCUUCCAGAAGCCAUCUCGCCUCACACCGUGCCACGAUGCGCCCAAGCGGAGUUCCACGUCUGAAGAAUAUGUCAGGAGUUACAUCGAACGCACUUCAAUGCUGCAACAAACGACCAGGGCCCGGCCCUUCGCAGCUUGCGCAAUCCUUACUUGUCCGCUGCCGCUGUGGCCUGUUCUCGAAGUGUCUUACGACGAGCUCUUAUACGUAGCGGCUUUCCUAGCAGCCCAAGCAGCCCAUAGGCCGCCAUGCCCGUCGCUGCGACCAACACGAUUAGCGCGUGCUGCGCGAAAGGGCGCCUUGCUUGCUCCAUUCUACGCAGUUAAAACAUGCCAGGUAAUUCUUCGUGUGUUUCAGCUUUGGGGAGGGUUUGGCCUGGGCGACGGGUGGCCGAAUUGGGCACGAUCACCCUCGCUUGAGGGCUUCCCCAGCCCGUUUAAACAUCGCCCCUUUGCACAGUGGAGCAACGAACCUUCAUUUAAAAAACUGCCCCUGUCCCCCUCAAGCUUGUGUGAAAUGCAGCUUGCGCCGUCCUGGCUGUCCCGCGGGGCGCCCCGCGGUACCGGCGGCAGUCGCGCGGGCCUGCUGGCGCCCCGGCACCGCCUGCCUCUCCUGCCAGGCAGCCUGCGCCUCACCACAGCGCUAACCAGAGGCUUCAGAGAGGUAAGCGAGCGUCGGGACUUCGCCUGGAGCGCGCUUAAAAGCGGAGAACGGCUUGCGCGGUGGCGUUGCGCCUCUGUUCGAGGGACGAGUUUUGCUACCUCAUCCUCCUGCUAUCAGCCCAGGCCUUGUUUGCAAUGACCUUGCGGUAACGGGUGUUUUCCUGCUGCCUCCACAGAAUCGCGACGCAGGGCCAGGCGGGGGCGCUCAGCGCGAAGGCGGUGGCUCUGACGCAAGCACACCGGCGCCGCGGCAGCAGCAACAACAGCGGCAGAAGCAGCCACCACCGGCGCAGCAACACAGCCAGCAGCCGCCGCAGCAACAUUCUGCUGAUGUGCCCGAGCCGGCCGCAGCCGACGACAUCGUCACCGACUGCUUGCCAGCGCCGCCGUCCCAGCUUCCGCGAGAGCCGCAGCAGCCGCCGCAGCCACAGCCACAGGCGCAGCCGCAGGCGCAGCCACAGGCGCAGCAAAGGCGCAGCAAGCGGCGGGACAAGCGGGGUAAGGAGGCCAAGCUGCCGCGUGGGUCGGGCCCAGGCACCGUCCGCACCGGAGGCAGCAGCAGCGGCAGCGGCGGCAGCAACAGCGGGCCCGAAGGGCUGGAAGAAGAAGCUGCGGCGGCGGGCCAGCAGGGUUUGGAUGUGGGGGCUGGUGACGCACGAACGGCAGAGGCGGAGGGCGGAGGGCCAGAGGCGAUUGUGGCGUCGGCCGCCAUACCAGCGCCCCUGGGUGCGGUGGAGGCUGGCACCGAUGCUGAUGGCAGCAGCAGCGGCAGUAGCGGCAGCAGUAGCGGCAGUAGCGGCUUCCUCCAGGGCGCGGGUCCAGCUACUGCCGCCGCCGCCUCCGCUGCGGCUGCGGCGGCUGCGGCGCUGCGAGGGGCUCGGGAUGCGCCUGUUGCCAUUGCCGGUGUGGUGGUGCCGGCGGGUGUGCGCCAGCAGGUGCAGGAGCACGUGGAGGGGCUGCGGCAGGAGGGGCAGUGGCAGGAGGCGGAGCAGCAGCAGGGGGAGCAGCAGGAGGGGAAGCUGCAUGAGGAGGGGGAGCUGGAGCGGCUGCAGCAGGAGCAAGGGGGAGUCCAGCAAGCGCAGCAGCAACCAGAAGAGCUGCAGGCGCAGGCGGGCAGCAUGGGCGAGUCAAGGGCGGACGGGGCGGGGGAGGCAGAGCAGGUGGAGGCGGAGGAGGCGGAGGAGGCGGAGGAGGAGGCCGAGGUGGGGCGGGCGCAGUCGCAGAAGCCGCAGCCUGACAUUCCGCAGCUGAUCCAGCGGGACCAGCGGGAGCAGCGGGGCCAGCAGGAGGAAGAGGUGGAGCAGCAGGCGGCGGCAGCCGCAGGGGUGCGGCCCGCCGCCUCCCAGCCCACAGCCACAGCCACGGCGGCGGCGGCGUCAGGACUGAACGAGGUUGGCGACGUGGCCAAGCCGCUGGGUGGGCAGGGGCCACGCGGACCUGUGGCGGCACAAGCCGCCGCAGCCGCCGACGUGCAGCCGGGUGUGCAGCAGGAGCAACAGGAGGAGCAGGAACAGGAGGAGCAGGAGAGGAAGGAGCAGCAGGAGCAGGAGCAGGAGCAGGAGGAGGAGGCGAGGGAGGAGCAGGCGAGGGAGGGGCAGGCGCGGGCGCAGGCGAGGGAGGAGCAGGAGCAGGAGGAGCAGGCGAGCGAGGAGCUGGAGGCCUGGGCUGGGGCUGAGGCGACAGCGCCGCCGCACGAGCCCUAUGACCUGCUGCUCGGCAACAGCCCCGGGGCUGAGUCCGCCGCCGCCGCUGAGCCCAGUGUUGGGGUGGGAAGCCCCGGCACCACCAGUAGCAGCGGCAGUAGCAGUGGCAGCAGCAGUGGCAGUGGCAUCAGUGGCAGUAGCAGCUACAGCGGAGCUCACACCGGACUUGCUGAGGCGGUCCGACACGCCGCAGCCUCCAGCGCCUCCUCCGCCCCCGGCCCCGCUCCCGCCUCCCACUCACCCUCCGCCCAGCACGCCGACAGCCACGGCAGUGGCGAUGAUCAUGCCAGUCACGGAAGCAGCAGUGGAAUUAGCAGUGGCGGCGGUGGCGGCGGCGCCCAGGAGGCUGCCGCACGGCCGGCCUACGACCAGCUGCUGCCGAACACACCUUCCUCACCCGCCGGCAGUGGCUACCCACCCGAGCAGCAGCAAGGGCAGCAGUCACGAGGCCAGUCACACGCUCGGGUGCAGUCGGAGCAGCCGGAGCAGGCGCAGCAGCAGGAGCCGCAGGAGACGCAGGAGACGCAGGAGGAGCAGCAGGAGGAGCAGGGGCAGGCGCAAGAGCAGGCUCUGCCGCGGGCCCCUGCAGCCCAGGUGGGACCGCAGCAACAGCCGCCUCCGUCAGCGCCGCCGCAGCAGCAGGGGCAGCAGCAGGGGCAGCAGCAGCAGCAGCAGCAGCAGCAGCCUGAGGACUCGCCCGCCGCAGUGCAGCAGAGGGUGCCAGCGGAGGCCGAGGCGCCGCUGCAGCCGCAGCAGGUGCCGAUGCCGGCGCCCAGCGCUGCAGUGGCAGCGGGCGAGCAGCGGCACUGGCAGCAGGUGGAGGGGGAGGUGGAGGGGAAACGGGCUGGGAACGAGGCCCAGACCGAGGCAUCAGGGGUCCAGGCGGCGGGGGCCCAAAGGGCCCCGGACGUGCUUGCGGGUGCGGAGCAGCCUGAGGCUGUGUUGUCUCAGGUGGCAGCGCUGCCCCCUACUGGCGAGGUGGGUGAGGCGCCGGCACUGGUGGCGGUGGUGGUGCCGGCGGAGGUGCGGGAGGCGGCGCAGCAGCGGGCGGAGGCCGUGGCGGGGGCGGGAGUGGAAGUGGCGGAGCAGCCGCAGCUGCCACAACCUCAGGGGCAGGUCCCGGAGGGAACACUCCCCAGCGGUGCACAGCAGCAGCCGCUGGCGGGCGCGCCAGGCGCUGAGCAAGAGCGACAUCAGGCGCAGCAGCAGCCUCAGGCGCAACAGCAGCAGCCACAAGCGCAGGCGCAGCAGCAGGCUCAGGCGCAGCAGCAGCAGCCACAAGCGCAGCCUCAGGCGCAGCAGCCACAGGCGCAGCAGGAGGUCGGCGGGGACAGAGCCGGCCGCCAGUCGCAAGUGACCCUGCAGGGUGAGGAGCAGGAGCAGGCGCAGGCGCAGGGGCGGCUGCCGGAGCAGGGGCGGCCGCAGGAGCAGCAGCAGGGGCGGCUUCCGGCGCAGGAGCAGGCGCAGGAGCAGGGGCGGCCGCAGGAGCAGCCACACGAGCAGCCACACGAGCAGCAGGCGGCUGCGCUGCAGGGCACUGGGCGUCAAUCCCGGGCCACGCAACCUCAGGUGCCGGGUACAGGGGCAAGGGUCGAGGCGGUCAAGGAGAGUCUGGAGAAGGUGGAUGAGGGCGCGUCUCGCCGGCAGCAGCACCUGCAGCAGGAGCAGCUGCAACAGGAAAUCCCGCGGGAGCAGCUACAACAACAACAGCACCAGCACCAGCACCAGCACCAGCACCAGCAGCAGCCUCAGGCUGAGGAGCAGCAUGGGUCGGUGCUUCUGGCGCCGUUGCGCUUUGCGGGCUGGCUGGUGUCGGCUGUGCUGUGGGGGUUGGGCUGGGUGGUGGCGGGGCUGGGCAAGGCCACCUGGUGGACGGCCGCCUCCUCCGUCCGGGCCGUGCUGGCGGUGCCGCGAGCGGUGCUGGCGGCGGCGGCAGCGCUGGUGCGAGGGCUGGGCGAGGCUGCAGGUGCGUCGUGGGCUUGGUGGGAGGGCGGCGUGUGGGUUUGGCACGCGGCAGGACUGCGAUGGGCAGUCCCAGGUAUGUGCGUUACGUCACGGUGUAUCGCUUCAAAGCUAUUACAUUUAUGGGUUUCUCUUAGGCCUGGGCUAGGCUGCGGGUACAGUGUGUGGCCUUAGAGGCUUCGUUGUGCGGAUGGGCGUGCCGGGCCACGUGUGCGUCUUGGCAUGCGUGACGCUGCCUGGAGCAACACACGUGAACACCGCGCCCAAACCUCAUGCUCACGCCCGAUGCUGCACGCACAGGCCGGGCGGUCCUACCCCACCACGAGGCGGGACCCCUGGACCGGACCACCACCGCCGUACAGCCCGUCGGCGGCGGCGCGCUGCCGUCGGGCGCCGCCGCCACCGGCGGCCACGGCUCCGCCCUAGCCGCCGCCGCCGGCGCCACGCCCACCCUGCCCGCCGCCGCCGGCCCGCUGGGUAUGGGGUACGGCGGCCUGGCGGCGGCAGGGAUGCCGUACGGCGCCGCCGGCAUGGGCACGAUGCCGUACGGCAUGUACAACAACAUAACGCCGUACUCGGCGGGCGGCCUAGGAAUGUACGGGGGCCUGGGCGGCGGGGCGGCUGCCGCCGCAGCCGCCGCCACCCCAGGCGCCAUUGGUGCGGCGCCGGUGAACGUGCCAGCCUCGCCGUACGGCGCAGCCGGUACGACACUUGGCGGCGUACCGCCAGGUGGCGUGGCCGGCGGCAAUUACGGCGGCGGCGGGUACGGCGGCGCUGGCGGCGGAGUGGGCCUGGGAGGCGGCGGCGGCGGCGGACAUGCGGCGCCGCCGGUGGCGGGCGGUGCGAAUGCGGUGGAGGUGCCUGAUGCCAUGACGGCGGCGGCUCCGGACGGCAGCGGCGCUCCGGGUAGGAUGGUGGCGCAGCAUGAUGCCAGAACCGGGUGCAGAGGACAUACGGUACACACACGUACACACCCAGACCCUUCCUUUGCGCUAUUCUUACAAACACCAAAACACGCAUGCGCGGCUUGCUUGCGCAUCAACAUACACCAUGCCAAGUUUGCUAACCUUCUCCCCUUGUGCUUUUCCUGACAUGACACACGCUUCGUCUUCCCUGGCACGCACGCGCUCCCCGUGCCGCAGGUGUGAUCGCCACGGCCUACGACGCGAUGGUGCUGGGCUGGGGCCAGACACACCACCCGGGGCUGGGCGGCGCGGGCCAGAUGGUGCGGGACCAGGUGGGUGGGCAGGGAGGGGGGGUAGGGGGGCAGGUGUGUGUGUGUGUGGGGGGGGGGGGUUGGGCGGCGCGGGCCAGAUGGUGCGGGACCAGGUGGGUGGCCAGGGAGGGGGGGGGCAGGGAGGGGGGGGCAGCGGGGCGUGUGUGUGUGUGUGUGUGUGUGUGUGUGUGUGUGUGUGUGUGUGUGUGUGUGUGUGUGUGUGUGUGUGUGUGUGUGUGUGUGUGUGUGUGUGUGUGUGUGUGUGUGUGUGUGUGUGUGUGUGUGUGUGUGCGUGUGUGUGUGGGCUGGGCGGCGCGGGCCAGAUGGUGCGGGACCAGGUGAGUGGCCAGGGGGGCGUGUGCGUGUGCAGGGGACGUGUGGACAGGGGGGCGCGUGGGCAGGGGGCAGGGUGGGCAAGGUGGCGGGUGGGCAGGGACGUGUGGGCGUGGGCGAUGGAACUGCGAUGGCUAGGUGCCAGCACUAUGCAGGGUGCUGGUGGGGCAUGUGGGUUUACCGCCGGGGCCUGGGGAGGUUGCCCUCGAUCGCUCAUCACUGGUGGGGUGGCGGCUUGCUGGGGGUUGCUUACUAGGGCACAAUACCGCGGCACGCUGUUGCUGCACUACCCAGCUGCUACUUGUCAUUUAUGUUCACCCUCCGCCUAGGCAUGUUUCCAGGUGCCUGCCCGCUUCAUUCCUGGUAUGCUUAGAUCAAUAAUAACUGCUUUCCGACGCCCGACGCCUGACCUGCCUCCGCCCCCCACAGGAGAUCCUGGCUGACGGCUGGGGCGAGGAGGUGGCGGAGGCGGUGGAGGCGGUGGGCGGUGCGGCGCUGGGAGCAGGAGGCACAGCGCCCAUGGGCUCGGCCAUGGGCAUGGGCGGGUGAGCAGCCGGGCUACUCUAGUUUACUUGGGAGUUUGGGACGCACCCUUACUCGGAACGCCACGCAGGGUGACGCAAGCGGCAGGCCGAAGAUAGACCAGGCGACGAAACAGUGGCGUUUGCUCUGGUGCACAAACGCUUGUGUGGCGUGUGACGUGUGAUGUAUAAUGCUGCGUACUGCAACCGCGCACAACGCCAGGAACGGUUGCGUGAACGAUGUGCAUGCAGGCCGUACGGCGGCGGCGGCGCGGGGGGUCUGUACGGCAACUCGUACGGCAUGGUGACGCCCAUAACCACCAGCCCCAGCGCGGGUACGGUGCUGGGGGCGGCGGUGGGCGCGCUGGUGGGCGGCGCGGCCUCGGGUACGUGCCAGGUUCACGUGUGCGUGUGUGCUUCAUCAUGUGCCGGAUACCCCUGCGUGUGUGCUUCAUCGUGUGCCAGAUGCGUGCGUGUGCUUCGUCAUGUCGCGAGAUGCAUGACGAGAUGGGCUGCUGGCGUCGUCGGUGCAUGCGUGAUAGGGUACUGCGUCAGCCUCAACCAGUCAGCUGCGUGCUACGGCACCAGGGCAGCGACAGUGGCGCCUCACGCGGGCCCACCGUGCCCUUCCUGUGCGUGCGGCUGCACAGGUCCCUUCGGCGGCCCCCUGGGGGCGGCCCUGGGCGCGGCGGUGGGCGCGGCGGCGGGCGGCCAGGUCACAGGGGACGUGUCUGUGCGGCCCAUGCAGGUGCGCGUGUGUGCGGGCGUGUGUGGCGUUUGUGCGUGCACGUGUGCGUGUGGGCUUGCGCCUGUGUGACUGGGCUUCUAUGACUAAGCAUGCGUGUGUGCGUGCGUGUGCAUGUGCGUGGGCGUGGGCAUGGCGUGCGUGUGCGUGUUCACGUGCAGAUUUGGAGGCGGCAAAGGCACCUCUGUGGGGAGGGACGAGAUCGCGUGUUUCGCAUUACCGCGUUUGCAAAAGCGGGCGCCCAAAGCUUCUCCAGCAGACAUGCACGCACGUGCACCAAUCAGUCACAUGCGGUCUUGCGGCCAUGUGGCAUGCCUGCAUGCAGGUGUUCACGGGCCCAGGCGGGGAGGGCGUCGCCAUUGCGCCGCAGCCGCAGGUGUGUGGUGAAAACUGGGGCUCGGGCCGUGAGGGGGGUGGCGAGGGCGGGGUGGUUGCCCCCUCUCCCAUCACUCAUCAGGCCUUCAAUGGGCACCGCACGGUGCCGUCAUGAUCUGAUGGUCGAUUGGCCGGUGCCGUACUGCCGCUACACCACACGGCAGCACGCCGGGGCGCAAUUGAUGAUCUCCGCUGGUGUAUGUGAAGCGGUGUGAGCUCAAUAUACUUGCACAGCCCUUCUCCCGUUAGCUGAGUACCCUAAAGCCGAAUGCCGCCGCCAAGGCGCCAAGGGCGCAACUGCCACUCGUGCAUAACCACCAAUCAACUUACCCGUUCUUCACAGGUGGUGGUUGCCAACGACUCGCUCAACCUCCUGGGUGCCGUGGUCGGCGGUCUGGUCGGCAGCACGUCUGGUCUGGGCCCACGGGCCGUACUGGCGGGCGCCGCCGUCGGCGCCGCACUGGCCAUGCUGAUGGCAGUCACGGGCCGGCGGUACACGUACGUCAGCCGGUACGGCGCGCGUACGGCAGGCGACGCACGGCGGGCGGCGCGGCUGUUCGGCUGGCUGCCUGGCGGCGGGCUGCGGCUUCCUGGCGCGGGACUGCUGCCGCCGUUCCGGUUCUAGACUUCUAGUACGGUGUGCGAUGGGACAGUGUUUAGGCAGGUUGGCGGGGGCCUGUAGGGUGCAGCUGACGCCCAGAACCCAGCAGAUGGCAAACAAUUUGCAACGGCAGGGCAUUAAUGCGCGCCUGCGCGGCUGCGCGGCUGGUCGAACAGUCGAGUUAGUUGCUGGCUGGCUGGAGGUUUGCUGAUGCGCAUUCCUCACGCUCCGGGCGCCCGUCGGUAGUUGUACGGUACAUGGUCCUCCGUGCGGUGGUGUAGACAGUCAGAGAGAGAAGUGUUCGAGCGGACGCAACUGUGUUGUGAAGUUGAGCAGUGGUCUGGACUGCGGACUGACUGUCUGACUCUGGAGGAGUGGAGGGGCAGAGAAAAGGUGCCCCGACGCUUCCAGGCUCCAGGUCAGAGCGGCUCUUCUGCUGGAGUAUCGGAAGUUAGCAGUGGUCUGGAGCAGCAGGAGGUUGGAGAGUACCGUAGCGGCGGCGCAUUUGGCUGCCUUGUAGCGCAAGGAUGUUUCCGAGCAUGCGUGCAUUUGCCUGUGUGUUGGGCCCAACUCCGCACGCCGUUGAUUGACGCAGUUCGCACUCCUAUGUUUAGUGCUGGGGGAUUCAGGGCAGCCUGGUGCGGACGUGCAGCGGUGCGCGGCUAGGCGAUUGCUCGACAUUGACAGGUGUUUUAAACUGCAUCCGCACGAAGAGGCGGACAAGGGCGAGAGACAUGGGCGGAUAAUGCAAGGCGAGUUUACACGCUUACCCCCCUGCCAACAAUACCCAACAGCAACCAUUACCAUACUACCGUACUGUAUCAAGUGUACCGUUAUUUCUGUUCGCUGCCUCCUCCACCAGCCUUCUGUUUUGGCUUCAACGCCAGCUACCACCAGCAAUCCUACCACCAGCAUUUCUCAGUCUCAUGCCAAACACGGGUUUGCGGAGCCCCGCCCGCCUUGGCCUCAGUUCAUCAUCAGCACUCAUGGGUCAGCACUGCGUUCGUGUUCUGUUCGUUGCGCCUUAGCUAUGCGCACUCCCGGCCGGCUACAUACGUAUCAGGCAACGGCCGGGCGUUUGUGCUGAGAGUGCGCAGCUAGGUUGCUGCACCCAUAGCAGCCCGGCAGCCCCGUACAUCAGUGAAUAUCAACAUGACAAACAUAUCACCUCCGAAACCGGCUCUAUCUUAAUUCCACCGCAGCCGCGGCUCCGAACUGUGCCGGCAAAGGCAACACCGCUGCAGCGGCAAGCAGGUGGUCGGUAGUAUCAAUCCACUCUCGCGCACCCAAGGCCCAUGGCUCAAGCGACCCACCUGACCAGCCCGUUCGUUGGGCGUUCCCGUCGCGACAAUGCGCAGAGUCACGUGCGUCAGAAAGCAAGUAGGUACGGCCGUCCACACGUGAGAAGUUAUUGGACAGCUUGCAUAGCCACUCGAACCUCGAACCCUUCCACCCUCGCCUCCGUUCUCUCUGCAUGAUCCGAUAGGCCCCGCGCCAGCCCCGCCCAGGCGUCACACCCGGAAUCUGAAAUCGUCACGCCAUGUAGCCGCGUGCAACCACACUGCACCACUACACCUCUUAACACACGCGCUCCCCCUUUUCCCCUGACUUCCUCAUCAGUCUAGUACUACCGCUACCAGGGAGCAAGGAUGAAUCCAACAUCGUGAUACUACCUCGGCAUCAAUCCCAUCCACCGUGCAACCUUGCUCUAUGCUGCUGCAGACUCCUUGCACACCCGGCAUCUCCCUUGCAUGCUGACGCAUUGCAUCUACUACCUACACCAGCUUCCGCACCGCCCCAAUGCACACUGCGAAUGCCCAGGAGCGCGGCACCAAUGGCCGUGCAGCCUUCGCCUGCGCGCACACGUUGCCGCAGCCAAACAUGUGCGUCCCCGUUGCCGUACCCGCAUUAUCGCAUGCCAUGCCAUUUUUUUGAGGACACACAAUACCUCGCUCAAAUGGCUGAUCCACCCCCUCCUCUGAACCUUGAGCAUAUUGUACUAGUGUGAGUGCACAGCAUGAAACCCGCGCCAUUUUAGCCCCGUAUACCUACUACGUAUGCCGCCAGCCUCGCGUCUGUAUCUCAGGAUGUUGAUACGAGCGUGCGGGCGCACCGCUUUUCGCGGUGCUUGCCUGCACUGGUAAAUAUAUGGAGCCCGGUACCUCUACCUGCUACAACCGCGUGCGAAACUACGCACAUGCAAACAAAACCAUCAUAUAGGCAAAUAGCUCCAAAAGUGCCCGUGGAGUUGCUAGUCCUGCAACUGCAGCUCGUCGCAGCUGCAGCUCUCCGUAACCAGGUGCCCCACGAUUCUUAACGGCUGCGGCAAUCCGCCGCAUAAAAAAGUAUUGUGCCCGCCAUUCUCAGCCAUUGCCGCUUGGCUCUCGCAGAACCAGCGCGACUUGGCCUUACAGCACCAGCACUUUGCGCUUCUUCAGCGGCACGCCGCUCUCCUCGCUGGACACGGGAGAGCCCGACGCGGCCUUGCGCGCCAUCUCCACCUGCGAGCCGGAGGGAGGAGUGGGGAGGGGGGGGACACGGCAAACACCGGAGUCAGGACGGCGCCCACGGUACACUGCAUGACCGCACGACGAGCCCCGCAUUGCAGCCUCAAGGGACGCCUUAGCCCAAUCGCGCUGGCCCCCACGCCACCGCGCGUGACGCUGGCCCUAACAAUGCGACCUACUGGCCACCGCGCACGCGCCCACGUCCCUCGCUACGCGGCGUCACACGCGCGGCCACGCUGUCUCAUUCCAUGCGGUGCCGUGCCCUGCCAAGCUAAACCCCCACAGUCGCUAACCCGCGGCAUCCAUGCGCAGCGCAAGACCCAACGUUCACCUGGAGCAGCGUGUUCGAGUCCGCGGGCAGCUGCACGGUGGUCAGCUGGAGAGACGUGCUGGGCGUGGCGGCGGAGGCCGCGGCUGCACCCAGCAGGCUGCGCGCGGGUAGCGACAGCUCGGGCUUGCCGCUGAAGGCGUAGGCGUCCUCGUUGAAGUGCAGGAACGCCUUGUUGUUGGUGGGGUGGAACGUGGAUCCCGGGCGGGAACCGCCGCCGCCACCCGCGGCCGCGACCACCGCGGCGGCCGCCGCGUGCUGGUUGUGGUGCUGCUGCAGCGACUGCAUCAUUUGCAUGGCCUGCAGUUCGUUCAGCUGCGACGCGGUGACGUGGUGCGAGCCCAGGCUGAGGCCGGAGUGCUGCGACUGCGACUGCGAGUGGGACUGGCUGCCGGCGCCGUGCGACGCCGCGGCGGCGGCCGCGGCGGCCGCCUGCAGGUUGCCGGCGAACUGGGUCAGGCUGAUGCCGCUGGUGCCGUGGCCCAGGCCGCUGCCGCCCAGUGACAGGCCGGCGCCUGAGAGGGACAGGCCGCCCGACUGGGGGAAACCCAGCAGGCUCUGCUGCGCCGCCGAGAGCAGCCCCGCGCCGGCGCCGCCACUGGGCAGCGUCAGCUGUGACGGCAGGCCCUGCGAGCCGCCCGCCUGCCCGCCCGACUGCAUGAGCGAGAGCUGCUGGGAGGCCUGCUGCGCGGUCAUGGUAGGGGGCGGCGUGGUGGAGGGGCUGGCUAGGGAGCCCGCGCCCGCCCCGCCGGCGCCCGGCUGCCCCGAUGGCAGCGAGCCCGCGGGCCCGCCCUGCGACGAUGUCGCUGCGCCAACCAUGCGCGGGCUGGCGUUGGUGUUGUCCGCGCUGGUGGAGCCUCCGGCCAGCACCGACGGCAUGCCGGUGGGCAGCGCCAGCGACUUGGGCACCGGCUUGCCCGUCAGGGCCUCCACCUGCGACUCUAGAUCCAGUGUGCGCGCCUUCAGCGCCUCGAUGUACUUGAUGACCUCCUCCAGAAAGCACGCCGUGUUGGCGCGCUCCGCAUGCGGCACCAGCUUGCGCAGGAGCUCCAGCCUGCACAUAGUGCGAAAACCCAGCAUAACCGUGUCAAUCUGACGUCAACAAAGGCUUGCAUGUCAAAAACGCGAGCACUUGGGCUGUGUGCGCUGGCGCAGGACUCGCUGACUACGCGUAUACUUUACGAGACCUGACUGUGAAGUGUUCCGGUGCCGGCAGAGUCAAUAGGCAAUGCCUAGCGCAGUUGAAACAUGCUUGCGGACCGCUUGGAGCCCACAACGCAGCUUACCUCUCAUUGAUUCGAGUUCGGCGGCGUUGCUCAGCCGCUUGGUGCCUGCUCGCGUAGGCACUUGAGCUCCGGCUGUCAGAAGACUUCGUUUUGCCCACAUUACGCAGGCCGCCGAGCUGUAGGUCGCGGUCUCCCGACCCGUACUGCUGGGGGAAGAGCGCGGCCGGGAAUCCGCUGAGCAGAGCGAGCUGGUCAGGCAGCCCAAGCUGCGAAGACUGCUGCAUAGGAGCUUGCUGAGAAGUUUGCUGCAGCGACGAGGUCGGCAGGCUGCCCAGGCUUAAGUUAAGACUCUGACCGGACAGGGCCCCGCUUCCGAGCCCGCUCGUCUGCAGGUUAAACUGGCCCUGGCCAUUUAGCAACGCGGCUACGCGAGCUGCCUCUAACAUGUCCGGUUGUGUCCGCCCCGCUAAUCCCAGCAGACCGAGCUGCUGCUGUUGCCGUCCGGUCAGCGAUGUUGGCUGCAUUUUGGUGCUUUGGUCCUUGAAAGGUUCUAUAUGGUCAUACGGAGCAAAGUAAGACGGGUGUGGAAAAGAUACAACAGGAAACGGGCGUGUGCUGGCGUGAUGCAUGAGGCCCGGAUUGGGGCAUGCGUCACGACAGGCGCUCACAAGAGGCCCCGUUCGUUUCCAACUGCUGAUAAUAGUCCACGUCAUUUUACGUGGGAUGGUGCCCAGGAACUCCCGAAAUUCCUAGGUGAGGAAGCUGGCUUUGGAGGUGCGAGCUUUUUCCUGCAUGCCCUCGACGCUUCGGCCUGCUUGGCGGUUGGGGAUGAGUACAAUAUUGGAGCGUAAUUUGGGUGCAAUGGGCUUGGAAUGCGUUGGGGAUGACGGGGUCAGAACAUAAACGCAGCAGCAGUUGGGCGGAGCUGACGCUCCGGCCUAGGACAGGCCGGAUGGCCUAGCAAUUAAUGUCUUAGCACAUACUUGUGCUUAAUACAUGCUGCAGCACCCCGAAAGCGAAGCAUUGCACAGGGGAUUCUGCCGACCGCUGCCGUAUCCCAUCCGUACCCGCAACCUUUCGAGUGGGCAAAAUGCGCAAAUUAUGGGAUGAUCCAGAGGCGGUUAUUAGGCUGAGAUGGGAUGCGGGAAAAUUGCGCGGCCGAAGGCCGCGCUAAUUCGCGAAGUUCAGUGGAGUACACGGCGAGCGUGUGUAUCUUUUCCCUCGCCUCGCUGACCUCCCAUCCCACGCUCGCGGAAUUAGUGAGGCGCACCAUCAGGGCAGGUGCUUUAUCGCCACUGAGGCAAUGCAUAAACAUUCUUAAUUUUUAUGCAUCGUGCAGGCAGCGGAGGGGGUGGGCCCCAGUGAGGCGGUGCUGAACUUGCUGCCUUGUCCCCCACCACCAGCAGCCACGUUGCAGUGCAGCAGGACACGUUUUCGUGCUGCCUAGCGCCAUCACACUGGCCCUCUGAGCCUAUACAUAUGCACCCAAGCCGAGACGUGCAUGGUGCCCACGCCAAAUACUUGCUAGCGUGGCAUGCUGGCCCCUCAUUUCCGCUGGCCUGCCAACGGCUCCUCCCACGGGUUCUGACCCCCACGGAUCACACCAGUAACCCGUUCCUCACAGCAAAAAUCCACGCGUACGCUAUCUUAAUUUUGCAAAAUUUUCCCGGGGGCUACGCCCCCGGAACCCCACAGAAAUAUUGCUUGAAAGCAUCAGCUGCUUUGAGCGAUAAAGUAGGGGCGCGCAGCGGGGCGAUGGUAUGAAUUGUAGAGCGCUUUUCGUUGCAGCGGGGGGCGGAAGGAGUGAAGCACAGCCGGCGAAGAACGGGAGCUCGCGAAUUUGCGCUGUCGCGCUGCACGCGACCUUUUGACCCUCUAACAAUGGCCAUAGUUGUUUCUUUGAUACUUAUAUAACAUAUGGCAUCGUGCUUAGGAGUAACAGCACACUAGAAGGAAACUUGGGCACUCAUACUGUCCAAACUGGGGCCCUUGACCGGUUUGAAGAACGCUUCUACUAGAAACACACUUGAGAAUAACGUCUGCACUCAGCGAAGGAGGCUAGGAGCGCCAACAAAGUUGCGCGCUAAUUCCCGAAUUCGCGCGAAUUCCCAUAGGUGCCCAUGUGCCAUGCCGUUUCCUGACCAGGGCAAAUUGCGGGAAUUAUGGGGUGAUCCAGAGGCCGUUAUUAUGCUGAAAUGGGGUUGGGGGAACUUGCGCGGCCGAAGGCCGCGCAAAUUGCGCAGAAGUUAGGCGCGUACCCAGCAAGUACGAGUACCCACCUUGCUGCCCCUGUCGCCCCACGCCCAGCUUGGGUCAAUUAUGCAGUGGAUAGGAGCGGUGGCCCACGAUACAGCAGCCACUGCAGCUCAUACUUUGAUUUAAUAUUUACGCAGUGCGUAGACAGGGGGCAGGGGAGCGAGGGCGAGGGCAAGGGGUCCAGCGGCGUGGUGUGGCGGCGACCAGCAGCCACCUUUACCACGCUGCAGGAGAUGUAUCUGUCCGGCCCAACACUUCUCUCCUUGCCCGGUAGGGCCACACAUGAGUGUCCGAGGCAGAGGAGGUGUAGCGCCCACGCCCAGCAAGUAGAAGCAUGGCAGGCCGGGCUACCUGACCGCGUGUCUUGCCCACGGCUGCCCCCAGCAGUUUGUGACCCCGGCGGAGCACGCCGUGCCCUCCUUACCAACGUCAAAAAUCAAGUGUUUUGUGCCAGGGAUUUCCAAAAUUUUUCCCGGGGGCUACGCCCCCGGAACCCCCCAUAGUUAAUGGAAAACAACACAGCAGUAUUAACAUCAGUGUUCGUGCCGCGAGCACUUGAAAACGAUACCACAUUGGCAAUAAGUCAAUAGUGUGCUGCCGAUCCAUAGAGCGAAGCCUUGUCGGCGAAGAACGCAACUUGGCAAAUUUGCGCAGCCGCGCAUUCCACGGCUUUCAGCCCCAGAUACCGCCUACUACCAUUUCUAUAAUGACUCCUAAGUUUGCUGCGACCUUGCUUGGGGUCAUUAGAGCGCUACAAAGGGAUUUGACGGUCGUGCUGACCGAACUUGCGCCGCGGACAGGCUCUAACACUGACAACAAGUAAAGAAGCGUCCGGUCGCAUAAAUGUAAUUAUGCUGGGCGUGCAAGACAGCCUAACAAAGUUGCGCACUAAUUCCCGAAUUAGCGCAAAUUGCCCUAGUCGCGAAUUCACCCAUGCCAUGGCCCCUACCCCUCCCGUUUGCUGGGGCCGCUGGGGUUCGCCAGGCAGUCACGGGGUGCCAACGUGCCAACCUUUCGCCUUUUUGGGGGGCCCUUGCUUUGCCCCGGAGGGGUGCCCUUUGGUGUGCGAUGGGACAGCGGAAAGGCAGGUUGGUAAAGUCCCGUAGGGUGCAGCUGAUUCCCAGAACUUAACAGAUGGCACACAACUGGCAAAGGCAGGGCAGGAGUGCGCGGCUGGUCAAACGCCGGAGUUACUGUACCCAUGAGUUGCUGGCUAGCUGGAAGUUUGCUGACGCGCAUUCCUCACGCUCCGGGCGCCUGGCCAGGCGAUAGCACCACACAGACACACCGCAACGCCACACUGCAGGACUUCGCGAGGCAGAGCCGCAUCGCACCUGCAGGAAGGCGACCAGCGUCCACGGAUGAGCACUAGAGGCAACAGCAGGGAAAUGCAAUCGGAAUGCAGCAAUCCAGCAAAGCAAUGGCCGGAGGGGUGCCCUUGGGUUUUGGUGGCUUGUGCGGUUGUCCCUGGUGUUCUCCCCUGGUUCUGCCUGCUCGCUUUGCAGGUUAUGUGCCGUUGUGGUGCUGCGCCUUCCCCUUUCUUCUCCUUUGUAACCAUUUGUACCCCACUAACACACCUGCCCCCACCCGGCCGGCAGCCGCCGCCCCGUGCGGCUGCCGGUUUCAUGACGGGUGUGGGGAACCGCAAUGCGGUCCGCACCCGUCACCUGCCUGCUGUUUGCUCCCUUGCCUCUUCGUCAGCGUCUGUGUUUCCAGAGUCGGGCUUCCUGGUGUCGCACGGCAUGCAUCGCACGCGCCCAUACCAACCGCAGUGCGACCGGGAUGAGCCAUGCAGCGAUCGCGCUGUCGUUACUUCCUCGCGGUUUGCACCAGUUGGGCACUUUUUGUCAACGCAGGCAGGCAGGCACGGACAGGGGCAAUCCUGGGGGGCUUCGCCCCCCCUGGAUCGCUUCGCUCAGGGGUCUCUUAGAAAAAAACCUUGGAAGUCUUACUUCCACUGAAUCACUGAUCCCUGCUGCACAAUGCGCUUGCUGCCAGUCAGGCUGUCAGUCCACAGCGCCUUGAUGAAGCCACAGGCCAGGAGGGCCAUCGGGACAAUUCCCCGCUGUCCCGUACUGGCGCGGCUGUGUGUCUAUGUGGUGCUAUCGCCUGGCCGGGCGCCCGGAGCGUGAGGAAUGCGCAUCAGCAAACUUCCAGCCAGCCAGCAACUUGUCGGUACAGCAACUCCGGCGUUCGACCAGCCAUGCACUUCUGCUCUGCCACUGCAAACUGUCUGCCGUCUGCUUGGGGUAUGGGCGUCAGCUGCACCUUACGGGACCUCGCCAACCUGCGCCACCUGGGCCUAAACCCUGUCCCAUCACAAAAAAAUGAGAAGACAAAAUGAGCAGAGAAUGGACUUGGAGCCAGGUGCGCUACGCCAUUCUUAAAGCACUGUGCGCUCCCGGCAGUGCUUCACAUUUAGGACAUUUGCGCAAGGAUUUGGGCGCAGCGAAUGGAAAGACCGCAAAUGGCAUGAUUACGCUACUUUUUCCUAGCCGACCGCUGUUCUGCCUGCUGCGCUCAAUAUGACAACCAGUAUGCUCUCCCGUUCCAUGCAGUGCUCUGCUUCGGCGCCUUCCGGCGCCAUUCCCCGGCGAUCCAUCGCGCGUUCGCGGCCCGCGGCUCGCGUUGUGCGGACUAGCUCUGGUGCUGGAAACAGCGGCAUGCCUCCGCCCCGCGCUCGUGGCCACGGGGGCGCCGCCGACGAGGAGCCCGAGAACGAAGACCCCACGGUUAAGGCCGCCAAGAUUCAAGCGAAAGCAGCUCUGGUCCUGGGCGGCGCGAUGUUUGCUGGCUUCUUCGUGCUGGGCAGCGCGAUUUUUGCUGGCUCCUUCGUGCUUGCCGACGCCCUCCGCGGCGUCCCCGCUGGCUUUCGGUCAAGCUGAGCGGCCUACUCAAGAGCCUGCGCACGAGCCUACUCGAGAACGGUCCGAUGGUUGCUGCUGGCCUGUUCGCCCUGCUUGCCUUCCAAAAGGCCCCGCGCAGCUGUGAGUGGCUGGGCGGGAGAAAGCUUGAGGGUCCACGCGCAGCCCUGCAGGGCCUUUGGCACUUCCGCUCUCUGCUCCCGCUCCGCCUAACUCCCAGCCCCCCUUCCUGUCACUCCUUUGCCCUGCCUGUCACAGGGCGCCGUGAACCCUGGUGUGAGGGCUUCGGGUCCGCGGCAUCCAGCAAGGUGCGGGUGCGGGGCGCGGGUUCCAGGGCUCCGGGCUGACGGCCAUGGGUUGGGUGCUGCCCCUCGUGCUGCCAGAUGGAUGGGUGCAGGGACUGCAGAGGGCGGCGGUUCUGCGGGGGCAGAGUACCUUGAGAAUGAGGGAGGUGGCUGGGUAGCUAAGGCCGUCGGGAUGACGGCUGGAGGCACCAGGGGGUGGGCAGCUGGGUAGCGCAGGCCCGCACACCUCUCGCCCGGCACUGCCUUCUAGACCGGAGGCCAUGCUUUGUCCCCGCGUCGCACGCAUCGGCGUCUGCCGCUGACCCCUCCACCUCCCCUUUCGCCCCCCCCCAGGCGCUCCCAACCAGCGCAACCUGCUCCUGGCCCGGCAGCGGCGCCUCCGCCACGGCCAGCCGCCAAGCCACACGCUCGGCCACAACCGCUCCGGCCAGGCGUCGCCCGGGCCGCCCCCGCCCGUCAUGCGGGUGGUCCUCACGGAGACGGGCGACAUGCGCAGCGGGGCUUGACUGUACUGCGGCCGCGGUGGGCGGAGCAGCGACCCAUGAGUGCCGAUGACAUGGCGGCGUCGGGGAGCUUGAGGAGGAAGCGCAGGCGACGCGGGUGGCAAGCUAGGGGUGGGGUGUGUGGGGACUCGGGAGGCGGGCUAGGUAGGACGUAGGAUGCUGGCGGUGGGAGGUAGGCAAUAGGAGGUGUACGAUGUGUGCGGCCCAGUGUGGCAGGUGCGGCGUGUAUGUUACGUGUCGCGUCGUGUUGCCGUUGGUGAGCCGCUGGGCGCGUGUCGGGCGUGGGACAGGAGGACGGAAGACGGGGUGGAUGCUGCCGGGUGGCGAGGCAGAUCGAACGAGGGUGGAGGGGUGUUGCUGCGCUGGCUCAGAAGUGCAGUGUGCUUCGGGCAGGGAGCGGGCGGCCGAGAGCCUGCUUGGCGGCGUUGCUGUAGUACCUUGUUGGCGAGAUGCACCUUCUUGAUCUUGACCCGUCUCUUGGCCCGUCUCUUUGACUAAAUGACUUGACUAGCUGACUUGACUUGACCAGGGCCAAGAUUGGGAGGGCGCAGCGGGUGAAGUCGGCGUGAGCUGUGUGUGGGUUACCGCAUGCAUCUACGUGUAUGGUGGGUUCUGGGCGGUCAUGCUCUGUGGCGCGCAUCACCCAUGCCAGCCCCGCAUAGGCCGGCGAUCGUGUCAUCUAGUUGUGCCACACACCACCGCGUCCCAGCCAUCCCUUCUGUAGCCCCAGAAGCCAAACAACAAGGGGUGUCAGCUUUGUACAGCUGGAAAAUGGGCUGAGCCCUAGGAAUGUAUGGGCCCCAAUGAAGUCAUAGGCGGGGUGACUUCUGCAACCAAACCAGCUUUAGGGCCCAUGCCGACGCUGCACGAGCUCCGGCUCAGGACCACACAUGAUCUGUACUUGGCCACAGGAUUGCCAGCACAUCAGCAAUAUAAGAUGACACGCACGCGCGACAUGAGAGGUCCACAACUCUAGCUCAAUGUCCGUCGGCCCUCCACGCCCACAAAUACGGCCAGACGCUCCGCCAGCAGCUGCAGCUGCGUUUCGCUCAACCGCGGCAGCGGCCCAGACAGCCGCGCCGCCGGCGCCCCGCGAACCGGCUUCACCACACCCGGCCGCCCACUGCUGUUUCCACCAGCACCACCGCCUCCGCCUCCGCUGCCUGCGCCGGCCUCGAGGGGGCCAGCGCCCGUAGCUAUGGCCCCCGUCGCGUGCCCUGCCCGCUGUGCUCCCCGCUCCCCACCCCUCCCCUGUCUCUCCGCCUCCUUCUCCUUCUCCCCAGCCACCGCCCCCUCCACCUCCUGCUGCUCUCCGGCCAGGCCGCUUUUCUCCGGCCAGGCUACCGGGUCGUACCAGUCCCGCGGCAGCCCCACCAGGUUGCGCUCGCUGUGCUGGAAGGGGCCUUUGAGCAGGUCCGGGUUCAGGUGCAGCAGCCAACGCCUGCGUGGCGCAGAGUGUGUGUGUAGAAAGGCGGGAUCGUGAGGUGUGGGUUGGAUGCACAGACCAGUACCGGCCGGUGGUCGGGGGAAGGGGUGAUGGCCUGUCAGUCCUAGACCCGAAACCGAACCGCGAUGCCCCUGCUCACACACGCACACGCACACCCCUGGCACCCACCCACCCACCCACCCACCCACCUACCUGAACAGCGGCCCUGCUGGCACGCCCAGCGCGGCGCACAGGCGUGCGAACCAUGUCACGCCCACCGCCACGUGCGCCCGCUCCUCAGUCGCGAUCAGCGCCACCACUGCCGCGGAACGACUGUCGCCGUAGCCCCUCAGCCGCUGCGUUGAUCAUGUUGUGGGUCGCACCGUCACAUUGGGCACUGGUUCUCUGAAGCGGGUCGCAAUUGCGGUCGGCAUUAAGGCCUACCGGUACUUGAACUAGCCUCCAACCACCGGCACCCACCUGCACCAGCCGCCCGCCCGCAUCCAGCCCCCGGGCCUCCUGGGACAUCGGCACCACCGCCAGCCUGCGGUACGGCCCCCCGUGGGGAGCAGCAGCGGUAGGCGGAGGCUUUUGACGCAUGGACACCGGCCGGUCCGUAUGGGCAUGGUCCAGAUUGGCACAAUUCAGUUGGGCAUGUGCCGUAAGCGCCUGAUAAAGGCCAUGCCCAAGCAACACUCCACUCCUCUCUCGCUGCUACCGUCCGCAAUUACCCCCCCCCCCCCCCCCAAGCCCCUGCCCGCCGGCGUGCUCUACCUUGCCGCCACGUCCACCGCGGACAGCUUGCAGCCCUGCCACAGCAGGUCGUGUGCGGGCAUGUCGCCGUAGCCGCAGCCCAGCUCGGACAGGCGCUGCAGGCACCAGCGCAGGUGCCGGGCCUCGUCGUCAGCAACCCUGGCGGCGGAAUGGCGGGGGCGGGGAGGGGUGGGGUUGGUGUGGGGUUCCAGGCAUGACUUUUAAGACGGCGGUGAUUUCGGACCGGCACAGCGUUGCACCGGGGCCGGGGGAGCGGAUCCGAGCAGGUCGCGCACUGCUAUCGGUUGACCCGGGAAGUGCAAGACGAGCACGCCAGCGACAACCCCCCGUGUCCAUAUGGACUGGCGCGGCAAAAUGGCGGGAGCUCGCGGGAGCGGGGAUGCCCCCGUAACCCCCCCACGUGCUUACAAACGCAUUCUCCCCUUACUGACAUCAUGCCACCGUGCGAUAUCAGCCAGUAAAGCCACACGUUUUCCAACCACCUGUCCACUCCCUUAGCUACUGUCCGUACAACCCACCUCGCGAAGUCCUCAUAGAACUGGUCUGGCAGCUCCAGUGCUGAGAACCGCACCACCGUGUCUGCAAGGAGAAGCAGUGGGAGGUCGACGGUCAUGCAGAAAGAAGUGAUAAAUGACAGGUUUGGGAGAUACAAAGUUGGUACCGUACAAAGAAGUGUAUCAGAAGUGUGCGCAGCUAAUGAAGUCAGGCGAUGUAUACACGAUGAUCGACUCCACAUCACUUGCGUUACUCAUCGCUCCAUAAGCCAGCACCGGUCAGCACUCACCCCAUGCCAGGUCAAUCGCGUUCAGCUCGAUGUGCGCCUGCAGUGGCGGUGGCGGCGCCGGUACAGUUAAGAGACAAGCAAGCAACAGCAGGUAACCUGCAGCCUCCGGUACUUGCACGGUCCCGCCCGUACCACUUCGCCACACACAUCCUCGUCAUUUGACGGUGGGUCAGCAAUCAGCCAAGCGCGUUGCCGCAUGUAACUGAAAUGCGUAGAUGUGAAUGCGAACGCGAGUGCAGGCGGCAGCGGAGGUUGUUGUUGUCGCUUGCCGCAUGUAAUGCACCGCACGGACUUCCAUGUAAUGCACCGCACGGACUUCCAUGUAAUGCACCGCACGGACUUCCAUGUAAUGCACCGCACGGACUUCCAUGUAAUGCACCGCACGGACUUCCAUGCUGCUGCACCCACCAGGUUGUGCAACAUGUAGCCGUUGAGCCCCAGCGGCGAGUUCUCGUGGCCAGGGAUCUACAGGAAGGAGAUAGCGCGCGUUGUCAAUCCUACACAACAUGAUUCAGGCGUGCCAAUGAUCAGAUGUGUCCUGUCCGCACACUGCUGCAUACCGAUGCCGAAGGCGUCAAAGCCGCCUGCCCCGCUGGCACUUCAUGCUUUGUGUAUCGUGCGCGAGUGGCUACGGCACAAUGCCCAUUGACAGUUAUCCGCCCGCCCCGCUCACCUCCUUGGGCCGCACGAGCUGCGGCCGUUCCGGCCGCGCGGGGUGGUCCGGCAGCUGCUGCUCCAGUCGCGCCUUCACCUCCUGCCGCUGCCGCUGCCGCUGGCUCUGACUCUUAAGGCGGCCCUGCCAGGCCUCCUGAUCCUCAGCUUGAAGCCAUUCUUCUUGCUCGUGUAGCUGAUGUUGUGACUCCUGCUGCUGCUGCUGCUGCUGCAAUGUGGGCUGUAGCAGCCCCAGCAUCCCGGGCUGCUCCUGUGGCGCGCGCAGCGGCAGCUCUCCGGACAAGUAGGCGGACCAGGCCGCGUGCGUCAGGUCGGCCUUGGCCUGGGGGCACGCCGUGCGCAGCACCAUCAAACCCGCCUGCACCAGACUGGCGGGCACGGCUGUAGCAGCAGCGCCAGCAGCGCCAGCACCAGUGCUAGCAGCUGUUGCUGUUCUUGUUGCUGCUGCUGCUGCUGCUGCUGCUGCUGCUGCUGCUGCUGCUGAUGAUGAUGAUGAUGAUGAUGAUGAUGAUGAUGAUGACGUGGCGGAUGUGGCCGCAGUAGCAGCGUCAGGCUGGGCUCCACGGGCAGGCGGUGGCAGUAGCACCGAGGCCAGGCUUGGGGCCUCGCCUGCGCCCACCACCACAGGGCCACCAGCAGUGCUGCCUCCGGGAAUUGAGCCGUUACCGCCGCCGGCGUUGGCGGUGCUACUGCUGGCGCUGCUGCCAAUGUUACGGCUGCUGCUGUGGCCGGGCUCGGCCUGAGGCAGUGGCGACCAGCGCAGGCGGCGGUCAACCCCACGGGCGCGCCAAGCCCGCAAUCCGGGCCACUCGUGCCGAGCCGCCUGCAUGCCGAAGGGACCAACCCAUUAAAGAGCCCGCAGCCGUGAACUUAUGUAGGCAUGAUGCCACACAACGAUUGUUAGUCUAUUCAAAAGCAUUCCUAUCCUGGCAUGGAGCCCUCUACCAAUGCCCUGACAGUCCUGCACCCAGCGGCCUGCGACCUGCUGCCGGUUCGAACACACGCGCACCUGUGCUAUGCAGGUAGCCGCAUCAAAAGCCGCACUGCCAUGACUGUUGCUAGAUUCGCCGAGCAGCUGAGGUACCAACGAUCCUUCCGUAGCAACACCUGACGCGGGGCCGGAGGUCAGCGGCGGCGCGCUGCGGGUGCCGCGCUGAGCAUCGCAGGCGGACAAGUCCGGUACGCUCUGCAGUACGGGCCCCGGCGCUGCCUGCGCCGACAAAGCCACUAGUGCGCCAGCCCGGAGACGGCACCCAUUCACUGAUUCAGUUGGCCCGUGUUGGAGCGGGCGGGUGUCUCCGUUUCUGGAGAGCGCGCGGGCAGAGCGCCGCAGCUGUAGGUGGGGCGCGGUGGGGCAACCGUGUGGCAACGAGCCUGCCAUACGGCCCCCAGCCGCCCGGGCGGCCGCCCCCGAGUGAUUUGAGCGCUCCAAGCAAGACUGCAUAUGAUUGAUGCGGCGGGGCUAUUACAGCUAUGUUUCGUGACUAGAGCGGAAUGCGAUUGUGGCGCACACAAUGACUUCAGUCCGUUAUUGUAGAGGAAGUUGUUGGUUUAUGGUAUAUCAUGCCAUACUGCUUGUAAGGAGAGCAGUUGGUGCUUCACGCCGCUGGGGCUCAUGCUGCACUCGCAUGGCCGAGAAAAACUCGGUCCCCUUUCAUACAGCUUUGCGCGCUUCCCAAUUGUGUACUGCUGGGGUCUUCGGAUAUAUCUUUACGGGUUCUGUCUGUGUUGCCAAACUGUUCUACGACUAGGUCGUUUGACGCCCAGGCUGCCAGCCUGGGGCCAGACUGUGCCCCAACUUAACUCUAUAGUUACCACAUUCCCAUUGGGAACUAGAGACACAGCAAAGGAGCCAUGAGCGAUCCAAAGGGGCAACUCCCGCGCACGACGCGCGUGAAGAACAAGCAGCCUGCAGACAAGCAGAUCACUGCGGAGCAGCUUCUUCGCGAGGCUAAGGAAAUCCAGCUUGAGGAUGACUACAAGGCACCCAAGCAGAUUAUCACGGACCCGGAGGAGCUCGCCGAGUACCGUUUGUCUAAGCGCAAGCAGUUUGAGGAUCUUGUGCGCCGUGUGGGACGCUUCAAUGGCGGUGUCUGGGUCAAGGUAAGAAAGCCGCCGAUGCGGUCCCGAAAUGUGGUCUUCCCGGGCCGAAGAGGGCCUGCGAUAGCUUGCUAGUCCAUGCUACGGCAUGAGAGGUGGCUCCAGCAUAUGGCAUGCAACGAAAAUGCGAGUCAAAGACCAGUUUGCGAGACAUCCAGCCGCGCACAGCACCCCCACUGCCACACCAGCGCGUGGUGGGUUGACCAGGUCCCGCGUUUCCCUCGCUGCGCCCCGCCGGUGCAUGGCACGACGGCAAAGGAGGGCACACCUGCAACCUUGCUGUGCGCUUGCAUCCCGGCCGGACAGCUGAGCCAUGCGCCGUUCCUUAGCACGGUCUCCUCACAACCUACCCCGCCGCUGUUUCUGCAACGCUGUGGGACCCUGCUGCCUGACCCUCCCCAGCACCCCCAACAACAACCCCUCCACCCGCCCCACCUUUGCCUACACCUCCCACUCACCUGACACACAGUACGCGACAUGGGAGGAGCAGCAGAAGGACUUCCGGCGGGCGCGCUCGGUGUGGGAGCGAUGCCUGGCCAUCGAGUACCGCAACGUCAGCAUGUGGCUAAAGGUGCGUGAGGGCGUGUGUGCGCCUGUGUUAGAGCGACAGCACAAGGGAAGGAAACAAAUAUGCACGCGUGUGCGUUUGUGGAUUAGAAAAGCACGCGGGGAAAGGGUGCGUGUAUGUGUGUGCAGAACGGUAUGGGGUUGUGCCGGCGGGGCUCGGGGCUGGAGCAGGGGACUGCAAGGUACGAAGGCACCAGGCGGGCGAGGCAUGGGACGGAGUGGGGUGAUGGGGCAAGCUGUCGGCAACUCCGGGUGGAGCGAGGAACUGACGGCAGCAGCAGAUGGGGCUGCAGCGGCCGUUGCUGCGGCCGUUGCCGCUGGUGUGGAAGGACUGUGUGUCUGGCAUGGUAGCGGUUGGACUGAGGCCUGCGGUCGGAGGUGUGGCGAGCGAUGUGGAAUGGGAGGACGGAAUGGGUGCUGGGGAAUCGGGGCGCAGUACGCAGCGUGCGGCCAACCUGCCGCCGUGCCGGACGGAGGGUGCGAGGCCGGGCGGAGGACGGGUGGUGGUGGUGGUGCUUCGUGGUGGCCGCGGCCAGCACGGCGCCCGUACUCGUUUCAACACAAAACGCCUCUCCUCCUCACCACACCCCCACCACCACUAACAACGCCAUCACCCACACCCACAUCCUCGCCACCACUACCUCAUACAGUACGCGGAGAUGGAGAUGCGGCACCGCUUCGUGAACCAUGCGCGCAACGUGUGGGACCGCGCGGUGAGCCUGCUGCCGCGCAUUGAUCAGCUGUGGUACAAGUACAUCCACAUGGAGGAGAUGCUGGGCAACGUGGCGGGCGCGCGGCAGGUGAGGGCGUGUUGUUUCCGGGUUGGGGGUGGGGGUAAGUCAGUCCAUUCCCAACUGAACCAAGACCCACCGGGGGGUGGGUGGGGCGGGGGUUGGCUUACAGCAUUUCCAAGCAUAGGAAACCAAAGACACGCGGGGCCACGGGGCUAGCCGUCCUCGAUAGAUGAUGUGCGUAACGCACACGGUUUUGAUGCUGACGUCCCAAAGAGGUGCCGGGGGCUGCCGAUGGGCUUGUGUAUACGGUGGUCAAGCAGGGCUGGGGCAUGGAGGGUUGCGGGCGCGCUGUGUGUGUGAACAGAGUGUGUACGCCAGUGGUCAUGCCGGUGUGGUGCCCAUUCGCGGCGGGUGGGUGGGUGGUUUACGGUUGGCGAGCGGGGUUGGGGUGCCCCUUCUGGCCGCUGGCCUGGCCGCCACAUCCCAUGAGACACGCGUUUGCCUGGCGCCCGGCCGCCUGCGGCCCCGCAGGUGUUUGAGCGCUGGAUGCGCUUCGAGCCCGACCACACCGGCUGGAUGGCGUACAUCAAGGUGCGGGAGGUUUGGGGUUUGGGGUGGUUUGGUGUAGAUACGAGCCCGCAAGUACACCGUGCCCAAUGCAAAAGAGCGAGGGGGACAGCGUGGUCUGUGGGGUUAGCCGUUCGCAUGAAGGACGGAUCUAAUCACAACGGGGAGGGAAGCGUUGAAGCGUAUGAAGGAAAGCGGUGGCUGGAACCGCCCCCUGUAAGCUCGAGUGAGGAGACCCUGCUCAAAUUCGUGGUUGAGGGUGGGGUGUUCGUGCGAGGGGUACGCCGUUUUGCCAAGGGAAACCCGCGCUAACCCAGGGGGGUAGGACACGCAUGCGCCUGUGGGAUUGGACGGCCGACAUGGUCGGCAUGUGCGUGUGGCUGUCUUCGGCCCCUCCUUCGCCCGAACAUCCCUUCUACCCCUCUUCCCUCCACACACCACACCCACACGCGUCCACUAUCCUCUCUGAACACAGUUCACCUGCCUCUCCCCUUGUGCUUGUGCGCCGCAGUUUGAGCUGCGCUACAACGAGGUGGACCGGGCGCGCGCCAUCUUCGAGCGCUACAUCCAGAUCCUGCCCACUGUCAAGGUGGGGUGUGGGGGCGGGGUGGCGUUGGGUUGGGGGGAAAGGGAUGGUGGGAUGGGCCGGUGGAUGCACGGGCGGCUGGGCGGGCGGGUGAAUGGGUGGGUGGGCGAUUGGAUGGAUGGGUUGCUGGGGUGACCUGCGACAAGGGGAGUGUGGAGGGUUGGGGCUGGAGCCGGUGUUGGGGCGUGGUAGGUGGCGGGGGCGUGGCCAGGUGGCGUUGGCGCCAGUGCCAUGGACGGGAUGCUGGUGGGGCUACGGCCGCAGGGACCCUACAUGUACAACCGGUACCUCCCACCACACCUUGCCCCGCCGGCGGCUGAACUCCACACGGCCGCUCUGCGGUGCCGCUGCCCUGCCACUCCCCCGUCCUGGCGUUCCGGUUCGGCCAACCACAGUGCCUGUUGCAUCACCGCAAUCGUCCUAACUUGCCACGCAUUGAACCCCUCCGCGCCCUGGCUACAACUCCGCUACAAUGUGCCUGGCUGCAAUUUCUCUUCUUCUUAAGUAAUCAUGAAUGUAACCCUCGCGUUCCCCAGGCCUGGGUGCGCUACGCCAAGUUCGAGAUGCAGAAUGGCGAGGUGGGCCUGGCGCGCCGCUGCUACGAGCGAGCAGUGGACGAGCUGGGAGAGGACGCACAGACGGUGAGGCUGCGGGGGCCGCGGGGGCUGGCGGGCGGGGCGCCAGGCAUCGGGUGAGAUGCAGCAGGCGGCUCGCGGGUGUGGUGAGCACGCCGCAAGACGUCGCACGCCUUGCAUUGGCGGGGGGGGGGGGGCGUGCGCAUUCCGUUUCGCUCCCACAUGCCACUCCCUCCAGCCCCCGACUCCAGUCAAAAGCCCUGCACCUAUGGCCCCAACCGCCCCUGGUUUCUUUGGGAUUUGGUCAAACUAUCCUCUGUCCCCACACACGCGCAGGAGGAGUUUUUCAUCAAGUUCGCUGAGUUCGAGGAGAAGGCGCGUGAGGUGGAGCGGGCCCGCGCCAUCUACCGCUACGCCCUGGACCACAUCCCCAAGGUGUGUUUGUGUGUGUGGGGGGGGGGACUGCGGGCCGUGCGGCCGUAGCAAGUGGCCAUCGCAGUGGCCAAUAGCAUUUGCCCCCCGCAGCAGCGCGUGUGUGUGCAGGGGUGCCGGAGGGGCCGGGGCUGGCGGGCGGGUGUGGUGGGCGGGCGCUUCCUCGAUUACCUUCCUCUACUUGCGGCGACUUGCGGCGCGCCGCACUCAGCAGCGGCGCGGGUGCUGCCUGUCGCGCACGCACAGCCCACACCAUGCCAGGAUGUGCUCUCGCUCUCAUGUGCACACACACACACACACACACACAUGUUUGCCGCAGGCCUCCGCGCCCAGCCUGUACCAGCGCUUCGUGGCGUUUGAGAAGCAGCACGGCGACCGCGAGGGCAUUGAGCAGGUGGUGGUCAGCAAGCGCAGGUGAGGGGGCGGGUGAGGGGGCGGGUGAGGGUGCUGGUGAGGGGGCGGGUGGGGGCGGGUGAGGGGGCGGGUGGGGGCGGGUGAGGGGGCUGGUGGGGCGGGUGAGGGGGUGGGAGCCAUGAGGCGCGGCUGGCGCAGGGUGCCAAGAGGGGUUCACUGAGGAGCGGCUGGGGGGGGGGCGCGAGGGACAGGGCCAAUGGCGGAGCCGGGGACGUGGGCAUGGGUGUGAAGGCCCAGGCGGUUGGGAAGGGCAGGUGGUUUUGAAGUCGGGUCGAUCGAACACUCGUUUCCCUUACCGUGUUAGCACGCUCUCGCCCACACUUUCGGUUGUUCCACACGUACCGUACACCCGCACAGGUUCCAGUACGAGGAGGACAUCGCCAAGUCGCCGUACAACUACGACACCUGGUUUGACUACAUCAAGCUGGAGGAGGGCACCGGGGACAUCGAGCGCACGCGCGAGGUGGGCGGGUGCGGGUUUGUUGAAGGGGUCAAGCCACACGCAAAGUUGAGGUUAGAGGUGUGUGUGUAUGUGCGUGUGCUCGUUUGUGCCUUUGUGCGUUUGUGCGUGUGUGCGUGUGGACAUCGACGACUACCAAAAUGGAGCUUUGCGUGUGCAGCGCCGACCCCUCCCUCCCACCCGCCCUCCCAGCCACCCUUCCAACCACCCUACCAACCACCCGACCAACCACCCCGUCGCCACCCACCGCCCUCCGCCCUCCCCACCAGGUGUACGAGCGCGCGGUGGCGCAGCUUCCGCCCAGCUCCGCGGAGAAGCGCUUCUGGCGGCGCUACAUCUACCUAUGGGUCAAGUACGCGCUGUUCGAGGAGCUGGACUGCGCCGACCCCGACCGCACCCGCGACGUGUACCGCGCCGUGCUGGACCUCAUCCCGCACCGCCAGUUCACAUUCGCCAAGGUGCGGCGAGAGGCGCGUGCGUGCAUGCGUGCGUGCGUGCGUGCGUGUCCCGUGUGGUAGGGAGCAGCCGCGGGGGCCGGGCACGAUGGUGUCCAGGCUGGAGCGUGUGUUGGAGGCUGAUGCAGACGCGCUGUGGAGCGGCCACGCGGGCCUGCCUUCUCCGUGCCUUGGUCCAUGCGCACCCACGCACGCAUCUACAAAGCCGCACCCGCAGCCCGUAAAACCACGUGUGUUUACGCGGCUGUUUUCUUCCCCCCUCCACCUUUCCACCCCCAUCCAGAUCUGGAUCAUGGCUGCCAAGUUUGAGAUCCGGCAGCGCAACGUGGAGGGCUGCCGCAAGCUGCUGGGCCGCGCGCUGGGGCUGUGCCCCAAGGUGCGUGGUGCGGCCUGGUGACAGGGGCAGCAGCGAGAAAGGCGGGCAGGGACACGGGCAUAAGGGAGACGGCAUGCGCCUCAGAGAGCCGCGACACGUGCUCUGCUUGGCACGUGGGCGAUGGUGGGCCCGGGGUGCGGCAUCCAGUGACGCGCGGCCGUGCCAGCCCUCCUCAUGGCUGAGUGGCUGGCCAACACCGAACUCUGAACAGCAACUCCAAGCACUCCCAAAAUGAGCUGUUUUCAUGGUCCUUGUUGCCCCCCAUUAUCUGACUGUCCUUAUCGUCCUCACAUCCCAACCAACCAACCGCAGGAGAAGCUGUUCAAGGCCUACAUCGAGUUGGAGCUGACCAUGGGCAACGUGGACAGGUGCGCGCGAGGCAGGAGCGAGGCAGGAGCGAGGCAGGAGCGGCCGGCCGGCAGGGUUGCAUGGCAGCGGGCGGAAGCAAGGCGGGGCUGGCUUGCGGCGAGCGGGGUCAUGGACCCGGACCCGGACCAGGGCCCGUUCAAGGCACGCACUAACUGUAGCAAUUUUCCAAUCCGGCCCGACGGCAAGCGGGUUGAACCCCGGUUUACCCUGCGCACCGUACACCCGCACACCCGCCUCCCCCCCCACAGCUUGCACCCCCCCCCUUACACACACACACUCUUGCACCACCCACGCACGCACACGCACAGGGUUCGCAAGCUGUACGAGAAGUACCUGGAGUGGCGGCCCAGCAACGUGGGCGCCUGGGUUCGCUUCGCAGACCUGGAACGCCAGCUGGGCGAGACCGGCAGGUGGGGGCGGCGGCUGGAAGAGUGGGGUCGGGCUGGUGGGGUAGGGGCGGCGGGCUGGUUUGGUGGGGGCGGUUGUCCGGUUGGUGGGGGCGGUUGGUGGGGGCGGGGCGAGCUUGGGUGGUGGCGGCUGGAGGAAUAAGGUUGCUGUGGGGAGGUGCCAUUGGGAGCGAGGCGCUUACGCCCGCUGGGGUGCCGGCUGUGCAUCCGCAGCAGCAACAUUUGCAUGAGCCGGUUCCGAGUGCCCUGCGCGCAACGUAUUCUGCACUCUGCCGCGCUCUUAGGGCCGCCUGUCCUCGUGUAUCUGCAUUCUGCCGCGCUCUGAUGGCCGCCUGUGCUCCUGUACCUGUACAUCCUGUACCACGCCUACACCCGCGCACAGGGCCCGGGCGCUGUAUGAGCUGGCCAUUGGGCAGCCGCUGCUGGACAUGCCGGAGGCGCUGUGGAAGGUGGGGAGCGGGGAAGGCAGGAGGGAGGCAGGCAGAGGAGGGAGGGAGAGAAGGGAGGCAGAGGAGGGAGGGGGACGAGGCACGGGGAGGGUCAGGCGGAGGAAGGAGCUGCAGGGUGGGGUGGGGUGGGGUGGGGAGUGCUUGGAUUGCUAGGUUGCUAGUGCCGUUCUGCAGCCUCAGGCACGGGUCGGGCAUUGUUGUGAGUCGGCCCAGCUGGAGUCACUGAUUUGCUGCCCGAGUCCGCGUCCACCCUGACGCCCACAGUCGUACAUUGACUUUGAGAUCGCGGCGGGCGAGCGCGAGCGGGUGCGGGUGCUGUACACGCGAUUGCUGGACCGGACCAAGCACGUCAAGGUGAGGCGUGGGCACACGCGGGGCGGGGGGAGGGGCAGGCGGCUGCGGGCUCUGCGGAUGCGUGUGCAGCGUUUGCAGCGCGGAUUCGGGAAAGGGCGUUGUCCCUUUCCGUGAGGGCACGCGUCCAAUGGAUGUGCUGUAGCCAAUAACUGGGCAUGAGGAUGCGCGUGCGUUGCGCACCGUGCCACCCACCCCACCCACUGCAUUGGCCUGGUGUGUGGCACAUGUGCCCCCCCCCACACACACCGCCGCUGCCCGCGACUGCGCAGGUGUGGCUAUCGUUUGCGCGCUUCGAGGCGACACCCAUGCCCGCUGAGGGCGCGGAAGGCGAGGACGGGUGAGUACAGGCCACUGGCAUACAACUCUCCCCCGAAACCCCCGCAAACAAGACUCGCCCACACACACUCCGCCGUUGCCCGCAUGCUGUGUCUCUGCAUCAGCCAUCCCGCAACGCUCUUCUCCUUCCCCACGCUCCUUCCUCACGCCCCUUCCCUACGAGCAGGCAGCCCGCGGAGCCCGCGGAGGGCCCCGAGUCCGCGCCCGCCCGCGCCGCCCGCGCCCGCUCUGUGUACGACCGCGCCUUCACCACCCUGCGCGACGUGUCGCCCGACUCCAAGGAGGAGGCGGUGCUGCUGCUGGAGGCCUGGAGGGACUUCGAGCGGGAGCAGGCGUGGAGGUGAGCGGGUUUUGGCACGGCGGCAGCGCCCAGCCAGGGCAGCGGGAGCGCGGGGCGCGGAAGUCAGGGAGGUGCGGGGCAGCGUGUAGGAGAAUGUGAGAGGCAUGGGUUGCGGGGAGGGACACGAGCGUGCUGUUCAAGGACCACCGAGAGGCGGGGAAAGCGGCGGCUCUUAUCCCACCCCACUGAAAUCCUUGUGUUCCGACCACGUCUGACCCCCUCCCAAGAUAAACAUUGCCUGAGCUAAUCAUGAAUGUACUCCCCCCCCUGUAACCCUCGCGCCCCCUCCUCUCGCCUGCCGAGCAGCUCGGAGGCGGACCGGGCGGCGCGUGUGUCGGAGGUGGAGAAGAAGAUGCCGCGCCGCGUGAAGCGCAAGCGGCCCGUCACCACCGAGGACGGACAUGAGGUGGGUGCGGCUCAGGGAAGAGAGGGGUCACCCGGGGCCCGUGUAGGGGCCGUAGGGGUACUGGCUGGAGUGCCCCCCUGACUCGUCAGCUGCCACCGUCGCCAAAGCGCCGUCUGCCUAGCUGUGUGCUCAAGUCGCUGCGCCAGUCCUCACGCCGCAACCCGCCCACCCCCCUUCCAUUAACGUUAACCCCCUUCCAUUCACCGAAGCACCGCGCCCCUACUUGUCCUCUCCCUAAAUUACGCAACCCCGCCCCCCAUAAAACUACCCCCAUCCUCGAUGCUCGUACCCUGUUUACGCUGCCUUAACCCCGCAACCGCCACCCCGAACCCCUCCGUGCAUCCUGUACCGCUUUCCUAAGCAUCCUUGCAACCCCCUUUACCCGCACCAGGUGGGCCAGGAGGAGUACUACGACUACAUCUUCCCAGAGGAGGGCGCGGCGGCGCCGGGGCUCAAGCUGCUGGAGGCCGCCUACCGCUGGAAGCGCCAGCGCCAGGGCGCGGCGCCCGGCGAGGAGCCGCAGGCGCAGCAGGGGAGAGGGGGCGCCGGCGAGGAGGCGCCCUCGGCGUCGGAUGCGGCGCAGGCGUUUGCGGCGGCGGCCAUGUCGCGGUUCGCGGGCGCGGGCGAGAAGUCUGGGAGCGAGGAGCCGCGGCAGGAGGAGGAGCAGGAGCAGGAUGGGCGGCCGGCACGCGGCGGGCGGCGGGGCGACGAGGAGGGCGACGAGGUGGAGGAGGGACGGGCGCGCGGCCGCGAGGGUGGCGAUGAGGAGGAGAAGCAGGAGGAGGGCGUGCGGGCGGGUGAGGUGGAGGAGGGGCGGCCGGGGAGGGGGCACGGCUCACAAGCCGGGGAAGCAGGUGUUGAGGGCGAGGGGCCAGGAGCUGCUGGCGGCGAGGCGAUGGCGGGGGAGGACUCCUAGCGUCAGAGAUGCCGCUAGUGUGGUAGGCUACACAGGAAGGUGGCAAGAUAGGAUGCGUUGACGGAUGCUGCAUGGGUCGGGUGCAGACCUCGGGCAUGUGAGUGAAGCAGCAGUGGUGUGUGUACUACUGUCCGCGGGCUGUUCACGUCAGUUCAUGCUUAGCAGGACCUCUGUUUGUUUGCUCGUCUACGGGUGGUUAUGCUCGCUCAGUUGCCAGGCACGGUCGCUGGGGGCGCGCGGAAAAUAUCUGGUCAUAGCGCUUUCCAGCGAGAGCGCGGUUUUUAGGCCUUUACCUGUCAAAUCGCAUAACUACGUUUGCCUACAGAUGUAGCCAUGGCAGCGCGAGCGCACAAAGGGCCCCAGGGCGACGCUUUCCUAUCGUAGGUCAAAACUCUGCCGGAUUUCGACAAGUCCACCCACGCACAUACCCCAGCAGUACGCAUAUUUGAGCCAUUAUCAAGCAUACCAAUUCGCACAGCACCAAGCAUACAUAGACUACUGCGCAACCUGUGUCGGCACAACUUCUGGCAUCCUCAGAUUGAUGAGCUUGAACUGAGGACGUCAGAUUAAGGGCGUUUCCUUGGCGAGUGCGGCUUCUGGGGCCCUGGAGGACACCAGGUGAGACGCGCGACGGCCGUUGACAGUGUGCAUCCAGCGUAUGCUGGACGCGCUCGUCGCCAUAGAGGCUUCUGAAAUAAGCGAUACACUAUAUCUGCCACUGCCUGCUUGUGGCCCUGGUGUGGAACGCGUUUUGGUGCGUUGAAGCUGGCGCAAAGGCGCAGAGAGCACGCGCGCAGCUGUCUAAGGUGCCAUGACGAUGUCUGGUGGACUGAGGGCUCAUUACGUAGCGCCAUACAUUUGCAUACGCUUGCCAACGAACGCAAGUUGACCUCCCUUGCAUGACUUCGCGCACGGCUUCUGAGCGAUCUGAGUCCUGGGCCACAGAGGGGCACCAAUAGACAUAGCAGUCUUCUAUUCACGCAAUGAUCGUUGCGCGACGAAAAUGUUCUGUUUGUCUUGUCUGUUGUCGGGCGCCCAGCUCACCGCCCAGCACCAUAUGGUCACUGUAUCUUAAGGUAUACGUACACUCAGUAUCAGCUCCCGGGCCGUCUCCUGGUCUCGGAGCUCGUUUCGUCACCGCCGAGUUCCGGGGGCCGCCCGAGCUUCGACGAACGGUCCUUCGCUGGCGUUUAACUCUUUACAAGAGCUUUUGCCCAGGGAUAAUCUACACGUCGAAGAAACUGCUUUGCCUUUGCUACAGUGUGUCGCUUACGGCAGUGCAGCCCGAGUUCGAGUAGAACAUGUCCGCUGCGUGCACAUGGUCUCUGCGCACAGGUUUCGACUAUGGCUGCCCUCGCCCUGGCCGUUUGCUUUCGCAGACGCCAUUCCUAGCAAGCUGCUGAAGUGGAUCCAAACGCCGGAUCAAGAUGCGAUACAAGUACGAUGACCAAGGGCAGGGCCCCUGGACUGCAGAGGUGCGAUGCCGCGUGUGUGUUUAUACGGUUCGGUGCAGGGGCCUUGCAGGCGCCUUGCAAACGGCUUGGGAAAGGCUCAGAAAUUCUAGGGGCAUGCAGAUAUGCGUGCAGACUGUCCAAGGAUACAUUUGUAGGAGGGUUGCUGCUUGCACACAGUGCAUGCUGGCCCACUUGGGCGAAUCUCAGGAGGGGACCGAACCACACGAUUACUACCAACCUGAUGUUCUGCAGGAGGAUGCGGUCCUCAAAAGCCUGAUUGCUCAGAGGGGGCCACGGCAAUGGUGAGCGGCUGAGGCAUUUGCAGAAACUACAAAUACGCCUGAAGAGUGUUGAUGGAACGCGGGCCGCCAUGACUUGGAUUACAUCGCUUUUCCCGUCGCACAUUCUCAGCUGGCAACUUCGGAAUAUGCAUCACAGGACGCGCAUAGCGGAAAACAUUCCCGGCCGCUCCGGCAAGAGCUGCCGGCUGCGGUGGUUGAACCAGCUAAGCCCAGCGCUCAAGACGAGUCCGUGGGAGCCACAGGAGGUGGGAAGGGGCGAGUGGCACAGGCGUGGGUGAGGCAAGGCGGCGUACGCAUUGCAGUGUGGGGUUUAGGCCUGGCAAGUAGAGGAAGCCGGUGUGCGCCAGUACUUGGGUCCCACUGCAGCCUUACGGUACCUGUGCGCCGCUUUCGACUGGGUGUGAUCACGAUUGGUACCUUUGCACAACGUCACGCACGCAUGCGUGUGUGCAUGUGCUUAUGCCGCCUGUGCGAAACGCGACCUGAACGGCCCUACGCGCGCACACCUCCGCAGGACGCGGUAAUCCUGUGGGCGCACCUCCACUACCGCAACAGGUGGUGUGAAAUCGCCAAGCACCUGCCGGGCAGGUGAGCGGGGCCGUGUGCGUGGUUAGUUGCUGGCUGCUGCCUAGUGCCGCCCAGCAAGCUGGCAUCGCCACAGCAGCAGUGCCGACCAGCGCUUUUGCCAGUUUUGCCUGGUUGAGCUGUAUCAAUAUCUAAACGCUUGCAUUUCAAUCGCGCAAUUGCAGGACGGACAACCACAUUAAGAACCGCUGGAACUGCACCCUGAAAAAGCGCUUACCAUCGGUGCUGGACCUCCUGCGGGGAGUAGGAGGCGGAGCCGGAGGCGGCAGCAGCCGCUGCGGCCGCCGCAAGGGGGGCGCAGCGGCGGCAGCAGCCGCCGACGGCUUACAGGUCAAAAGGGAGGCGGACGACGGCGCUGACGGUGCAGGCAGCGGCCUCGGCGAGACUCAGGCUGAGGCUGAGGACGGCGGCCCCGAUGGCGGGGAGGCGGACGCCGCCGGGGGUGCCCAGGAAGAGGCAGGAGCGGCAGCGGUGGCGGCGGCAAAGGCGGCGGCGCAACUCCCUGUGACGGUGGAGCGCAUCUACACGGCGCUGCUGCAGGCGACAGGGGCGUCGGGCGCCGGCAUCUACAGCCGCCAGCACCACGCUGGGGGACACCGGGGCCUGGGCCGAGCGCAGCCGGUGCUGCCGCCGCCGUCGUCGCUACAGCCACCGCAGCCGCACGGCACCGAUGGCGUGGAGCCUGUGGGCGCGGACGGGCACCUGGCUGCCUCUGAUGACGUCGACGGAGGCGGCGGCGGUGGCGGCGGCGGCGGCGGCCAAUUUGGCGGCGUGGUUGGCGGUGGCGGUGCCGCAGGCGGCGGCGGCGGUGCCAGCGGCGGCGAGGACGGCUACGGCCCGGAGGGCUGCAACAACGAUGGCGACGUGGAGGAUCGCCUGAGCAUCGCAGACCUGUUUGCGUUAUCUGCCAUACCCAUCCCGCCGGCCCGCGUGGCGGAGGCGGCCGCCGCCGCGGCGGCGGAGGCGGCGGGCCUGCGGUUCACGUCGAUGGGCCCCGCCUGCCCGUCCGGCCAGUCGCCGCCGCGGCGCGUGGGCCGGCCGCGGGGCAGCCGGCGCAGCUCGGGCUCCAAGCGGCCGCGAGGGGAGGCGCCCGAGAGUGAUGGUGGCGACGAUGAUCAGGGCGGCCGCCGCGGGAACAGCGAAGGCGGUGGCGGUAACUGGAAUGGUGGCGGCGGAAGCCGCGGCCAUGGUGGGAGCGGCAGAAGUGGCGGUCAUGACGGCGAAGGCGGCGGCUGCGUCAGCGGGGGGACAGAUGAGUCGGAUCAGGCCUCGGAGGCUGCCGCGGCCCUAGAAUACCUGGCGCGGGCGGCUGCUGUGGCAGAAGAUGUGAAGCCGCUGUCUUCGCAGCACCUACAGCUACAGCCGCCGCAGCAGCAGCACAUUGCAUUGCGAAGGCUCAGCAACGAGGGUGCUGGCGGCACCAGCGACGAUGGUGCAGGCACUGCUGGCCAUGAUGACAUGCGCCGUGUAGGCAGCGGCGUGGGCUGGGUUUCAGGUGUAAGUGCAGGCGGCGGCUGCAGGGACCAACGCGUGCUGCUGGUGGCGGCGAAUGCCGCAGCGGUGAAUGAUGGCAUUGGCGGCGUUUCCAGGGGCGCGGACGGCGCGGGUGGCCGCUGGCGGCAGCAGCCAUUGGCAGGGUUUGCACUCGGUUUGAAGGAGGAGGAUCAGAAGCCGUCAGUGGCUCAGCUCUUGCUAGCGGCAAGCGGGGCUUGUGGCGGCGGCGGCGGCGGCGCGCAUGCAGGGCAGCAGGGCGUCGAGGCCGAGCUGCUGGUGCGGCUGCAGCGGGCGUUGGCGGCCGGCGCUCAGGCGCGGGGGCUGCAGGCGUCGUCGGAGGCGGGCGCGAGCGCGGGCUCGGGCCAGGAGCAGCACGCGCACGGGCAACAGGGGCAGGGGCGCGAGGGGGCGGGUGCCGCACUGGAUGGCGACUCCUUGGCGAUGACCUACGGAGGAGCAGCUGGCGGCGGUGGCGCCGCCGCAGGUGGAGGGGCAGGAGGCGUGCGGGGCUUGGCUGAGGUUCUGGUGCAGCGGCUGAGGCGGGAGCGGGAGCUUGGGUUGGAGGCGGCGGCGGCCGCCGCCGACGCGGGCGGGGGCUCCGGACUCGCAAGGCUGCGCGGGCCGGGGCCAGGCACUGGCGGAACGCCGCUGCCGCUGGGGCAAGAGGCGGGCGUUGAGGCGCGUGGCGGCCUGUUGCAGCCGACACGAAACUUCGCCGUCAGUGCGGCUGCUGCGGCGGCGGAGGCUGGCAGCCGCGUCGCCGACAUGGAUGCCAGCGGUGGGGGUGGCGAGCCCUUGCAGCCGCAGCGCGGGCGCAAGCUGCACCCUCACCCGCACCCACAUCCGCACCCACACAACCAGACAGGGGCGCCGCAGGCCGCCGCGCCGCCGGCGCCGCCUCCCGAGCUGGCUGGGUCGCUGUUUCGGCUUGGGCGGACGUUGCGUGCGGCGAUUGAGGAGGGCAACGACGUGGCGGCGAUGGCCGUGGCGGCUGCGCUGGAGCAACUUGGCACGCUGGUGAGGGAGGGAAAGCACUAGGGCAGCCCUGGGGUACGCGGGGGCAGCCUGGGGCAGCGGGGGUGGGGGAAAACGGGGUUGAACUCACAGUAAUGCUAGGAACCAGGGAAGAUUGUAGGUUUCAGCAUGGGGCUAAGGACUGAGAGUAGGACGAUUGCCUGUACACACGCUUGUGCACGCAUGCUUGCGAAUGCGUCUGCAGCUUUUGAGCCAUGCGGCGUUCUCUAACUAUUUUCCAUUUCGCGUUCCCUCCCGCCACGUCUGCCUCGCAGCUGGCGGCGCCGCCCCACUGCCAGUCGCAAGAGCUCGACCUAACCGGCGGCGGCGUAGCGACGGGCGGCUGGCACCAGCCGCAGCACCCUAACGAUGUGGAUGCGAAUGCGGAUGCCGACAUGGAUGACGUAUACCACGAGGACGGCGAGCUACUGCCGCUGCGCAUGCUGGGCCGCGCCGCCGGCGUGGAUGCUGCUACAGCCGGCCGCGCCGGCCUUGGUGUCGGUCUGGGUGUCGGUGCUACUGCCGCUGGCGCCUUUCGCGGCCACAGCCACCGUGACGAGUCCGUCGUGUACGGCAUCAGCCAGGGGCGGGGGCAGAGAGAUGCCGCCGCCCUACAGCAGGGCUUGCAGCAGCGGCACCACCUGCCGCCGCAGCAGCAGCAACAGCAGCAACAUCAGCACCGGCAGCUUGUUCAGCUGUCACACGCGCUGGGCAAGGGAGGUGGUGGCGGCGGUGGCGCCCAGGCAGGUGUGGGCCGCGCGUCAACACUGCUGGCCACGGCCGAAUGGGAGCCGCAUCAGCAGCAGCAGGAGAUGCGGCAGCAGCAGCGGCAGCAACAGCCACAGCAGCAGCGAGUGCAGCUAAAGCAGCAGCAGCAGCAGCGAGAGGACCUUGAGGAUCGACACCAGCAACAGCAGCAAGAGCAGCUGCUGCUGCACUUGAGGCAACAGGCGCAGCAGCGGCACAGCGCUGCGUGGGCUUCACAACCGCCGGGCUCAUUGGCACCCCGCGACCUGCAACAACUGCUUAUGGUGCAGCAACAACAGCAACUGCAGCAGCAACACCAACAGCGACAGCAGCACGGGCAGCAGCAGCAGUCGCUGCGCGUUGCGCGUCUGAUGGUGCCACUCGCGUCGGAUGGCGGAGGCCUGGGCAUGGCGGCUGGCGCGCUGAGCGGCGCGGGCCCGGGCGCCGGCACAGGCACAGGCACGGGCACCGGCACGGGUGCAGGUGCGGGCGGCAUUGGUGUAAGCCUGUCAGGCCUGGACCCGCAAGUCUUGCGUCAGUUGCUGCUUCUGCACUCGCGGAGCUAAGAGGACUGCAAUGUUCACAGCGCUGCGUACGCCGCUCGCGCUCCAAGCCAUUGCCAGGCUGUGCAUCGCCGCGGAACUCAUGAAUCUGUGUGUGGGUGUGUGUGCAGAAUGCUGUGUUGAGGUGCCGUCCUGGGCGGGCCAGUCAUCACGUCCUAAAAGUUUAAUCCAAUUUACAAAUUCAAUUCACUGCACAUCACCCACAUCCCAACCCUCGGCAUUGGCAAUGGCAUCCACGUGCGGCACGCAGUACGAGUUGGUUGUGCAAUAUCACGUGGUCGAAUGCGAUGGCCAUGCUGCAUUCCAAGUGGUGUUGCUGGCCACAUGGAAAGUAUUCCAUUCCCGCACUUUGAUGAUGGUGUGUUACAGGGUUGGGAGUGUGCGUCCCGGACCCAUAACACGAACUGAGCCGCAAGGGCUCCUCGUCUCCACAUUCCCACCCAAGCUUGGCAGGGCCGGCCGUCCGACGGGCUUGUGGCACGCGUCUGUCGCUUUGGUUUCAGGAGUUGAACGGUGUCCAAAACCUGGCAGCAUUUGCACGUGCGUUAGGUGAUUACGUGUGCGCUAAGGUGUUACUACGUAUGUCGGUGAAUGACCGACCAAGCUGUGAAGCGAGAUUGGCUACUUGCGGGCAUAACUGUGUACCAUUCACAUGGCGUCGUGUCUUCGAAUACGGGGGGCGGGGGCGUUUAAUGUGUCCGUUGGGUUGCAUGCACAGAACUGGUGAAGCGUGGGCACACCGCUAAAUGACAAUGAGACCGUGGGGCACAGGUCGCGCAAUGGCGUGGGGGCACUGCAAAGGACACGUGUUUCAGCAGGCAAGCGCCAAGCCUGCUGCAAGGCUUGGAUGAGGGCCCGGGUGGCUUGAAGUUGGCUUGCACCUUUGUCUGGAGACUCUGGACAGGGCAGUGGUGUUGCCCUUCUCUGAUCCUUCCUCGCAGCUGGCGCGUGGAUUCGUGGUGCGGGUUAUGGUGCCACAACAAAAAGCAUGGCAGGCCCUCACCUGCCCCGGCCUGACCGGGUCUCGCGCGCAUCAGCCCAGAGGCCGCGGCAGAGGUGUUGGUGUGAUGUUGGGGAGGAUUGCUGGCUGGGUGUUUCCAACCUUGGUUGAGGCUAUACAACAGAACCGGUGGAUGGACAGCAACGCAUACAUUUAUGAUGAAGUUUUGCACUCGUUGGGGGCACUUUCUUAAUAUCCGCUUCCAUCAUGUGCAUGGAUGGAUGUGUGGGGUAAAAGCGGGGACAGGGACUGGGAGGCCCAUCCUCGGGGACUUGAGGAUCUAAGCGUACACCACGCUGCCAAAAAGGACGCAUCAGUAUCAUUAAACGUUUGUGGGGUCAAUCGCAUGGUUUAUCAAAGCCUAGAGAUGGAGAUGCACAAAGCUGCAAGCAUAGUGUGGAUGGUUUGGCAGUACGUACGUUCCAAAGUCGCUUACUCCUACGCCCCUAAAUGUUAGCAUAAUGCCUGUGCGGUUGACAUUUAGUGUUUGAUUUUGAAAUGUGGCCACAUGGCACGGCCAUGCUGAAGGACUUUGGACUCACUUUCAGACCGUCUCGAUGGCGCCGGGCGUCGUGGCGUUCACGUGCGCGGCUCCCAGGACAUGUGGGCGUUUACGGGUGCAUAGGCUGCUAACCAGUUUGCAUGUGGGCGAUCGUCAGGGCGUAAAAAUAAAUACUGGCGCAAACCGCAAGUGCCACAUGCAUGUGAGUGUUUGGUAAUUGGAGCCUGGCCCCUCUGUGGACUCAACAGUCGGAGACGGUUGCUGCUGAUGGGUUGGUGGCGGUGUGUAUGUCCACAGCAACCCUCGCGCAUUACGCAAACGCACGCAUGCAUGCCUGCGCUGAGACUCGUUUUAUUGGUGCCCGAAAGCGUGGAGGAGCCAGCGCGGGCCGCAGGAGUCAGCUGAUUUAGUGCGGUGUAUGGGAACGGCAACGGUGUCCGCAGCGACAACAUUACAUACGGUAGAGACAUUCUUGGCAUAGCACCGCACAUACACCGCGCCGCAUUCUUGGCGUAGACCGCACACCGCCACAAGUGGAGUGGCCGUGGAAUUCGUGGGCAGGGGUCAUUGAUUGUUGAACGGUACUGAGUGGAAGGUCCCCCUUACGUUGGACUAUAUACCCUUACGUUGGACUGCACGGUCACCAGACGGUCACUGCCAGUGGUGUAAACAACACGCCUGCUAAUCAAAGCCCCAGCUGCCACUUGAGCUGCCAUAGGCUCCCACGGCGCCACCAACGGCCCGGGACGACUGAACCUCAGCUCGAGUAGCGACAGCGGCGUCUAUCGGCGAAUAAGCGAGCGACCGUUUGUUGGGCUGUGCGUGGGGCGCUGAGCCGCCGCUACGGCGCCGCCGCAGCCGGUACCCAUCGCCGUGCCUGCGGCGUCAGGCAUUUGGUGAAAGGUCCUGAACCCGCCAUGCGCCCAUGCUUGCCCUCAUCCACGCCUAGGCCGUCACCAAUCACCAUACGACUCCAGGUCCUACAGAGCUGGCAGGCACGCCGGCAAUCUGCCAGUGAGCUCAGGCGAACUGGCGAAGCGAUGCCAUUAUGCCAACAUGGGUAGGCGUUGGCUGCAUGUGGGAACAACACUAGCUCCACGACGGCAGUCAGCGUACGGCAGUCGGCGUACGGCAGUCGGCGGCCACAUCAGCGCAGCUCGCCCGCACAUGCAUGACACAUGGUCGAGAGCGAUUAGAGCGGUGCGCAGAUGCGGCAGGCGACCGAGCUUUUGCAGCGCGAGCGCCGCGGCCGUGCGUCAGGCACAGAGGCAAAGCGGCAGUCAAGGUCAGAUGUAUGGAUGCGGGUCAUGCAGCCGCCCGGCACACGAUGAUCAAGGAUACGGUCAUGACAUAGCUUAGAAGAGCUACUACCAUAGGAGUAGGAGAAUGCUUCACGAGAGUGGUUGGGAUUUGGGGCAGCCGGUGCAUGCGCAGGCAAGCUGGGGUGAGAGCAAGGGCGGGAGCAAGGCGACGCGCAGCGCGGGAAACGGCAUGAGCAUCGUGCCCAGGCCCGGGCCCUGCUGCGGGCCCUUCCAAACUAGCCGACAUAGUCAAUAUAUCAUCCCUAAACCUGUAGCCAGAUGUUACUGUAUUCAUACUGCCUUGACGAGGUUACGGUGUGACGACAUGGCAGCCCAAAAAGCUGUCGAGCUCCCGAACGAGCUUGCGGAGCUGGGAAUUGCAUGGAACGAGCCUUUACCUGAAAUUGCUGAGGUUAUUGCUGCGAAGCUAAUCUGCAGCCCUCACGCGCUUCUACAUCUUGCCGAGGUUUCGCGCUUCUGGCACGAUUUCCUCAGUCAGCCACAAGUCUGGGAGCGCCUUAGCGCCGCUCGUUUUGGCGAGGAAGCGGCGCCAGGUGAGGGUGAUGCGAGGACGCGAGACCAGACACCCAAAUCGACCAUUCCCUUUUCGUCCCUUUCCCACAACCACCACCGCUGCAAGUGCUCCCAUCCACCAACGCCCCUUCUCCUUCUCCCGCUCCCCAAAUCCCAUCACCUUCUCGCAGCUCCGCUGCAGCCGCCCGUGUGGUUGCCCGAAUGGAGCUUUAUUCAGGGACUGGACUCGGGUGGCAACGACGUCGCCACUCCUGACGACACCUGUACCGACCGCUCCCCCGCCGCGUUGGCGAGGCUGGCGGACGCACGUGGUGGUGUGGCAUUUAACACCAAUGGUGGGGCGAAUGCUAGGUUUGGGACCAGGAAUUCAGUGACUGAGUGUAUGACGGGGGCUAUGAUGGCACUGGAGGUGGCGAGGGGAGAAGCAUCAGCUGGAAUCAGGUGUCAUGGCCGCAUUGGUUGGAUUUUGUUUCGGACCUCCAGCCCUCGGGUCUUGGAGCGGGAAUGGAUGCCUAGCACGUAUGACAAUGUUACAGAGCCCAGGAGCCCCCUGUUGCCAGCGCAGCAGCUGCUGACCUCCCGGCCAAAUCGUUCCUUGUCUUGCGCGCUUUCCCAUGGCUGCUGCACGCAGGCUGGGUGAAGCGCGCGCUGCUGCCGUUUGCGCGCUGGGAGCGGUUCAGUUACGAGCCUGGGGCAGGUUCGUGGUUGUUUAUUUGGUUGGAGGGUUGGUUGCUUGGGUGGGUGGAUGGGUGGUUGGCAACACGCCGCAACCCACGUUGCUCCUACCUCGCCGCGUGCCAGACACAUCGUGUGCAGCUCUCCCACACUCCCGCCCCUCCUCCGCUCUGUUGCUGCCUGCCUUGCUUCCUGUGCCACAAACCGCUCUCAACAUACCGUAUGACCGCACCGCUGAUUGUCGCACACGCGUGACAACAGGCAGCUACGUCCGAAAACCAUUUCAUGGCGCAUCAUUUGCCGGCACGCCUAUAAAAACAGGCACGUACGUCCGCAGUCGCGCGCUGGUGCACCAGCUGGGCAUGCCGCCGCGGCCCGAGCAGCUGCAGGGCCCAGAGGAGGCGGAGGGCGCCGGGGCGGGAGGGGCAGGUGCGAGGAGGGGAGGAGGGGAGGCGCGGGCUGGGGCACAGGCAUUUUGUUUGCUGGCGAGCACGCCUAAGGAGUAGCGGAGAGAGGGCAAGAUUACACCGGGCCGAACCCCAUUUCGGCGUGUGUGUGUAUAUGUGUAUGUAUGUGUGUGUGCUGAAGAGCACACACGGAAAACAUUGCGCAAAGACAGUGUAUGCGAUGCAGUGCGAUGCAGGUGUAUGUAUAUGUGUGUGUGUGUCUUCCACCCAACCCAAUAACCCAUUCUGCCCUGGUGCCCCUUCGCAGUGCUGGCCCGGCCGCCCCAGUUCCCGGGCUGGGUGUAUUACGCGCUGCUGGACUCGCCCGGCAGCGACGUGCGCCACCCGGCUACAGGGGAGAUGCACUUCCGCUCCAGGCGAGAGAGAGAGAGCGUGUGUAUGUGUGUGUGUGUGUGUGUGUGUGUGAGAGCUCUUUCUGAUGAACUCUUUGGUCUUGCGCAUGUGGGCGGUGCUGACUGUAGGGGGGAGGGGAACAGAGGAGGGGAGCGAGGAGGCGAG